AGCGGCCAUCUCCCUACAUCUUCCACUGUCAUCUUCUUUCUACAUCAUCGUCCCUAUCCAAAUAGGUCUCGAUCCACCGCCUCUUGUCCAAUGGCAGAACGAUCACCUUCACAUAAUCGGCACCACCAUCGAUCCAACCAGCCCCUACAAAGCUUUUCAAGGGCAACAUGUAUGGACAAAUAACUUCGAUUUUAGAAGCGGAACGACAUUCCAGCCAUCGGCGAGCUACUUCCUUCAAGAUGCCUUUGACCUAGGACCAAAAGUCAGCACAAGAGUGUUAACGUCAAUAAUGGAAAGAUUUGCAUGCAUGAUGUGAUAUUUUAGGACAAACACUUGAAAGUCGCUAGAAGGCGUUACCACUCUCCCUUUUCUUGCCCCUUGUUUGUUUGGAGAUGGUCCUCAAGAGGGAGUCCCAUCUUGCUAUGUGCCCAUGAAAAAACAAGUUAGACACUGUUUGAAUCCACUAAUAUUAAUAGUUAGCUAGCUACCUAGCUAGCUACUGGAAGAUUGGAUCCAUCCGCUAAUAUUAUUAGAAAAUAAAGUGUGAGUAUAUGUAUCUUAUGUGUUUUGUCUUAAUCUAUCUAAAAAUCCCUAGAACGCACUGUAUUAGAGGACAAAGAAAAUAGUUAGCAGAUCCAUUAGCAAGUCCGUUUAUAUUUUCACUUACUAAUUUUAACCGCUAAUUAUUAGUGUUACUGCAUGCGAAAAACAAUUUUCCUCUUCUGGAGAAGACUAGUGACUAGGAAUAGUCGGAAAAGAAAAGGCAGAAUUGUCGAAUCUUUAGUGCUGAAAGUGUCGCCGUUGUCCCAACCGACCGGUAAGCUGUUGAUACGGAUUCCUUCCAGUGAUGAUGUAGCGGAUGACGUUUCAACGGAGAGGCGGCUCCAUGGACAGCGACGCUCCAAAGGCAACUCCUCUCCCGACCGCGCUUCUUGCCUGUAGUGUAGCCCGCUGCCGUCGGCAGGUGCGGAUUGGGCCCACCGGCUAGCUGCUGCGCACACAACUGCGGGAAUCGUCGCUUUGCCCACAAAUAUCUGCGGCAGCCGUCUGGUGAACUGGUUGCCCUGUCGGAUUGGGAUGGUGUACGGUCGCCGACUCGCCGUCCUGUCAUCGGAGACUUAAGGGCACACACUCUAUCAUAAAGUCUAAAGUUAUUUAUUAUCUCAAACAAUAUAGAUUUAGAGUCUAUUUUUUCUACCUCUUUCUUCAAUAAAUAUGCUGCCGCAUCAGCAAAAUACCAUAAAUAAUAUGUAAUUAAGUAUUUUGGACUCUGUGAUAGAGUCUUGCAUUGUGAGUGCCCUAAGAGCUUGUUUAGAUCCAAAUUUUUUUUGGAUUUUAAUACUGUAGUAUUUUCGUUUUUAUUUGACAAACAUUGUCCAAUUAUGGAGUAAUAACUAGGCUUAAAAGAUUCGUCUCAUGAUUUAUAGACAAACUGUGUAAUUAGUUUUUAUUUUUAUCUAUAUUUAAUACUCCAUGCAUGUGCCGCAAGAUUCGAUGUGAUGGGAAAUCUUGUAAAGAUUUGGUUUUUUGGAUGCAUCUAAACAAGGCCUAAGGCCUUUUUUUUUGCAAAAUCCUUCGUUUUUAUUUGAUAAAUAGUAUUCAAUUAUAGAUUAACUAAACUUAAAAAAUUCGUCACGUAAAUUAUAGGUAACUUGUAUAAUUAGUUGUUAUUUUUAACUAUGAUCUUAUUUAGUUCACCCCAAAAACCAAAAAGUUUUUAAGAUUCUCCGUCACAUCGAAUCUUUCGGUAUAUGCAUGAAGCAUUAAAUAUAAAUGAAAAUAAAAACUAAUUACACAGUUUACCUGUAAAUUACGAGACGAAUCUUUUGAUCCUAGUUAGUCCAUGAUUGGACAAUAUUUGCCACAAACAAACGAAAGUGCUACAGUAGCGAAAUCCAAAAUCUUUUCGCAUCUAAACAAGGCCUAUAUUUAAUAUUCCAUGCAUGCGUCCUAAGAUUCGGGUCUUGUUUAGUUUCAAUUUUUUUUAAAAAAUGAGCACUGUAGCACUUUGUAUGUGACAAAUAUUGUUCAAUUAUAGAUUUACUAGGCUCAAAAGAUUCGUCUCACAAAUUACUGUAUAAUUAGUUUUGUUUUCGUCUAUAUUUAAUGUUUCAUGUAUAUACCACAAGAUUCGAUGUGACGGAAAAUCUUAAAAAAAUUUGGUUUUUGGUAAGGAACUAAACAAAGCCUCGAUGUGAUGGGGAAUCUAAAUCUUUUUGCAAAUAUUUUUGAGAACUAAACAAGGCCUAAGGCAACAAUUGAGCAUGCAUCAAAUCUUUAGACCCAUACAUGGACCACUAACUAUAGAUAAAAAAUAAUUAAUGUAAUUUAAAAAAAAAAUCUUAAUAUAAAAUUUUUCACCAACUAAACCAUAUCUAAAAACUAGCGGCCCUCCGCAAUCCACGUGGCAGUGGCUAUUGGCGCCUAGAGAUUCCUGGUCUCCUUGUCUCUGUCUCUCCGCCAAACAGCCAAAGGCUGGCAUGCACCUGACCGUCGCUUAAACAAAGCGAAUUUUUUGUGAGCGACUAUAAAAGAUUAUAAUUUUUUACGAGCCACUAAAAAAGUUUAACGGUCUUCAAGCUUACUGCUCUAAAUAUUUGUUGCCCUCUAGGCCAUUGCCACUAGAUUAGACUCUAAAUAUUCUGUUAAUUUUUUUGAGCAUCUUAAUAACUUUAACUAGAAAAACUCAAAACUAAAAAGUUAUAGAUCUCAUCGAGAUAUACUAUUUUUGUAUAAAAAUUAUUUCCAUUCAAUAUCACAAAAACAUAUAAUUUUUCUAAGAUAUAUAUUAACCAUACCAAAUCAUAUCUUUUUUUUUGCAAAAUUAAAUGAAAAUAAUCUCGACAAGAUCUACAACUUUAUAGUUCUUUCAUUUGAAGUUGUUAAGAUGCUCAAAAAGGAUAUUUUCAUCUUUUAACACUGUUAGAGUCCAAUCUAACGGUAGUAACAUGAAGGGCAAAAAAAAAUUAGAGCAAUAGUGCUCAAGUCCAUUAAACUUUUUUAUGGCUCAACAAAAAAUUGUGAUUUUUUACAAUAACUCACAGGGGAUUUUCUCAAAAAAGGUUUAGAGUGCAGUGCAGUGCAACCAACGGUGUUGGCAAAAAGAUCACCAUCUCUCUGUUUGGACCAUUACUCAAAUCAAACGAGCGGCGGCCUUGUUUAGAUGCACCCAAAAACCCAAAACUUUACAAGAUUCUCUAUCAAUCGAAUUUUGCGUCACAUGCAUGGAACAUUAAAUAUAGAUAAAAAAAUAACUAAUUACACAGUUAACAUGUAAAUCACGAGACGAAUCUUUUAAGCAUAGUUACUCUAUGAUUGGACAAUGUUUGUCAAAUAAAAACGAAAGUGCUACAGUGUCAAAAUUCAAAAAAAAUUGGAUCUAAACAAGGCCAUUUCGAUGGCUUAUAUCUCUCUGCUCUACAGUACAUUGUUUUCUCAAAUCAAAUAUAAUGCGUAAUGCGUAAAUUGCAAAAAAAAAAUUCUUGCGCUAAUCAGCUGAAUCUGUCGGCCAUUCAAUAGUGUUUUUCUCUCACAAUAAAUCAGCAAACAGUACUUUCUACCAUGACUUAUCACCCAAAUAAACAAGCGACGAUGAACUAGACCUCCUUUAUAAAAGGACAAUCCUUGCAUAAAUGCUUUGGGUUGGGGGUGGAUGCAGAGCUUACAGGCUAGAUCAUGUGGGCAUCCUGCUCAGAUACUGUUUGUUGGGGUGGAUGCAGAGCUUACAGGCUAGACUAGAUAAUGUGGCCAUCCUCUUUUGCUCAGAUUGUUUGUUGUGAGUAUUUUACGUUGCAAAUAAAGAAAUGACAUUUUUGUUCUGCUCUGGCCUUCUUGAUUGGCGUGAUCAUGAUCUUGGUGAAGGUUCAUUUAAAUUGAAUUUGGUAAGUGCUCUUUGUUAUAUAUUCACCAUUAGUAGUCCAUCUCCAACUAAUCUCAUCCUCCACAUCUAUUUGACGCGUUAUAUUCUUGGAUUGCUUCUUGAAGUUUUAUAGAUUCUUGUACCACUGUCGAUGUGACAAUCAGAGCUAUAUUAUAUAAUUAAGCAGCCCACUUGUUAGCAACUAGAGCCUUUUGUACUAUGAUAUUCUUGUGAAUUGCUUUCGCAAAUAAGGUUGGUGCAAUGUCUUUAGCUGAUCUACCAUUGAUCUAGCUUGAUGUCCAACAAAAUGUUCUUUUGCAAUUUCCUACUUUUAACUAUUAUCAACACAUUGAAUAGAUUGUGGACUAUCGAGUCACAUUGCUCCAAAGUCCAAAUUAGUCCAAGCUUUAUUUUUGUGCUACCAUUUGAACCAUAGCCAGCACAACCUUAGUGCUCAUGCAAAACGUUCGAGAUCAGGGAUCCCUAGGCCCCUUCAACACUCUUCAGAAAACAAGUUGUUGGUCAAUUAAUAAGUGAUCAAUGUCGACCACUGACUUUCUCCAAUUCUUCUCCAUGCCAAAGGAAACUCCUUCCAAUGCUAUUGAAUUAUUUAAUCAACCAUUUUUAGCCAAGAAAACCAUGCGAUGAUAGAUACGUUGUGAUGGUACAAAAUCUUUACCAAGGUUUCUUGCCCCGGUGUUGUCAGCAUUUUUCCUUUACAUCCUAGGAAUCAACGACUACCAGCCUUGUCAAUCAAGGGUUGCACCAUGAUUUUCCUUAGACCUAGUUUAGUUUUAAAAAAUUUUCAAAAUUUUUCGUUACAUCGAAUCUUUUAAACGUAUGUAUAGAACAUUAAAUAUAGAUAAAAAUAAAAACUAAUUACACAGGUUACCUGUAAUUUAGAAGACACAUUUUUAAGCUUAGUUAAUCUAUGAUUGGAUAAUAAUUAUCAAAUACAAACAAAAGUGUUACAGUAGUCAAAGCUGUUUGAAGAGAUAAACCAAGAUAGUUCUCUGGAAACGCUGAGAUUUUGCCUUGAAGUUGGCCGUGUUUAGUUGAUGAAGUGAAAAAUUUUGCGACACUGUAGCACUUUCGUUUGUUUGUGGUAAUUAUUGUCCAAUUAUGGACUAACUAGGCUCAAAAGAUUCGUCUCGUGAAUUUCGACUAAACUGUGCAAUUAGUUUUUAUUUUUGUUUAUAUUUCAUACUUCAUGCUGCGUCUAAAGAUUUGAUGUGACGGGGAAUCUUGAAAAAAUUUUAAGUUUUUGGGUAGAAGUAAACAAGGCCUAAAGUGGUAGAAAGUUUUGUAAGAGUGGUUGGACUGCUAUUAAUUGCUUCCAUUUGAAUCGAGAAAAUCUCUGUUUUGGUCAUAUAAAUUGUGACACGCGAGGAGGAUUUUUUUUUUAUGUGUAGAUAAUUCAGCAGCCAAUGCAUUGGAAAAGAUGGCUGCAUCAUCUACAAUAAGGGGACAUCCCAAGUUUGUUGCCUUCGGAAACAUCGGUUUUAGAUAUCAGCAUAUGUUGCCAAUUUGAUUAUGCGUUGUAGAGGUCAAUAGCUAAAAUGAAGGACAUAAUUCCUCCAUCAUGUAAUAUAGUUCAUUCUACCAUUCAAAAUUAGUUUUCAAAUAUAAUACAUUAUAGAGGACAAAACUCAAUUUUGUAUUAAAUGCUUUUUAUUUAUCAACCAAUCACCGUUAAUCAAGUUGAUGAUUUUAUCUAAUUAAGAAAUAAAGUGAGAGCACAUGUGUCUUUUAUGUUAUUUCUUAAUUUGUCUUAGAAUUCUUAGGAUACACUAUGUUACAGGAUAGAGGGAGUAGGUGACAACGGAUUAGAGUCGUUAUUGACAUUAAUUAUCUAGCAUCACUCGUAUUAGUAUAUUACAAAACUUUAGACUUUUCUUUUGGCCAUCAUUGAAAUUACUGAAAUUCGUAAAUUUCGGUGAAGUUUUGCCUAAAUUUUGAACCCUGGUGCACGUUGCUUCGCUACACCUCGCAAGGUUAGUGUACUACGCAAAGUACAUUGUCUUUUCUAUUUGUUCAACAUUAGUUGAAGCACAUGCAUGUGGGUUAUUUUUUUUUCCCGAGGAAUGCAUGUGGUUUAAUUAUAUUGCUUUCUAGGAGAGGUUGCAUAAAUCUUCCCUUUUGUGUUCUGUAAAGAUGCAAAAUCCAAGAAAUCGUCAUGCAUUAAUAACGCCAUUCUGUACCCUCGUCACGCAUUAUUAUCGAAGAUAAGAUCCACCACUGAUGGACAUUAAAGAUUAUUAAGGAUAAGUGCUGAAGAACGUGCAUAAAUAUUAUAUUUGCCCUGGCUCACUUUCGUAUGCCUUGUCUCGUGGAGAAAUUUGAGCUUUCUUCGUUCCACGUACACCGACAUUUAAAGUACACUCUCCUAAUAAGUUUGCUGUUCCGACAGACAUAUAGACCCGUUAGCUUUUCUGAAGUUUCACGUUCAUACAAUAGGGGGCCUUGCGGUGAUGUAUUAUGAGCUAAAAAGUUUGAUUGUUCCUUUCCACCGAACUAGUACUAAUCAACUAGUCCAUGCGUAAAGCUGCUACUGUAUACGUACUAUAUAUACAGUACGCACAAUGAAAAAAAUAACACAUUGUACUCUUGUGUGUCACACAUUAAAGACACGAUAGCAUAGUGUAGCUUAGUACGCCACACCAACGAUUGAAUCAAGAUGACUUACAAUAUCAAAUUAGUUUUAUGAGCACUAGUACAAAAUUGAUUUUUGUUAGCUUUUGUGAUUUUUUCACUAAUGGUUCAUAAUACAUAGACGCUAGUAGAAAUGUAAUUUGAGCCCAUGGCUAUAAACCAGCUGUUUUCUUAAGUCUACCGUCAGCUGGUGGUUUUCUUAACCUAGUGCAACUGUAAAUAAUUUUAUUUUAUUUUAUUUUUUAAAAAAGGCCCUCGGAUGGAGAAAUGGUCUAAACAUAAGUUAUAGUAUUCGAAAAGGUCUACGACUAUAUAGUUGAAUACUUUUUCAUUUGAAAUCAUUUAGGGCUCGUAAAUUAUGUUUUAAGAUUAAUUAAUUAUUUCAAUGGUUGGAAAAACGAUUAAAAUCAAAAUUGUAGAUCUCAACGAGCUUUCAAACUUUGUAGUUAAGACGUUUUUCAUAAAUCUGUUUAGGGCUUCAAGUCUCCAUUUUAAAAUUUGGUACAGUGAAUACUAAAGGUAUAUUUAUGUGUUAAGUCAUAGAUGACUUUAAGGUGCAAUGAUAAGAGGUGUGACACACGAGAACUAAGGUUCUGAGCUCGAUUCCAGAGAAGCAUAUGCGCGUAUUUCUCGUGAAAAUGUUACGGUAUAUGCAGUGUAAAUAUUUAUAGUGGCUGUUCCUGACCUUUCACAAUGGAAGUUUGCUGUUCUUUACUGGUCUUCCACACUAGCAGUAGAUAAAAAGCGCCAGUAGAAAUAUAAAAAAUACCGUCUUCCGUCAGUAAAGGUAUUUCCUAUACUAGUGAAACACACCUUGAAAAUAUGUGUUGAUAGUGAAUAAAGUAAAAGAAGCUUAACUAAACACAAAACCAAAAACACUUUAGCCACAAUGUUUUUGGGACGCAGUUGUUUCUUUAAGAAAAAGAUCACAUGAAAAUUUCAAAACAAUCAUAGAAAAACACAUGAAUAAAGAAAUUUUUUCAUAUUUUAAACAUGGCCUUACAUUUCGAAUGGAGGGAGUAGUUUAUGUUUGAUGGUAUAAGAUUAACGAGUCACGCAUGGCAUUUAUGCCAUCUGCUAUUUGCAUGAUUGACUACAUAUUUUAGGCUUUUAAAUGUGUGUUUUUGUGAUAUGAAACAACAAUAUGAUAGUGGAGGUAGUAUAGUAUUGCGAAGUUCGUUCUGAAAAGAGUGAAUUCACGGUGCAGAGUGCCAACAAAAAAGAAGUGUAUUUCUCCAAGGUUGGUUCUUAAAAAGCAUAGUGUGCGAUGGCGUCUUUCUAAGAGUAUGUUGAGAUCUUCAUAUUUUGUUCUCUAAAAUAUAGUGUUUGCCAACUCUUAAAUUAGUAUGAGGAAAAAAAAGUCAUCUCCAAGAGUUUCCUAUAUUUCUAUUUUAAAAGUUUUUUUCUCUGGCACUUUUUUCUAUGACAUGGUCUCAUAUUUUGUACUAGGAACCUGAAUUUGUUUAUUAUGCAUUUAAACCCUUCCGACAAAUCUUUCUCUUAUGUGUUUUUCUCACCUUGAACCCUGUCUUUUUUCCUAUUUACUAGAUAGACCGGAAAACUCCGGAUGCGCGCUCCUAAGCCACGUGCAUAUAUGCGCACUCGGAAUAAAUUUUUACGAGGUCAAGAAAGAUAGGAAGGGAGGAUCCUAAACUAUUAGAGAGUUUUUUUAUUUUGUCAUAAAAAUAAAAAUAAGAAUGAGAAAGUCGGAUGGUAAACACACUAAGAUAGAAUAUAUAAUAGUUUUAUGUAUCUAUAUUUUUUAUUAAUCAAUGAAGUACGAUCGUAUACCUUUCUGAUUCUUUUAUCAGUGAGUAUCCAGAAAGCGUGUACGCAAGCACUAAGCAGUAAGCACACACGAAACGUCCUUAGCUCUCCAAUCUAUAUAUUUUUUCUAAACUAUAAAUCCCAUUUGCAUGAAAAUGCUACAGCACUACAUCGAUGCCUCACAUAACAAUAAUAAUAUAAUAAUAAGAUGGUACGUAAUUAAAAGGUCAGACCACAGACGGCAACUGGCGAUUGAUAAUGAUCCACCUAUUAUUCCCCUACGCUGAAAUGAGUUUUUUUUUCACCGUGUCCACGACGUGUCAUGACACGUCCAUAGAGAAACCAAGAGAGGGUAGGCGCGCAAGAAAGAGUUCCAAAAACCUAACGGCAGUCCAUUCAUAUGGAUGCAUGGUGCCGGGUGUCCCAAAAUAAAAUCCUGGGGUGGCCACGAAGAGAGACAGCUGUUAAGCGAGCGGAAAAUAUCGAGCUCCAGCUGGUGACCACAGGCCUGGACGGUGGGCCCCCUGGUGGUCCUCGUCGGUCCACGGAGCAGAGAGAGCUUGGGCUGGCGGCCGUCCGUCCGUUGUACAAGAACUGUAGGGUGUGGCGGUAUGCAGGCAUGCCGGCCGUGGAAUGGUGGUGGAACCAACAAUGGAGACGGACAAAGAAUCUAGGACGAACAAACCCCGUAAUGUGUCCAGUCCAGUGGUUGGGAGCAGCGGCCAGCCACACAGCUCACCUCCCCGGUCCGUCCACCGUCAUCAUUCAGGGGACUCUACCUAGUAGGACGACUAAUUAAGUUUUUUUUUUCUUUCUUUCAGCCUUCUAUCAGGCCUAUAUAGAACAUAUAUAGCCUAAAUUAUACGUACUAACUAAAAAAAAAGCUAGAUGACUAGCUUGAGGCUAUAACUACCGGCAAAUGGAACAAUAGAAAUGUAGGAGUAGGCUGUAUAGUGUAUCAAUCUCUACAACUAAAAAUUAUGAAAAAGACCCAUCUACCACAACUAUGGUGAAGCCACAACUCUCAUCCCUUUUAGUCAUGAUAGGCUAUCCCAUCAACCUAGGCCCCACUCACCCAUGCAUGCAAAAUUGUUUUAACGAAUUUAAAAAAGUCAUAACUUUUAAAACCGAAGAUAUAAAUUAAAUUCCGAUUGCACCAUUAAUUUUCUCAUAACAAAUCCUUCAAAACAAGAUCAUACGUGGAUAUAUUUAGAUAAAAUUUUAUUAAUGAAUAUUUAUCUCUACAACUAAAAAUUAUGGAGAUGACCCAUCCACAACUUCCAUCCUUUUGGUGGUCUUUUUUACUGCGCGAUGACACACUAUCCCAUCAACCUAGGCCCUACUCACCUAUACAUGCAAAAUUGUUAUAGCGAAUUCAAAAAAGUCAUAACUCCUAAACUAGAGAUAUAAAUUAAAUUCUGAUUGCACAAUUAAAUUUCUUAUAACAAAUCCUUCAAAACAAAAUCACACAUGGAUAUAUUUAGAUAAAAUUUUAUUAAUGAAUAUUUAUCUUAUAAAGAUAACAUAUUUUCUUUUAUUAAGUGGAAACAAUAUUUUAGGUUCAAUAGACAAUGUUUUAUCUUUGUAAAAAAAUGUUAUCGAUUUAGAAUAAUAGUAUUUUGGUUUUAGGUUUAUGAAACUGAUAUUACAAUAUACAUAAAAAUACAUAAAUACAUGACAUAGAUAAAAAAAAUUAAAAAAAUCUAGAGUAAAAAGCAUAAGAAAAAAUAAAAACACAAAAUGGAGAAAAAUUUCAAAUAAUGUCAAAGAGUUACUUUUCAAAUAUCGUAAACAUCAUUAAAUAUAUUAUAGAACAUCACAUCUAUUAUAGAUUACAUGUAUACCAGGUAAACACCGUAGAAAACAUUAUAGAAUAUCACAUAUAUACUACGUAAACAUGACAUAACACAACAUAGAACACUAAAUAUAUAUUAAAUAAAUACCACAUAUAUAUAGAAAAUAAAAAUAAAAAAAUAAAAUUACUAAGAAAAAAAUAUAAAAACAAACAUAAUUAACAAAUGAUAAAAAGUGCAUAGAAAAAAUAAAAUUAAUGAAUAAUUUAAAUAAGGAUAAAAAUAAGAUUAAAAGGAAAUAAAAUAUAAAAUAAGAAUGAAGAAACAUAGAAAAUGUGAAAAGAAAAAAGAAAAACAAAUAAAAGCAAGGAAGAACAAUAAAAAGAAAACCAAAGAAAAAGAAAAUAAAAGGUAAAAUUAAAACAAGAAAAUAAUAAGGAAAGGACAGAAAAUAAAAUAAAAUCGAAAAAACAAAAACUAAAAAGAAAUGAAAAAGGAAGAAUAUAGACAGAAAAAAUAAAAUAACAACGAAGAAACAUAAAGUAUGCGGAUUUUAAAACACGUAACAACGUACGGGCAUUAACCUAGUCAAAAUAGGAAUAGCUAUCGAUAUUGGUGAUGAUGAGACACUAUUUAUACAUGAAAUACAUUAGGAAGGGUUUGAGCGUCUAUGUAUAAUUUUAUUGACCCUUUAGGACGUUGCUAUUGCGUGUUGUAUCGAAUAUUUUUUUAAAUUCAAUAUAAAGACAUGUAAUCAUUUUCUGUGAUUGAGAAAAAAUCGUAUAAAUAUAAUAAAUCCUGAAAAUGUUUGGGUUGAAAUUCGUAGAGCCCCGGGAUGCAUUUGUGGUUUGCGCAACAGAUACGAAAUGUCACCUCCCGCCGGGCCCCACUUGGUGGGCCCAGGGCGAACCCUACGGCGCACGAUAAAAGGAGACGUUGGAGGCUUUCCUCCCGGACCGGACCCCAACCAAAACCCCUCCGUCCUUCCUUCCCAACCGACUCCCAAUUCCACUCUUCGCGUCUCGCCUUCUUCUUCCGUCCUACGCAAUGGUGGCCGCUCGCCUCCGCCUCGCGCUGCUGCUACUCCUCCCCGUGUUCCUCUGCUCCGCGUGGGCGCGCCCACGCCUCGAGCCCACCAUCCGCCUGCCGUCCGACCGCGCGGACGACGCCGUCGGGACACGCUGGGCCGUGCUCGUCGCCGGUUCCAAUGGCUACUACAACUACCGCCACCAGGUACAUACGCGCCCCCGUUCAGUUCCUCUCCGCUCCUUUUCGGAGAUCGAUCGAAACAGACCCUCGCUCAUGCUGCGUCAUCGGCUUGUUGGCUGCUUACUCGAUUCCGUUAUUUCCGUCCCGUUUGCGUAAUUUGAUUUCCUUCGUGAUGUGAUGAUUUUGCCUUUUGAAAUCAUCUGUGCGAGCAACCUGUGUAGAACCUGAUUCGGGGCAGGAGUACGAUUUGAAUAUUUGAUAUGACAGCUGAUCAUCCACAAUUAAAGCUACAAAUAAGGCCUUGUUUAGCUCACCCUGAAAACCAAAAAAAUUUACAAGAUUCCUCGUCACAUCGAAUCUUGUAACACAUGCAUGAAACAUUAAAUAUAGACGAAAACAAAAACUAAUUACACAGUUUAGCUGUAAAUCACGAGACGAAUCUUUUGAUCCUGGUUGGUCCAUGAUUGAUAAUAUUUGUCACAACCAAACGAAAUUACUAUAGUACCGAAAAUUUUUCACUUUUCGGAACUAAACAAGGCCUAAGAUUAUUAUUUCUCGCUCGCUGCCCAUCCGGUGCACCGCCCGAUAAUAAUAGUAAUAUACUAGGAAGAUUUUUUCCGUUUCGGUCCACCUCAUUCGCCGGCCGUAUGAACUGGAUUCGGUUCUGUUGUUCGUUCUGGCUUUAUUCUUGAGAUGGGAAAUUGGAAGCUCAGGUAGGUGAUGAAACUUCUCUGACUUUUGGGGCCUACAUGUCACCAUCAGUGUAGCGGGGAUCAGCACUCACGGCCAAAUAUAUACUGCUGAUCUUUUAUAAACCUGCCUAGAUACACGACAGUUUAAUUAUUCAUAUUCAUAUCAAAUCAAAUGGACAAACAGGACACCAAAAAUACUGUUUUUACUAUGUGAUGGAUGACUGAUUGUACUGAGCAAGUGAGCAUCAUUCAUCUAGCCUAUGCGUGUUCCAAGUUACUACUACUAGCUGCAGUAUGAUUUUUACCCUUCUAUAUUAGCUUGAACAUUAUGGUUAGAGGAAUAACCAUAAUAAGUCCUAUGUUUUUAUUGACAAAGAAAGGUUAACUACUAAUAUAACAGUAUCUUUUGUUGGAAGCUAAUACAAGCUCUUUUUGGGAUUGGAACUUGCAGGCGGACAUCUGCCAUGCGUACCAAAUCAUGAAGAAGGGAGGACUCAAGGACGAGAACAUCAUUGUCUUCAUGUACGAUGACAUCGCACAUAGCCCGGAGAAUCCGAGGCCAGGUGUCCUCAUUAACCAUCCCCAGGGUGGCGAUGUCUAUGCUGGGGUUCCAAAGGUAAUCCAUACUUUUAUUCCUUGAGUAAAGUUUACACUAGUUAGACAUGUUCUAAGAUUAACUUAUAACUACUAAGUGGAGCGGUUGUGAAAAAGAAAAGUCACAUCGCGACAGUCUUAUAGUUAAUGUAUUUAACCCCGAAAAUACCAAUAGCACCAAGUACUAUAGUGAAAAUGACAGAGUGGCUAAAUAAGUAAAUAUUCCCGUCGGCCUAACGUCUUUGGCCUAUCUGUCAUGAAAAACAAAACUGGAUUGGUCCACAGCAAUUUUGUGACAAUAAGCUUGGAGAACCUAAUUAGUAAUUACAAUUGAAACUUGCACAUACUAAUGUCAACAUCCGUCUAAUAAAAUCCUAGCAAAUCUUUUGCCGCCUUUCUAAAAAAAAUGUCAACAUAUUUAUAAUACUGAUAGUUACGCACCAUUAGUCUCAAUAUUCCAUCCAUUUGGCUUGAAUUAAUAUGUUCUCCACUGCAGGAUUACACUGGGCGAGAGGUCAGUGUCAACAAUUUCUUCGCUGUUCUGCUUGGCAACAAAACUGCUCUGAAAGGUGGGAGCGGCAAGGUUGUGGACAGUGGCCCCAAUGAUCAUAUCUUUGUUUUCUACAGUGACCAUGGAGGUCCUGGUGUCCUUGGUCAGUACUCGCAACUAAUCGUAAUUGAUUUAAUUCAGAUUAGAUAUUUCAUUAGAUAAAAUAUCAGUGCGUACCUGCAUGUAGAACCAAAAUAGCACAGUUAUUUACUCUGUAAAAAAAAUUCAGGAAUGCCUACGUAUCCGUAUCUCUACGGUGAUGACCUCGUAGAUGUCCUGAAGAAGAAGCAUGCUGCUGGGACCUACAAAAGCCUGGUAUCGUUAGUUGUUUGUUCAGUUCUGCUCUGCAUAGUUGUGAUAUGUAAAGCAAUGGCUUGAGGUAUAUGCGUAUUCUUUCACCUUUUGUAGGUCUUUUACCUUGAAGCAUGCGAAUCUGGGAGCAUCUUUGAGGGCCUCCUGCCGGAUGACAUCAAUGUGUAUGCCACCACCGCGUCAAAUGCAGAGGAGAGCAGUUGGGGGACGUACUGCCCUGGAGAAUUCCCAAGCCCUCCACCGGAGUAUGACACAUGCUUGGGAGACCUGUAUAGUGUUUCUUGGAUGGAAGACAGGUACUUUGAUUUUUCGUGUCUUUUUCAUUGCAUUUCGAUCCUGUCAGACCAAUCUACAUGUAGUACUAUGGAUCUGUGUCUGUUUCGGUUUCAUUCACAUCAGUUAGUUAACAAAGUACUUGAUAAACCAAUAAGUUAGUUAACAUAGUACCGUACAGAUUUGUUAUCUAGGAAUGAUUAACCAAUUAGUAUGGUACUACCUGAUAACUUGACUACCCUGUCUAUGUUAAUUAAAGUCAGAUGCUGAAGGAUAUGCAUGUGUUACUUUGCUCUACUUUUAGGUGCACAUGCUUGUCAAUAAAUUUAUUAAUUUUCCCCACGAUAUGAUGCCUCGCAGCAGUUGUUUUGGACCAUGUGCUCUGUACUUAACUUCUUUAAAAAAUAAUGGACUGAACAUUUAAAUUUGCACAGUUUCCGUAGUGGGAUAGAGAAGAAAUGAAAUACAAGUAAAAUGAGUCUUCACCAGCUAUUGUGCUGCCCUUCCCAGCUCACACUCUACACUAUGAGAUGGACCAGAUGUUACAGCAGACCACAUUCUGUUGCUGCAGCAGUGCAGCUCAACUCAAAUUAUGCAUGUAACUAGUUAGCCUCUAGCCCUUGUAUACGCUUCAAAUCUGAUAACCAUAGAAUUAGACUCAUUUAUUCUUUUGUAGUGCUCUGUUUUUUAUAAUACGUCUAAGGCCUGGUUUAGUUCCACAAAUUUUCAAGAUUCCUUGUCACAUCGAAUCUUUGGACACAUGCAUGGAGCAUUAAAUAUAGACAAAAAUAAAAACUAAUUACACAGUUUGCUUGUAAUUUACAAGAGGAAUCUUUUGAGCCUAGUUAAUCCGUGAUGGGAUAAUAAUGGUCAAAUACAAACAAAAGUGCUACAGUAGGCAAAGCCAAAAAAUUUCACAAACUAAACAAGGCCUAAAUAUUGGGGUGGAUCAGCUGUGCGUAUAAUGUUAUUUCUUGGUUCCUGUGUUUAAACUCUGAAGAAAGAUACCACUUUUCCUCAUUUAGUGCUUAUUUGAAAUUUCUCAAUGUUGACAGUGAUUUCCACAAUCUGCGAACUGAAUCUCUCAAGCAGCAGUACAAGUUGGUGAGUGUUUUGAACAUGAAUUUAUUAAGCGUUACCUUCCAGCGACACUUCACUAUGCCUAAUCAAUGUAAUUUAUUGGUUGAUCAGGUCAAGGAUAGGACAGCAGUUCAGGAUACAUUCAGCUAUGGCUCCCAUGUGAUGCAAUAUGGCUCAUUGGAGUUGAAUGUUCAGAAAUUGUUUUCGUACAUUGGCACAAACCCUGCUAACGAUGGCAACACAUUUGUAGAAGAUAACUCAUUGCCAUCAUUUUCAAAAGCUGUUAAUCAGCGUGAUGCUGAUCUUGUCUACUUCUGGCAGAAGGUUUGGAAAUCAUGAGAAAGCUAGUUAUGUUGACUGUUGUCAGAAGAUCUCUUUACUGCAAUUUAUGCAUUCAUUUCGAUGAACAAACCAACUGAUUGGCUUCUUUAUCUCUCAUGAAGUACCGGAAAUUGGCUGAUGACUCAUCUAAGAAAAAUGAAGCUCGGAAGGAAUUGCUUGAAGUGAUGGCCCACCGGUCUCAUGUUGACAACAGUGUUGAGCUCAUUGGAAGCCUUCUCUUUGGCUCUGAGGACGGUCCAAGGGUUCUGAAAGCCGUCCGUGCAGCUGGUGAACCUCUGGUUGAUGAUUGGAGUUGUCUCAAGUCCAUGGUAAGCCUCUAUUGACUAUGCUUGCAGCUAAAGCAUGAUUACUCUUGUUCUGCUUGCAUUUUUGCAUGCCUAACCAACCUCUGCAUUUGCUUCAGGUUCGUACUUUUGAGGCACAAUGUGGGUCAUUGGCGCAGUAUGGGAUGAAGCACAUGCGAUCCUUCGCAAACAUCUGCAAUGCUGGCAUCCUUCCUGAAGCAGUGUCAAAGGUCGCCGCUCAGGCUUGCACCAGCAUUCCUUCCAACCCCUGGAGCUCUAUCGACAAGGGUUUUAGCGCCUAAAAGCCACAGGUGAGGCGAAAUAUUACAGCAGCUCCACCACACCGAACUCCAUUACAUUACGGUACUCAGGGGGUCUUAGUUCUUGAAACAUAGGUGAAGCAGACUUAUACCAUUAUUAUAGCUGUUCCACCGUACCAGAUUACGUAGCCAUGCCCAAUUUCCGGUGUACAUACAUAUACAUAGUCGGAAAGUUAUUUGGCAAUUGUAUUGGCCGUUGGUGUAUAUAUUCCCUAUAGUUUGUUAGCAGAUGUGUAGUUUGUAAUUCCAUAAAUGAAGAGCAUUGCUGCUAUUUCUAUAUAGCCGAUUGAUGUUCAUGUGAAACUUUACCUCAUUCUUGUUGGGAAAUGGACUAUCCAUGGUGGAAUUCUUGCAUGGAAUCAAUCCCCUGAGUGAUCCUUUAUUCAAAAUGAAUCGUUUGUUCAUUUCCACGUGAGGUUCGGUUUACUUUCAGUUGUAGGCUUGUGGUUGGUGACAUCUGUUCCACUAUGAUGCUAAACAACAAGUAUGGGCAGUUUCAUUUGUUUCGUUCUCUUUGUCACAUUGCUUUGCACUAUAUACCUGCAGUAGUUACCCAUGGAAAGAAUUCCAUCCAUGAGAAUCCCAAUAGUCACUGUUCAGCUGAAAAUUGUUCCCCCUUUCGCCCCGAAGCAUGCUGGGACUGUGUUAGCUGCCGGAAUUGGAAUUAGAAUUGGAGAGGAAUUAGGGAAGGAAGCAUGAGCAAGGGUAGGCUAGCAAGAGGUUUAGGAACUACGAAGGAUUGACUUUCAUUCAUUCAGAAUUGUCUUAUACUGUACUGUACAAUGGCUUAAGCCUUCUGUGAUGUACUGUACUACUUCCUUCCUAUUUAUUUAUCCUCGCCAAAUCUUAACAUACGCUGCCACGCUUACAUGAGCCGAAUCCAUUGGUGAACUGUAGUUGUAAAAGGAUCUUUUACCCUGUGAGUAUAUGAUGACAUUUUGCUAGAAAUAUUUGGACUUGGGCUUAUUUAUGUUUAUUAGGUGGUGUUAGCAGCUCAUUCCGUGGCUUAGCUUAUGCUUAUAACUUGUGAUGCCUAUGUUCCCCUUUGAGCCAAUGUUCAGUAUUUGUGACAAUGUUCCUCCUUGAUGAGUAGGCAAAGGCGCGACUAAUUCAUUGGACACGGCACACGUGUUGGAGUGUUGAAAAUAAAACAGAAUCAAUCUUUCAUAAAAAAAAAAGAGAGAGAGAAAAGAAUCAAUCAAUCAAGACGAUACUUGCAGAUGUAUGCAUCCAUAUACAGUUUAGGCUUGCAAAGGCAUCAAAUUCAGACGAAAUAAUCUAAGACCUACAGAAGCAUGCAAAACAUUCAAAUUCUAACACCAUAAUUAAGCUGUGUACUUGUCUAGUUGUCCAUUAUGUAAAACAGCAUCCCUACAUGAUCACACUUGCUUUCGGACGCUGAAGAAACCAGACAAGAUGAGUUCGUGCAGUGCAGCUAUGAGCUAUGCAACGCCAACCAAGAACGUUGUUGGCAUGGGGAAGCGUGCUGGAUUCUGGCGCGGCGACGACGAAGCCCGGUCCUGCGUACGAAAAUAAGCGCUUGGUAACCGCGGCAUGUACCCACAAUAAGGGCUUGUUUGGAAUAAAAGAUAGCAAAACAGAGGAAAGGGAAAAAACAUAGGAUGAGGUAUAGAUGUUAUGGGAAAACAGAGGAAUAGAAAAACACAGGAAAAUAUGGAUGGAGGUGUUUGGAACGUAGAAAUUGGGAACGGUGGAAUAAAAUAGAUUAUAGAAAUAAUAAUACAAGCUUUAGUACUUAAUCAGUGCAAGCUGCAUAGCAGCAGAGAUUGGACAGUGACGUGCAUAAGGUAGCCAAUGUUUAAGCAGCGUUAUUGUCUCGUACUUCAUGAAGGAAGAGAAAACCUGAGUUCAGAUUGGAUUUUAGUUUUCCUUUGAAAUGAGAAGCCUGCAAUAGUGUUCCAUAGGAAAGGACCACGACAAUCCUUUGAUCCAAACGCUCAGGAAACUAUCCUCUGUUUUUGUUUCCUCUACUUUUCCUAAAAAAAUACUUCACUCCAAACAGGCCCUAAAGUCCGCCCUACGAUCCGGCGCCGAGAUUCGCACCUGAAAUUAGCACCAGACAACGGUCAGGCAAUUAGCACCUAGAUUUUCCACGUUGGACGCUGACGUGGAUUCUAUACAGUGUCGACAAUUCAGGGUCCCUUUGGUUGGACUUUUCAACCUGCUUUUGCUUCUGCAAAAGCCAAAAGCCAAUCAAAUGAUCCAAAAGCCACAUAUACUUUUACCCAAAAGCAACUUUUACUACAGCACAAUUUCAAAAGCACCUCCCCCCUGCUUUCAUCGGCUUUUGAAUGACCAAGUUGGAGAAAAUUACCCACUACCACCGGUUAUGAAAAGGAAAAAAGCGUUUCGGUCGCUUCUAUUCCCCUCUUCCGCAUCCGCCCGACGCCUCUGUACCCACCCGACCGCGCGCUAUGGCCGCGACCGGUGGCUAGGGUUCCUCCGCCGCCAUCGUUGCCUGAAGCUCGACGAAGGCUGCCUCCCCACCCGCGCCCGAAGCUGCUCGACGAAGGCCGCCUCCCCACCUGAGAUCCUCUGGCCGCGACCGAAGCUGCUCCGACGCGCAGGCCGCGUCUUCGCCUGAGAUCCUCUGGCCGCGACCGAAGAUGCUCCGACACGCAGGCCGCAUCUCUGCCCGACGACGACCGCCUCCCCAAGGGCUCUAGGUCGCCAACCCAAGCCAAGGGCGCUGCCAGCGACGAACCUGCAAGGUAUGUCCGAUUUCCUCUGGCCUUUUGGAUUGUGAUGUCCAAUCCCCUCUGUCCUGUUUAGCUAUGAUUGAUCUACCAUUAGAUUACUGUAAGUUCAAGGAAGCAAGGACUUCAAAACUGUCAAAAUUUGAAAACUGAUUUUUGUAUGCAUCCGAUACUGUCCUAAUUUUAGAUUGAAUUUUUUUUUGUUUGGUUCAAGUAUGGGUGACAAGGCAGAUUGGAGUGAUCGUUUUUUGAGAAAUUUGUUUGAUGCCUGCAAAGAAGAAAUAGAUGCUGGCAAUAGGUCGAUGGGAAUUUUCACUACUACUGGUUGGAAGAACGUUGUUUCCAAGUUUGGAGAUAAAUCCGGUGAUAAACGAAAAAAACAAUUGAAGAACAAGUUAGAUAUCUUGAAGAAGGAGCAAUUGGAGCAAUAGAUGGGUCACAUGUUAAAGUGAUAGUGCCAUUGGAUGAAACAGGUAACCACACAAACCGUGGUGGGUAUACUUCUCAAAAUGUGCUAGCUAUUUGUGACUUUGAUAUGAGGUUUACAUUUGCGGUCACCAGUUGGCCGGGAUCUACCCAUGACUCACGCAUCCUCAAUCAUGCAUUGGCAAAUUUUCCAUCAUUUCUUGUGGCUCCUAAAGGUAAUAAUGGUUUCUUGUAUUAUGUUAGCCGAUUGUAUUACUAUGUACCUUACUAACUUGUUUUAUUUAGAAAAAUAUUAUCUUGUGGAUUCGGUUAUUCAAACCGAAAUGGGUAUCUUGCACCUUUCAAAGGAAGCACCUACCAUAAACCAGAAUUCUGGAAUCGUUUAGAGCCUCCUCAACGAAAGUAUGAGGUUUUCAGUUUCUUACAUUCAUCCAUUCGUAAUGUGAUUGAAAGGUGUUUUGGAAUCUUGAAGCAAAAGUGGCAUAUUUUGAAGGACAUGCCAAGUUUUGAUGCUACUACUCAGGCGCAUAUCAUUACUGCUUGUCUUGCUUUGCAUAACUUCAUCCGUGAUUGCAAAAUGCGUGACAAGGAGUUUGACGGGUGUGAUGCUGAUGAGGAUUACAUGCCUCGAUGUGCAAGACGCAGAACACAAACACAAGAAGAUGGUACUGACGAAGGGGAGAGCGAUGAAUCCAUGAAUAUCAUACGUGAUAGGAUAGCUGAUGCUUUGGUUAGUGCGAGAUGAGGCUAGUUAUGUUGAGAGAUGGCAUUGUUGUAUCCGAACUUUGAUGGAUAUUUUUCUAUUAUGUUAAAUUAUUUUACCUUUGCUUAAAUACUCAUUUUCAUGUAAAUUAAAGAACAAAUUACUACGUUUCAAGCAAUUUCCAUAUAAACAUGUCAGAGUUUAACAGCACCUCCAACCAAACGGCUUUUUGCUUUUCGCACAGCUGCUUUCUGACAGCUGCUUUUCCACAGCUCACAGCCCACAACAGCUUUUUUAAAAGCCAUAGUUCAACCAAAAGCACCCUGUAACAGAACCGACCAAAUUAUAAGAGAUUAAGCCUAAUAGUGACCAUUUGCAUAGUCGAACUAUCACGCUUAAGCCCAUAUAAUCCCGGUAGUCCGUGAAAUCUCGAUGGAUUUCAAACCACACAUCACAUAACAGCCAAGAUCGUAAUAAGUUUAGCGGUCGCCAUCCACAAGUACAUCCAGAUUACAACAUUCAUAAAAUACAUCGGAGUGCUUAAAGUUAUUACAAACCAAGUUCUUCAAGUAGCGGAAGCUUCAUAGUUUGAAAUUACAACACACACGAUAAGUCUGAUACAGUGCCAUAGUUCGGUCAUUCCCACAAAAGCAAAAGAAGAGACGGAGUGACCAUCGCCCUUGGUCUAGUCAUCACCCAUAGCUGGGUACAGACAGAGGAUGCAAUAACCAUAGUACAUUUGACCAUCUGCAAAACAACAUGGGGAUAGAACCCUGAGUACGAGAAGGUACUAAGCUAGACUUACCCGUCAUAAACUUAAAAUAAAGACUCAUCAAGGAUCAUGAAGGCUAUAUAGUGGGGUAGCUGACGACCAUUUUGCAAAACCGCAGUAUUUCGCUAACAUAACCUACAUAAGUCUUUCUUCUUUUAAUUGGCUCAAGUUGAAAGUAUCAUUACCUAUCGUCUAGGUUUGCACCUGCACUAUUACAAGCAAGUAUGAGACUAUGAUAGUACCUCAUCAUAGUAUUUCUUAAAACUAUUCACCAUUAUAACCCAAGUGUUCCAUAGUCCUUACUACGAGGACAGGGCUCAUGUCAAGUGCUCACUAUCCAGGAGCGAUGGCGAUUCGAAUCGAUUUCUAACCAGCUGGCGAAUUUAUUCCCCAUACAAACCACACUCACUGAUCAAGUGAGCUACAGGUCACCGUGUUGCACUAUCCAGGACCAAUUCGCGGGUUCGACAGGCACCGCCCGUACCCGAGGACCGUUCCGGCGACCGAGGUAUCCAAGGUAUACCAAGGUUGCGCGCCGCGCCCUCGUCGUUCUCCCCAACCAUCACCAAUACAGCGCGUACAUCGGGCCGAUUCCCGGCCCGGAUAGUGCUCAGGCUUCACGGUCGGAACGACUUAUCCUUCCAGCUAAAUGUGGGGCAUGCGUUCAACAUGACAAGAGGGCCGUCAACGAUCGAUCCUUAAUCGACACAGGCAGGGGCUCUAUGGGCAACCCACCAUAAGACCCUGCCCGGUCUCCAAUUACAUUUCACACUUGGUUAUUUCUUUCCCCAAGCAACCACUGCUUAAUCAAGCAGGUAUCCACCUAUAUCUCGCAGGUGACAGGACAUCACCCGACUUCUACCGGACUAAGCAAGCUAAGCAUAGACUCCGCGCCUAUCUACAUAGGACAAGGUAGAUAAACGAGUAGGGAUAAUAAGGAGUACAUAUGCAGCAACGGUAUCAGGCAACUCCUAUCACUUAAUAUGCAAUACAGUAGAACAAGUAUAACACUUUAUAUAAGUUAGCGAGAAUAGGGAGACUUAGAAUGCUCCGGGGCUUGCCUUUCUCAAAGGUGCUGGGUCGGUGAUCCGGACACUCUUGCAAUUCCUCUCCGGUUUCCUGUGCUUCCGGAGGUUCCUGCUCCUGUAUCUCCUCGGGUUCCUCGGGUCCCACUUCGUUCUCCUGCGAGCCUGUAUGAUGCAUAUAUGCUCAUGAGUGGAGUGCGAGAUGCCCGAGUGGAUGCUUGUAUGAGAAAGUACCAAAGGACCAUGACAUGAUGCAUGGAUGAUACACUUGGUCAUGUUCAUUACAAUGUAUGCAACAUCAUCCAAGAACAGGCACUUGGAUUAAGCAUCUAUUGCAUUCUCUUCUACAAUUAUUUUUCAAAUGAAAUCAGCAACCUACAUGAUGCUUCAAAGAUACACCAAACCCAAUUUAGUCCAUUCAACCUACAUACACAACCAUUCAUAAUUUUCUUUAUUCAUUUCUAAGCCCAUUAAAAAUCAUAUGCAAUUCUGUUCAUCAAUAAACUCCAGAAAAAUUACAGGAGACUACUAGCUAAUCAUAAAGUCUACUGUGAAUUUUUCAUAAUUUUUGGUUACUUAUUUUGAGCCACAAAAAUCACAAGAUUAAUGGAUAAGGCAAGUAUAAUCACCCUACUGUGAUAUAAGUGUCAAACAACAGAUUUCACAUUUUUACAAUUUAUCUAAUAUCAUAAGAAACACCCACAAAAUUUUCCAGAUUUAUUGCAUGACCCAUUUAAUUAUUAAAAAUCAUAAAGCACUGCCAUGCAAGCAUUUAAAUUACCAUAAAUUCAUUUAUACACCAAAUAAUAUGUAACAAUAUUUUCUCAGUGAUUAAACACACAUGCAGAGCCAGCAAAACAAGUUUUACAUUUUUCUGAACCCUAUUUUAUUUACUAUGCAUUUUCCAAGUUUAGGAAAAACAUGGAUUAAUUAUAUUCUUACAGGAAAGUUACUCAAACAUGACAUGCAAUCAUACUAGGCUAUAGAUCUGGAAAUAAGGAACACACCAAAAUUUAUUUCACCAUUUUUGGAGCUAUAUUCACCAAGAUAUGGAUUUUUGAACAUUUAAAUCAUUUCCUGGAAAUUAUUUUUCUGAAAACAAAUCAAAUCCACCCCGAGACCUGCUAGGUGCACCCAGUGCAGUGCACCCGCGGCCGCUGACGAGCGGACCCGCCUGCCAGCCGGGCCCGCUGGUCAGAGCGCAGAGGGGGAGGAGCUCCGGCGAGCCGGAGCUCACCGUCGGCGACCCCUUUCGGCGAAUCAAGCGGCUCUACACGCUCUACGGCUCACGGCGGCCCUAGGGCACCCAUUUGCGCGGCAUAAAACGGACCGGAGCAGGCUCGCCACCGGCCAUGGCGGAGCGGCGGCGCUGCUCGUCGUCGGUACGGGACGCCGGCUCGGUAGAGCGUGGCUGGAGGGGCUUGCGAGCAUCGCGGUGCCAAGGCGAACACGAUGCGCCAACUACGUAGCACCGGAAGGCAUGGAGACGCGCGGACCACGCGUGCGGCGGCGGAGCUCUCGCCGGAGAAGAAAGCGAGGGCGAGCGGGGCUCACCGUGCCUUACCGAGCGCUCAGAUGAGCGUUUCGCAACGGCGGAGCGAGGGCGAAGCUCGGGGAAGAACUAAUUGAAGAAUGGCGCACGCACGGGGGAGGAACAGCCGAGGCGGAGCUCGGGCUCCAAUGGCGACGGCGGCGCUCUGCGCGUGCGGGGCGAGGGCGAGAGAGCGAGAGAGAGGGAGCUGAGGGGCGCAAAUGGGAGCGGGGGCGGAGGCGAGCGCGACCGGGGCGCUUUGGUGGCCGACCGGGGCGCGUCCUCGCUGCCGCAUGCCCGCCACGCGGCGGCCGAGUCCUGCCGGCGCGCCACGGCGUCGCGGCGAGGCCGUCCGCGCGCGGACGCAGGCGCGAGCGCGGGGAAGGGGGGGGGAGAGCGCGGGCGGGCCGAGCCGGCUUCGGCCAGUGGGCCAGAAGCGAGGCCGCGGCCUGCUAGCGCCCCCCCUUUUCCUUUUCCAUUUUUUUUAAUUUUCUUUUCUUAAAUCCUCUUCCAAAAGCAUUUUGACCAUUUUCAAAUCAUUUUCACCAUUUUCACCCAAAAGCAAAGUGGUGCCAAACUAAAAGCUCUACAACUUUGCUUUAAUAGGUAAGACCAAAUUCUAAAUAGAAUUUGAAUUACAAAUUAAAACUUAGUUCUAGGUUUUUAAAUAAAGUUAUUUUGGAUAUUUUGUAUAAAUUCCAUUUCUCAAUUUCCAUAGCUCCAAAAAUUGCACAAAAAUGUUCUUAAUUCUUCUUACACAUAAACCAACCUAGUUUGAAUAUUUCACAAUUUUUGAAGCAAGCACCACAUUUUUAACAUAUUUAAAACUUAUGAAAUGAUGCACAUAAAAUCAUAUUCUUAGAAGAAUGACAUGCUCAUGAUGCUUAUGAUUGAUGAGAGUGCUUAUGCAUGACUUUGAUGAGACUAAGUGCAUGCUUAACACCUAGGGUGUUACAGCCCUUCCCCCCUUAGGGAAAUCUCGUCCCGAGAUUUUGGGUUACUAACCAUUUCUUGUGAAAUUUUGGAUAAACUGUUUUUAAGUAAUCCUCUGUUUCCCAAGUGGCAUCCCUAUCGUCAUGAUGACUCCACACCACUUUAUAAGUUCUGACAACUUUGUUUCGGGUUACUCGCUCCUUGGUAUCCACAAUCCCCAUUGGCUGCUCUUUAUACUCUAGGUCUGCUUUUAUCUUGAUCCCUCGAGGUUCAAUUCUUUGCUCAGGCACUUUCAAACAUUUCCGUAGUUGCGACACAUGGAAGACCGGAAAGAUCGAGCUCAUCUCUUCAGGUAACUGAAUCUUAUAGGCCACUGGGCCUUUCCUCUCUAGCACUUGGUACGGUCCCACAUAUCUGGGUGCAAGCUUGCUUCGAACUCGGAAACGUUGAACUUUCUUCAUUGGCGUAACCUUGAGGUACACAUAGUCACCUAUGUUGAACUCAAGUGGCCUUCUUCUCUUAUCCGCAUAACUCUUUUGUCGUGACUGUGCCGCUUGCAUAUGCUGCUGUAUGAUAUGCACCUUUUUCUCGGCAUCAUUCACAAAGUCGAUACCAUAGUAUCUUCUUUCACCAGGUUCAACCCAGUUUAACGGAGUUCUACAUCUUCGACCAUACAAAGCUUCAAACGGGGCCAUCUUGAUGCUCUCUUGAUAACUAUUAUUGUAUGAGAACUCAGCCAAAGGUAACCAUGAUUCCCACGAUCCCCUGGAUGAUAGCACACAGGCCCUCAGCAUAUCUUCUAACACUUGAUUUAGCCUCUCGGUUUGACCUGAAGUCUGGGGAUGAUACGCCGUGCUUCUUAUCAGACUGGUCCCCAAGCUCUUAUGCAUGCGCUCCCAGAAGUGAGCGGUGAACUGCGGUCCUCUAUCUGAUAUGAUUGUCUUGGGAAUACCAUGCAACUUGACAAUCUCAGCCAUAUAUAUAUCGGCAUACUCAGGAGGUCGGUAACGAGUCUUCACAGGGAUGAAAUGGGCCGAUUUGGUCAAUCGAUCUAUGAUUACCCAAAUCGAGUCAUUCCCCUUCCUGGUUGUCGGUAAACCCGUGAUAAAGUCCAUACUAACCUCUUCCCAUUUCCACUCCGGAACUGAUAACGGUUGCAACAGACCUGCAGGUUUCAUAUGGAUGGCCUUAACUCUGCAACACGUGUCACAACGGGCCACAUAAGCGGCUAUUUCUUUCUUCAUCUUGGUCCGCCAAAAGUGGGGCCUUAGAUCUUGAUACAUUUUGCUACUGCCAGGAUGAAUAGAAAGCUUAGAGAGAUGGGCUUCAUCCAUGAUGCGAUUCUUCAACUCCCGAUCUUUCGGGACCACUAACCGUUGUUGAAACCACAGUACCCCCUUCUCAUCAACCCGAAACUGAGUCUUUGGGUCAUCUUUGAUCUUUUCUUUGAUAUGGAAGAUACCCUUGUCUGUUUUCUGACCUUCAAUGACUUGACUCUCGAGUGAACAACUGAGUUGUAUAUGACAUAAGACCUCAGGAUGCAUGAGAUUGAACCCAUCUUCAAACAACGGUUGAACCACUUGACAGUGUGGUUUACGACUUAGAGCAUCUGCUACUACAUUAGCCUUGCCUGGAUGAUAGUGAACUUCCAGGUCAUAGUCCUUGAUUAGCUCUAACCACCGUCGUUGCCUCAUAUUCAGCUCGGACUGCGUGAAGAUGUACUUCAAGCUCUUAUGAUCGGUAUAAAUGUGACACUUAUUUCCCAGCAGAUAAUGUCUCCAAAUCUUCAAAGCAUGCACCACAGCUGCUAACUCGAGGUCGUGCGUUGGGUAAUUGACUUCAUGCUUUCUCAACUGUCGGGAAGCAUAAGCUAUCACCCUGCCAUCUUGCAUCAACACACACCCCAGGCCACUCUUCGAUGCGUCACAAAACACAUCAAAAGGCUUCUCUGUAUUAGGUUUUGCAGAACGGGAGCAGUGGUUAGCAACUUUCGCAAGGUGCGGAAGGCUAACUCACACCCUUCCGUCCAGACAAACUUAUGGUCCUUUUGUAGCAAACUUGUCAUUGGCUUAGCAAUCUUGGAGAAGUCAGGUAUAAAACGACGAUAAUACCCGGCCAGACCAAGAAAACUUCUAACUUCCGAGACCGAAGUUGGUGCCUUCCAGUCCAUGACUUCCUGCACUUUUGAUGGAUCCACAGCAAUUCCUUCUUCAGACAGAAUGUGCCCUAGGAAAGGAACUUUCUUUAACCAGAACUCACACUUGCUGAACUUGGCAUAUAACUGAUGCUCUCGUAACCGUGUCAGCACGAUUCUCAGAUGUUCGGCGUGAUCUUGCUCAUUUUCUGAAUACACCAGGAUAUCAUCGAUAAACACCACAACAAACUUAUCCAAUUCAGGCAUAAAGACUGAAUUCAUCAGAUACAUAAAGUAUGCAGGAGCAUUCGUCAACCCAAAGGACAUGACAAGAUACUCAUACAACCCAUAUCUGGUGGAAAAAGCAGUCUUCGGGAUAUCUUGCGGACGAAUCUUGAUUUGGUGAUACCCAGAUCUCAAAUCUAUCUUAGAAAACACUCUUGCCUUGGAUAACUGAUCAAACAGGAUAUCAAUCCUUGGCAAGGGAUACUUAUUUUUGAUUGUCACUGCAUUGAGUGGACGAUAGUCCACGCACAUGCGCAACGACUGAUCCUUCUUUUUCACAAACAACGCUGGACAACCCCAUUCCGACGAGCUUGGCUGGAUGAACCCUUUAUCCAGCAACUCUUUUAGUUGAUUCUUCAACUCAGCGAGUUCAUUUGGGGGCAUCCGAUACGGCCUUCUAGAUAUUGGUGCCGUACCUGGUAUCAACUCGAUUGCAAACUCUACCUCCCUAUCUGGGGGAAGUCCUGGUAAAUCCUCAGGAAACACAUCAGGGAACUCACAUACCACGGGUAUGUGUUCUAGAGGGACUACCUGUACUGCACAUGAAAGACUGGCGAAGUCCAACCGUCUAGGUAGCUUGACCUGAAGCACCCCCUUUUCUUGCGGGUCUCUAAGGGAAAGAGUUCUAUUCCCGGUAUCUAUAACCGCGCCCCAGUCAGUCAUCUUGUUCAUUCCAAUGAUGACAUCCAAAACCAGUCCUGGCAUGACCACAAGGUUUACACGGAACCUCCGACCACUGAUAUCCAGGGUAACUCCUGUUACCGUUUUAUUAGUCAACACAUCGGCUCCGGCUGAGCUGAUGCGAUAGCCAUAACCUAACUCAGUAACUGGCUGAUCAUGCUUUUGUGCAAAUGCUUGGCUCAUGAAUGAAUGCGAUGAUCCAGAAUCAAACAAAACAACUGCAAGAUGUUGGUUGACAGGAAACAUACCAGCUGUUACCGGUUCUCCUUCCGGAAUCUUCUCGAUCGAGGUAUGGUGCACACGAGCUGGAUAGGUUGGCUGCUGCCUUUUGGGGUAGGGACAUUCCUUAGCAAAGUGCCCCAUCUUGUGGCAGUUAUAGCAUGGACCCUUGGGCGCAUUGUUGGCGGCAGGUGCUGCAGCUUGAAUUGCCUUUGGCUUGGCAGGAGCUAUCGCCACCUUGUACGGCUUCUGUUGUGUUGGAUGCCCGGUGUUCCUUCUCUGCGGCGGUCGGAACCUAGCACCCGGGGCAGGAGGACGAUACUGCUGUCGCCCUGCCACUGGUGCCCUGGACUGAGAUGAUCCGGCUUCAAAAGCCCUCUUACGAGACUUGGAUGCACUGUAGUUGUUGUUAUUGUUCUCUUGGGUCAGACAGUCGCUGAUAUAGGCAUUGAAAGUAGCCUUGGCCCCUGUACCCAUGGUCUUCAGCAUCUUUGGAUUCAAACCUCUCUGGAAACUAGCAAUCUUCUUAGCCUCCGUGUUUACAAACUCAGGGGCAUAGCGAGCGAGAUUGUUGAAAGCGUGUAGAUACUCCUUCACAGACUUCGUCCCUUGGGACAGCCUCAUGAACUCCCCAACCUUCAUUUCAACCACACCAGGAGGAAUGUAAUUUCCCCGGAAAGCGGUGGUGAAGCGGUUCCAAGUGAUUGGGGUCCCUUCUGGGUAGGUGGUACGGUGAUGGGACCACCAAAUCCCAGCGGGUCCUUGUAACUGAUGUGCCGCAUAUUCAGCCUUGAGUUCUUCUGUCAUUCGGAGAAGACGAAACUUCUGUUCCAUGGUGUUGAUCCACUCAUCUGCUUCGAGCGGUUCCAAGGCCUCCUUAAAGAUUGGUGGCUUGGUAUCCAUGAAGUCCUUGAACGAACUGUACUGGUUGACCUCCCGGCCACCCUGAUUAUCCCCACGACGGGUAUUGUCAGCUAUGUUGCGCAAAGCUUCUUCCAUGUUGCGCUGCAUCUGCUCCAUGUUGCGUUGGCUUCCCAGAAACUGCGCGAAAAACACAUCCGCAGUGUAUGGGGGAGGUGGUGGUGGUGUUGGCGCUCGGUCCUCAUUCCGUUGAGCCCCAUUUCCGGAUGUACCUGCUCCAAGACCCGGGUUGCCGUUACCCCCGCCACGUGUUUGUACCAUCUGCAUACGCCAAUGAUAAGCAAUCGUUAGGAGUUGCCAUCAACCGGUAGAAAAUGUGUAAAAUCGUGCCAUACUGAAUUUACUGAGGGAAUAAAUUCACACAAUAAACAAAGGCACAACAACUCAUCAUCCACGCACAACAUCACUAACAGAUUACUUAACAUUCACGCAACAAGGUUCGCGUACAUCCAACUUGCCAGCAUACAUACACUGGACUUUCAGCAUCAACUCAUAAAGUCUUACACAGCCCAGAUCCAAAAGUACACGACAUGCCAUGCAACAUACAUCACAAAAGAGGAAAGACUAGCUCUAGAACCCUAGCAUCUACUCGCUGUGGUCACUGUCCAUGCCAGAGCCAUCCUCAUCCUCAUCACCACUAGCAGCUGCUCCUAUCUCGGGAUCUGCGUCCAUCUCGUCCUCAGAGUCUAGCUCCGCUGCUCCAGGCAGGUGGUGAGGGUGGAGUUGGUUAUGCAGCUGGUGGAUCUCCUCAUGCAAGUUCUCAUUGUACUCCUCGGCAUUAGCUAGCUGCUGCUCUAGCUCCAGCUGUCGGGCUCUCAAAGUGUCCUCCUCGUGCCAGGCUUCAUUCCUCUGUCCAAGCACAUGGACUAGCAUGCGCUCGCAGUUCCUGUGAGCAGUAGUCACCCUGUCCUUCUGCUCCCGCACUACAAGCAGGUCCUGACUCAGCUCACUGUUCUUCUGGACUGCCUGGUCUCUCUCUCUGGUCACACGAGCCAACUCUGCCUGUAGCCUCUCAACCUCAGAGUCAAACUCACGUUGCAACUGACGCUUCUCAUCCUGGACGGUGAGAAGAGACCCGGACAAGCGACCCAAACAACGCUCCAGGCCUCCAUAGGUCUUCAUCAACGCGUACAUGGCACUCAUAGCUGCACUGUCACUGUGCUGGUCCUCAUCCGCACUCCUCUCUAGAGCAUUCACCUCGGACUGAUCCCACACCGAAGUGUAAGGGUCACCCCGGGGAAACACCCCAGCGAAGGCGUGGGCCAGCUCCUGUGGAAACCUCUCCAUGAGGUCCCUCAGAACUGCGAAAGCUGCCCUGCUGGCACCGUGGAAAGGCGUGACACCUCGGGACUCGUACACCCAACCGCCCCAAGCAGGGUCUCCUCCACAGGUAGGGACAACUGCCUCGAUCCCCACCAGGGUCUCAUCACCAAGCGGCUCCUUAUCCCAAUAGUAGCGAGGCUCCCUUCCUUCGGGAUACCCCAUCGAACUGAGCACCCUCCAAAGCAAAGUGGGCAUCCCAAACUCCUCUAGGAACUUGCUCUUAUGUCGCGAGCUCCUGGCUGCCAACGGACGGCGAGGGGCCCGCCCACCAGUGGACUUGCGAGCGGUGAGCCUAGUGCGUGCCAUCUGCUGCAAAUGGAAUACCGUGGGUAAGAGUGAGGAUUACCUUUAAUUAUUUUAUUUAGAAUUGGGACAGAUUAAAUUAAGGGGGAAAGUAAGCAAUGAUAUGAAAUGAACAUGAUGUAUGCACGAGCUUACGAUCUCACAAACUUAGAAACAAAGGUUAACACUAAGCGGUAUAUGCGGCGGCACACAACGUUCUCUCAUAACGUAACUAGCGUUCUAAGCGAGAACGUGGUUAGUGUACCUGCAGAAAACUCAUUUCAGCCCACCCACAAUAAUUUAAAACCAUGCACUUCACAUACACAGACACACGUCCAUGCAUGUGACGUGCCACUACCCACAUCAUCGCCCUAUUGACGGCAUCGCCUCUCAGGACGGAAUUCCCAGCAUGCGGUACUGUUCCCAAGACACACCAACAUGUGCGCAUGGCACAGCACCUGACAACACUCCCCUAGACCGGCAGUGUAUCCGAUCAUGCUCUCACAACUCCCACUUACCAUGGCGUAGAGGAAGAAUUGAUCCAUACAUUACCACUCAAAUGAAUGGCACUCAUACUAUUUGCACGCCGUAUGAGCGACGAAAUGAAAAUAUGAUGCAUUAACCCCCAAGUCAGUACUUAACUAGCCAUCUUAGAGUCCUUAACUGGGCAUAAAGGAUAUGACCAUGGCACACUAGAUAAUUUUCCCAAAACUUAGUUUAACACCUUGAUCAUUAUUAAUUAAUUAAUAAAAUCUUUUACUAGACCGGUUUAGAUUUUUGUUUAAAACGUACUUAUGAACAGUAACUCGCUAAACCUUGCUCCGAUGCUAGCUGUAACAGAACCGACCAAAUUAUAAGAGAUUAAGCCUAAUAGUGACCAUUUGCAUAGUCGAACUAUCACGCUUAAGCCCAUAUAAUCCCGGUAGUCCGUGAAAUCUCGAUGGAUUUCAAACCACACAUCACAUAACAGCCAAGAUCGUAAUAAGUUUAGCGGUCGCCAUCCACAAGUACAUCCAGAUUACAACAUUCAUAAAAUACAUCGGAGUGCUUAAAGUUAUUACAAACCAAGUUCUUCAAGUAGCGGAAGCUUCAUAGUUUGAAAUUACAACACACACGAUAAGUCUGAUACAGUGCCAUAGUUCGGUCAUUCCCACAAAAGCAAAAGAAGAGACGGAGUGACCAUCGCCCUUGGUCUAGUCAUCACCCAUAGCUGGGUACAGACAGAGGAUGCAAUAACCAUAGUACAUUUGACCAUCUGCAAAACAACAUGGGGAUAGAACCCUGAGUACGAGAAGGUACUAAGCUAGACUUACCCGUCAUAAACUUAAAAUAAAGACUCAUCAAGGAUCAUGAAGGCUAUAUAGUGGGGUAGCUGACGACCAUUUUGCAAAACCGCAGUAUUUCGCUAACAUAACCUACAUAAGUCUUUCUUCUUUUAAUUGGCUCAAGUUGAAAGUAUCAUUACCUAUCGUCUAGGUUUGCACCUGCACUAUUACAAGCAAGUAUGAGACUAUGAUAGUACCUCAUCAUAGUAUUUCUUAAAACUAUUCACCAUUAUAACCCAAGUGUUCCAUAGUCCUUACUACGAGGACAGGGCUCAUGUCAAGUGCUCACUAUCCAGGAGCGAUGGCGAUUCGAAUCGAUUUCUAACCAGCUGGCGAAUUUAUUCCCCACACAAACCACACUCACUGAUCAAGUGAGCUACAGGUCACCGUGUUGCACUAUCCAGGACCAAUUCGCGGGUUCGACAGGCACCGCCCGUACCCGAGGACCGUUCCGGCGACCGAGGUAUCCAAGGUAUACCAAGGUUGCGCGCCGCGCCCUCGUCGUUCUCCCCAACCAUCACCAAUACAGCGCGUACAUCGGGCCGAUUCCCGGCCCGGAUAGUGCUCAGGCUUCGCGGUCGGAACGACUUAUCCUUCCAGCUAAAUGUGGGGCAUGCGUUCAACAUGACAAGAGGGCCGUCAACGAUCGGUCCUUAAUCGACACAGGCAGGGGCUCUAUGGGCAACCCACCAUAAGACCCUGCCCGGUCUCCAAUUACAUUUCACACUUGGUUAUUUCUUUCCCCAAGCAACCACUGCUUAAUCAAGCAGGUAUCCACCUAUAUCUCGCAGGUGACAGGACAUCACCCGACUUCUACCGGACUAAGCAAGCUAAGCAUAGACUCCGCGCCUAUCUACAUAGGACAAGGUAGAUAAACGAGUAGGGAUAACAAGGAGUACAUAUGCAGCAACGGUAUCAGGCAACUCCUAUCACUUAAUAUGCAAUACAGUAGAACAAGUAUAACACUUUAUAUAAGUUAGCGAGAAUAGGGAGACUUAGAAUGCUCCGGGGCUUGCCUUUCUCAAAGGUGCUGGGUCGGUGAUCCGGACACUCUUGCAAUUCCUCUCCGGUUUCCUGUGCUUCCGGAGGUUCCUGCUCCUGUAUCUCCUCGGGUUCCUCGGGUCCCACUUCGUUCUCCUGCGAGCCUGUAUGAUGCAUAUAUGCUCAUGAGUGGAGUGCGAGAUGCCCGAGUGGAUGCUUGUAUGAGAAAGUACCAAAGGACCAUGACAUGAUGCAUGGAUGAUACACUUGGUCAUGUUCAUUACAAUGUAUGCAACAUCAUCCAAGAACAGGCACUUGGAUUAAGCAUCUAUUGCAUUCUCUUCUACAAUUAUUUUUCAAAUGAAAUCAGCAACCUACAUGAUGCUUCAAAGAUACACCAAACCCAAUUUAGUCCAUUCAACCUACAUACACAACCAUUCAUAAUUUUCUUUAUUCAUUUCUAAGCCCAUUAAAAAUCACAUGCAAUUCUGUUCAUCAAUAAACUCCAGAAAAAUUACAGGAGACUACUAGCUAAUCAUAAAGUCUACUGUGAAUUUUUCAUAAUUUUUGGUUACUUAUUUUGAGCCACAAAAAUCACAAGAUUAAUGGAUAAGGCAAGUAUAAUCACCCUACUGUGAUAUAAGUGUCAAACAACAGAUUUCACAUUUUUACAAUUUAUCUAAUAUCAUAAGAAACACCCACAAAAUUUUCCAGAUUUAUUGCAUGACCCAUUUAAUUAUUAAAAAUCAUAAAGCACUGCCAUGCAAGCAUUUAAAUUACCAUAAAUUCAUUUAUACACCAAAUAAUAUGUAACAAUAUUUUCUCAGUGAUUAAACACACAUGCAGAGCCAGCAAAACAAGUUUUACAUUUUUCUGAACCCUAUUUUAUAUACUAUGCAUUUUCCAAGUUUAGGAAAAACAUGGAUUAAUUAUAUUCUUACAGGAAAGUUACUCAAACAUGACAUGCAAUCAUACUAGGCUAUAGAUCUGGAAAUAAGGAACACACCAAAAUUUAUUUCACCAUUUUUGGAGCUAUAUUCACCAAGAUAUGGAUUUUUGAACAUUUAAAUCAUUUCCUGGAAAUUAUUUUUCUGAAAACAAAUCAAAUCCACCCCGAGACCUGCUAGGUGCACCCGGUGCAGUGCACCCGCGGCCGCUGACGAGCGGACCCGCCUGCCAGCCGGGCCCGCUGGUCAGAGCGCAGAGGGGGAGGAGCUCCGGCGAGCCGGAGCUCACCGUCGGCGACCCCUUUCGGCGAAUCAAGCGGCUCUACACGCUCUACGGCUCACGGCGGACCUAGGGCACCCAUUUGCGCGGCCUAAAACGGACCGGAGCAGGCUCGCCACCGGCCAUGGCGGAGCGGCGGCGCUGCUCGUCGUCGGUACGGGACGCCGGCUCGGUAGAGCGUGGCUGGAGGGGCUUGCGAGCAUCGCGGUGCCAAGGCGAACACGAUGCGCCAACUACGUAGCACCGGAAGGCAUGGAGACGCGCGGACCACGCGUGCGGCGGCGGAGCUCUCGCCGGAGAAGAAAGCGAGGGCGAGCGGGGCUCACCGUGCCUUACCGAGCGCUCAGAUGAGCGUUUCGCAACGGCGGAGCGAGGGCGAAGCUCGGGGAAGAACUAAUUGAAGAAUGGCGCACGCACGGGGGAGGAACAGCCGAGGCGGAGCUCGGGCUCCAAUGGCGACGGCGGCGCUCUGCGCGUGCAGGGCGAGGGCGAGAGAGCGAGAGAGAGGGAGCUGAGGGGCGCAAAUGGGAGCGGGGGCGGAGGCGAGCGCGACCGGGGCGCUUUGGUGGCCGACCGGGGCGCGUCCUCGCUGCCGCAUGCCCGCCACGCGGCGGCCGAGUCCUGCCGGCGCGCCACGGCGUCGCGGCGAGGCCGUCCGCGCGCGGACGCGGGCGCGAGCGCGGGGAAGGGGGGGGAGAGCGCGGGCGGGCCGAGCCGGCUUCGGCCAGUGGGCCAGAAGCGAGGCCGCGGCCUGCUAGCGCCCCCCCUUUCCCUUUUCCAUUUUUUUUAAUUUUCUUUUCUUAAAUCCUCUUCCAAAAGCAUUUUGACCAUUUUCAAAUCAUUUUCACCAUUUUCACCCAAAAGCAAAGUGGUGCCAAACUAAAAGCUCUACAACUUUGCUUUAAUAGGUAAGACCAAAUUCUAAAUAGAAUUUGAAUUACAAAUUAAAACUUAGUUCUAGGUUUUUAAAUAAAGUUAUUUUGGAUAUUUUGUAUAAAUUCCAUUUCUCAAUUUCCAUAGCUCCAAAAAUUGCACAAAAAUGUUCUUAAUUCUUCUUACGCAUAAACCAACCUAGUUUGAAUAUUUCACAAUUUUUGAAGCAAGCACCACAUUUUUAACAUAUUUAAAACUUAUGAAAUGAUGCACAUAAAAUCAUAUUCUUAGAAGAAUGACAUGCUCAUGAUGCUUAUGAUUGAUGAGAGUGCUUAUGCAUGACUUUGAUGAGACUAAGUGCAUGCUUAACACCUAGGGUGUUACAGCCCUUCCCCCCUUAGGGAAAUCUCGUCCCGAGAUUUUGGGUUACUAACCAUUUCUUGUGAAAUUUUGGAUAAACUGUUUUUAAGUAAUCCUCUGUUUCCCAAGUGGCAUCCCUAUCGUCAUGAUGACUCCACACCACUUUAUAAGUUCUGACAACUUUGUUUCGGGUUACUCGCUCCUUGGUAUCCACAAUCCCCAUUGGCUGCUCUUUAUACUCUAGGUCUGCUUUUAUCUUGAUCCCUCGAGGUUCAAUUCUUUGCUCAGGCACUUUCAAACAUUUCCGUAGUUGCGACACAUGGAAGACCGGAAAGAUCGAGCUCAUCUCUUCAGGUAACUGAAUCUUAUAGGCCACUGGGCCUUUCCUCUCUAGCACUUGGUACGGUCCCACAUAUCUGGGUGCAAGCUUGCUUCGAACUCGGAAACGUUGAACUUUCUUCAUUGGCGUAACCUUGAGGUACACAUAGUCACCUAUGUUGAACUCAAGUGGCCUUCUUCUCUUAUCCGCAUAACUCUUUUGUCGUGACUGUGCCGCUUGCAUAUGCUGCUGUAUGAUAUGCACCUUUUUCUCGGCAUCAUUCACAAAGUCGAUACCAUAGUAUCUUCUUUCACCAGGUUCAACCCAGUUUAACGGAGUUCUACAUCUUCGACCAUACAAAGCUUCAAACGGGGCCAUCUUGAUGCUCUCUUGAUAACUAUUAUUGUAUGAGAACUCAGCCAAAGGUAACCAUGAUUCCCACGAUCCCCUGGAUGAUAGCACACAGGCCCUCAGCAUAUCUUCUAACACUUGAUUUAGCCUCUCGGUUUGACCUGAAGUCUGGGGAUGAUACGCCGUGCUUCUUAUCAGACUGGUCCCCAAGCUCUUAUGCAUGCGCUCCCAGAAGUGAGCGGUGAACUGCGGUCCUCUAUCUGAUAUGAUUGUCUUGGGAAUACCAUGCAACUUGACAAUCUCAGCCAUAUAUAUAUCGGCAUACUCAGGAGGUCGGUAACGAGUCUUCACAGGGAUGAAAUGGGCCGAUUUGGUCAAUCGAUCUAUGAUUACCCAAAUCGAGUCAUUCCCCUUCCUGGUUGUCGGUAAACCCGUGAUAAAGUCCAUACUGACCUCUUCCCAUUUCCACUCCGGAACUGAUAACGGUUGCAACAGACCUGCAGGUUUCAUAUGGAUGGCCUUAACUCUGCAACACGUGUCACAACGGGCCACAUAAGCGGCUAUUUCUUUCUUCAUCUUGGUCCACCAAAAGUGGGGCCUUAGAUCUUGAUACAUUUUGCCGGAGCUUCAUUUUGUUCCUGUUUCACGCGGUUGGUUUUGUGGUCCGAUCCUAGGCCUUGUUUAGGCCUUCUUUAGUUUACUCGAAAAACCAAAAAAUUUUCAAGAUUUCCCGUCACAUCGAAUAUUACGACAAAUAUAUGAAGCAUUAAAUAUAGACGAAAAUAAAAACUAAUUACACAGUAUGCCUGCAAAUCGCGAGAUGAAUCUUUUGAGCCUAGUUAGUCUAUGAUUAGAUAAUAUUUGCCAAAUAAAAACAAAAAUGAUAUAGUGCUGAAACCCAAAAAAUUUUGGGAACUAAACAAGGCCUUAGUUCUAAUUUUUUUUGGAAAAACGACAUUAUAGCACUUUCGUUUUUAUUUGAAAAACAUUGUCUAAUCACAGAGUAACUAGACUUAAAAGAUUCGUUUCACGAUUUACAGGCAAACUGUGUAAUUAGUUUUUAUUUUCAUCUAUAUUUAAUGCUUUAUGCAUGUGCCGCAGGAUUCGAUGUGACGUGAAAUUUUGAAAAGUUUUUGGUUUUUAGGGUGAACUAAACAUGGCCCUAGCUGAAAUUGUUUUGUCCGGUCAUGUUCUUGGAUAGGCAGGCCGUGUUUAGUUUGUGAACGAAAAAAUUUCGGGACAGUGUAGCACUUUUGUUUUCAUUUAAUAAUUAUUGUCUAACUAUGGACUAACUAGGCUCAAAAGAUUCAUCUUACAAAUUACAGAUAAACUGUGCAAUAAGUUAUAUUUUUUAAUAUAUAUUUAAUGUUUCAUGCAUGCGUCUAAAGUUUUGAUGUGACAGGGAAUCUGGAAAUUUUUUGGAAACUAAACAAGGCCUAAAGAAACAGGCCUUGUUUACUUCCACCCAAAACCUAAAAUUUUUCAAGAUUUCCCGUCACAUCGAAUCUUUAUACGUAUGCAUGAAGUAUUAAAUAUAGACAAAAAUAAAAACUAAUUGCACAGUUUAGUUAAAAUUUACGAGACGAAUCUUUUAAGUCUAACUAGUCCAUGGUUGGACAAUAAUUAUACCCUUAAGGGAAAAAAUCACCUCCACAAACAUGGUCUUACCUUCUGUGUAGCGAAGUCCUGUGUAGCGAAGUCCCUAGCACCAUCUCCAACUCAAUAUGUCUCAUUACUCACUCUGAUAUUUUGCCGAUGCCCAACCUAAAACUUUUCAGUUUUUAAGGCCUGUUUGGUUUCCCAUGACUAAAUUAGUCACCCAUGUUUGGUUUUAGUGACUAAAGAUCAUUAAAGCAGUUCAAUAAAGACCAAACUACUCCUAAUAAAUGCACAAAUCAGGAUGGAGGAUCGACAAUAAUGAGGGGCAGCCCCUGUCCACUGGGCACUUUCACUUUAGUCACUCCUAUCUCCAACAAAUGGAACCUAAAAUACAGACCCAUUUUAUGGUUUAGGUCUCACACGGUACAAGCAUCGCAUAUGCAAAACUUUCAUUCUCCAACAACAAGCGCAAAAAUAGAGCACCCAAACCUGCCACGCUACUCCGGCCGCUCGCCACGGGCUCCAGAGACGACGAGCGCUCGACCUCCAAGCACCACCACCGCAGUGGGCGGGGCCAUCUUCGGCGAGUGGCUUGGCAGGCAAGGCCAUCUCCGGCGGCGCGGCGGGCGGGGCCAUCUCCAGUUGCGUGGCGGGCGGGGUCAUCUCUAGCGAUGUGGCAGGCGGGGCCAUCUCCGGCGGCGUGGCGGGCGGGGCCAUGUCUGCCGGCGUGACGGGGGCCUGUCCGGCGAGCGGCGCAACGGGGGAGGGGGAGGGCAUCUCCGGCGGGCAGGGCCAUCUCCGGCGUAGGGCCGCAGCAGCAGCACCUGACGCAGGAUGGGCGGGCAGUGAACUCCGAGUUGGGCGCUGGGCGGGCUGUGCGGCCGAAGCGGAAGGAGCAGCAGCACCUCGAGGGAUGAGAUGCAGCGCUGGCGAUUUGCGUCUUGGACAGAGACGAGGCAAAUAUGCAUCCUAGUUCGCUCCCUCCCCAAAAUAGGUGUUCUGUAUGCGUCGUUUGUUGGAGCAUGUUAAAACACUGUGCAUGAUCCUUUUUGCGUUUGCCUCUUGUGUUGCAUGAGCUGUUGGAGACAGCCUAAGCGUGCUAAGGGCACUCACAAUGCAGACUCUAUCAUAUAGUCUAAAGUUAUUUAUUACCUCGACCUAUGUGGACUUUGAGUCUAAAUAAGACUUGGAGUCUUAUUUUUUCUACCUCUUUCUUCAAUAAAUAUGCUGCCACAUCAGUAAAAUACCAUAAAUAAUAUGUAAUUAAGUGUCUUGGACUUUGUGAUAGAGUCUUGCAUUGUGAGUGUCCUAAUAUGACUAAACUAUUUUAGUCCCUUUUUAAUCAGUUUAUUUGACACUUUAGUAGCUAAAGUGACUAAAGUUCAUGAGGAAAACCAAACAGGCCUGUUAUCUUCUACACGAAGUAAAGUUUCACUUUUGUUGAGAACGGUGUUGAGCUCAUUGCAAGCCUUCCCUUUGGCUCUGAGGAUGGCCCAAGGGUUCUGAAAGCCGUCAACUCUGGUUGAUUAUUGGAGUUGUCUCAAGUCCAUGGUAAGCCUGUAUUGACUAUGCUUGUAGCUAAAGCAUGAAAACACUGCCACACGUUCGGGCAUUAGCACCGGUCGGUAAGGGCCUAUUGCUCCGGUUCCCGAGCCGGUGCUGCCUUUCCGGGACUAAAGGCCCACCCUUUAGUCCCAGUUCGGGCAACCGGGGCUAAAGGCCCUCCCUUUAACACCGGUUGGUAAUACCAACCGGUGUUAACCGGUGUUAAAGGGUCCUGCCAGGGCUGCCACGUUACAGGACUCUUUAACACCGGUUGGUAUUACCAACCGGUGUUAAAGGGUUUCGUUUUUUUUGGUUUACUUCUUCGGUUCUGUUUAUUGUUUUUAUAUAAUAUAUAAUAAUAGGUUUUUGCUGAUACAAUAAUAUAUUUAUAUUACACGCAUAUUAAGCAUAUAUAAAUGAAAAUUAUAGGCUUAGCUUAAUAAUUAAACUUUGUCUAUAAUAAAAUGAAUAGACCACAUCAAAAAUUAAAUAGAUAUGUAAAAAGCUUUAUAUAUAUAUAGUUUUACAUGUACAAAAUUCGUAACACAUAUAUACAUAGAGUUUUUUCUCCCAAUGUCUACAAACGAUACAAAUGAUCAUCGUUGUUUGGAAUAAGAGUUUCGUUGCCGUUGAAGUGAAACUCGCCGUUUGGAUUGAUCACUUGGUCGCGGAGAAAUCCUGCUAUCGUCUCUUAGAUAGCUUUGAUUCGGUCUUGUUGUAGGACCUUUUCCCUCAGCCAUUCCGUCUUUAAUUUGAAAUAAAUAAAAAAGGUAUUAGUUAUCUAAGUUAUUCAAUAUAAUUCAGGAGAUAAUGAAAAGAGACAUGUAACGUACUCUGAGCGUCUCUGUGGGUGUUUGAUUGACUUGUACCAUCAUGAAUUUGCACACGUAAUAUGCACAUAGAUUGUUCCCCCCUUCUUGUCUUAAACACUACUAUACGAUAUAUAUAUAUAUAAAUAUUCACGACCACGACAAUAAGAAGGCUAAAAGUUAACGAAAGUUUGUUAGCUAGUAGAACUUACUUGUGGAUGUAUUAUGUUAAGCGGCGCUUUACAUCCACUGAGAUGUUCACGGUCAAUGAAUCUUUCCCAAACCCUAUACACAGCCAUUGUGGAUCGUGAACUAAUAAUUACAGAGUCAUAUUAUGAUAUUUUUGUAGGUGAGAUCGACAUUACGUACCUUUGAAUAAUGUUUACCAUUUGUUGAUAAUUUUCUUGUGGUUUUCUCAUUGAGUCAAAGAUUAUCAACCGGUUCUUGGGAAUUUCAAUGACCAUGAGUAUCCAGUGAAAGCUGUUUACACACACAUAUAUAUAGUCAGUCCUAUAAUGUAAAAUAAAAUAUGCAUGCACUUAAUAACUAUAUAACUCACUCGAAGUUGAAGGGGAAGAGUAUUUUUUGUUUUUCUUUUUGGUUCACAAAGAACCUCAUAAGAUUGGUGUAGACUUCUGUCUCAUGGUCUGCUGUCCACACUGCCUGCGGAGCCUUGAAAACAAUAUAAGGGUCAACGAACCCAAUACUAUUGUCAUUUCUCAUUCUGAGCUCUCUCAUUUGGUGCCUGCAUAUAUACAUACAAAUCCUAAGUGUGUAAGGAUUAUAUACAUGUAAUUAAAGAAGUUAGAAGUAUAAUAAAAAGAAAAAAAUACUUAGAGACAAAAGCAGCUGACAAGAGAUUUGUCAAGAGCGUCGAGGUGACAUAAUUGGUGCACUUCUUCGAACUGCACGUAUAUGAGGUCAUCUCCACGGAAGUAGUGAUGUUGUCUAAUACGAACAGAAAUCCAAUUCUCUCCCCUUUUAGACGCCUCAAUGCACCAUUUGUUUAUUGCAAACAUUUGUGUGUCGAGUUCGUGUAAACGCCUAGGGUCGAAUAGACUCCUGCCCGGUUCAUAUCUUGCCCUCCAUUGAUCAACUACCUCGGCUUUUUCAAAUGUUUGGCAUCCAAGAAUGGCGGCAAUUUCUUCCAUACUUAAACCGCUCUGUCCAAAGUAACGCUCAAGCGAGUCUAGCUCAGACAACGCUAAGGAUUUCUUUGGCAUCAAGUCUUCAUUUGAGCCGUAUUGAUUUGGCACAAUCAAAGGGGGCACCGGUUUUGAUACUUCUCCGAGCUGUGGGACCUCCUUUCCUACUCUUUUCUUAGGCUGUGAAGACUUGACCAGAGACCGCUCAUAGUCCGAAAGUGCUGGCUUUUUCUGAGCUUCGCGUUGCUUCUUUUGAUGGUCCGCCACCUUCUGCCUCAGUUCCGAUGGCUUCACAUAAAAGUACCGCUUUUCUGGGUUAAGCCGUUUUUUCCUAUCCUCCUUUAUUUUAUCAAAAAAUUGUUAGACCUCAGCUUUGGAUGUAGCAAUUACCUCCUCUUCACUCUUUUCGUAAGGUAAUUUUUCUGGCGUCUUAGCUCUCUUUGCUGAGGCAGCCUUCUUUGGAGGUGGGACCGAUGACUUCGGUCCUUCUUGGGCGGACCGCUUCUUACUAUCUCGCUUUGGAGACGAGGGGAUCGACCGUGCACUCUUUGGAGAGGGUGGUGCAGGCAGUGGAGGUGGUGGGGCCGAUCUUUUUGGCGUUGGAGAACGCGGUGGAGGAGUUGGAGACCUCGGUGGAGGAGUUGGAGACCUCAAUGGAGGAGGUGGAGACCGUGGUGGAGGCGGUGGCGGGGUCGGUGUGGUCGCCGCAUGUGUUGGAGGAGAUCCAGCAUUGUCACCGCCCGUAGCACUAUGAUGCGCUGGGGAGAGAACUGGACUUAGGUUGGAGGAGUCCCUGUAAAGAAAACAAUUACAAGUUUUGUGAGCAAACUUUUUUUUAAUUUCAAUACAUAAUAAAUAAUAUAAGAAAUAAAAUCACACACAAACCUAUGUUAAGGAAUAAUUAUGAAGCGCUUGCGCCAACAAAUAAAUGUCUUCUCAGCUUCACCUAAGGUCUUCUCUCCGUCUCCCCCUUCUAUGUCUAGUGGCACAUUGCCACAACCUUUCUCAACCCUAUCAACCGAGACGCUAGCAUAUCCACCAGGUACUGGUCGAUUAUGGAUUCUUGGAGUUCUCGUUCGGUCGAUAGGGUUGACAACAGCGAUAGCCACCUUUUUGCUUGCAUUCUCAUCUGGUACAUGCAGCUCACAGGUAGUAAAAGCCUCUGUGACAUCAUCCACGGGGAAGUGUAGCUUCGUGUCAUCCUGAAUGGUUGGUACUUCCGUGGAUGCGUAGCUGCUUUUCAACUGGCCUGGGGGCUAACAUUGACCUCAGGCUGUGAUGUACCUUGCCCUUUCGUCAUUUGACUAAGUGCUGCUUGCACUUGCCUUUGAAUCUCUGCCUGCAUCCAUUCUUCACGAGCUUUCUCGCGCUCUUGUGACUGCAGAACAAAAGCUUCCAGGCGGCGGAUCCGCUCUGCCUCCUCAUCCUUCUUUCUCUGGCAGCUUCUGUAGGUAUCUUGAUUGGCUUGGAAUGAUUACAGCCACGGAACUGCCCCAUAGCCUCUCGUACGCCCACCGUGCUCAGGAUUUUCAAGCGCAUAGGUGAGUUCAUCCUUCUCCCUGUUAGGCCUGAACUCACCAGACUGAACCGCCUCUCGUGCACGGACUAGUCUCUCUGCUGCUCUAGAGAUUUCUUGGCCCCAAACUAGCGCCCCGGUGUCUGGGUCCACGCUUCCCCCAUGACCGUAGAACCAAUGCUUGGAGCGCUCGCUCCAAUUCUUUGCUAUUGUCUCGGGUGUGACCCCCCUAGCAAGCAUCUCAUGUUCCAUUCGGUCCCACUUGGGAACAGCACUCUUAUAACCACCUGAUCUCAUAUGAUGGUGGUAUGUCUUUUUACUGGCAUUCUCUUUGUUUCUAAUGGCUCGUUCCUCGCCCUCUUCUGAUGUUUUGUACUACACAAAGUCAUCCCAGAAGGCCCUCAGCUUUACAUAUUGCUUGAGGUUGAAAUUAGGAGUCUCAUUUUCUUGACAUAUUUAUUGUACAAAGUCUUCUUCCAAUUCUGGAACAGUACUGCCAUCUUCUUCAUAGUCCAGUCAUAAAUUCGCACCUUCAACUCUUUAUCGUUGGUGUCGAAGGUGAAAACGUCCGUGACGGCUUUCCAAACUAACUCCUUGUCACGAUCAGAGACAAAACUGAUCUCAGGAGCACCUCGCUUCUCUCUCCAUUCACGAGCACUGAUCGGUAUUUGAUCUCUCACAAGAUAUCCACAGUGAAUAACAUAUUUAUUUGCAUGCUCACCAAGUGGUCUGCCUGUAGCUAUCUCAAACUCAGAGACUAUAUAGUGGCCCUCCAACGGCUUCUUUGGCCCUCGUGGAGGUACGCUUCUCCCCGUAGAGGUCGAUCCAGAAGGCUAUACGUAGAUAUAUGUGUGUGUAUAUAUGUAUAUAUAUAUAUAUAUAUAUUUCUGGUCUAGUGUAUAUAAAUAUUUAAUUAAUCAAUGGAGAGAUGCAUGGCGUUCUCGAUCUAUACAUAUUGCUUAGCACACAGCCGGCCGGGAGAAGAGAUCGAUGAGACGACGUUGGCCGGCGCUGCAGGUGCCCUUCGGCGGCGGCGCUGAUGGAGGGCCGCGGCGGAGCUGGUGGAGGGCCGCGGCGACGCUGGUGGAGACCGCGGCGGCGCUGGGAGUUGAAACGGCGCAACGGCGGCGGUGAAGACGACGAACGUCGUGGCGCUGGAGACGAAGACGCAGGUAACUGCUCAGAUCCAGGGCGCACGCGGCUUAUAUAGGGGUGCACCCUUUAGCACCGGUCCGUGGCUGGAACCGGUGCUAAAGGGUUUUUAACACCAACACGAGCCGGUGUAAAGGGUGACCCUUUAACACCGGCUCGUGUUACCAGCCGGUGCUAAAAGGACCCUUUAGCACCGGUUCCAGCCACGGACCGGUGCUAAAGGGUCUAGCGCGCGCUAGGGCGGGCUCCUGAAAUUUUCAGGACCCUUUAGCACCGGUUCCCACUAUGGGCCGGUGCUAAAGGCCCUGUUUUUUAGUUUAGGGUUUUUCAAUUGUUUAUAUAUACAGUUUAUAUUAUAAAUUGUAUAGUAAAUUAAAUAUUUUGCAUAAUAUUUUUUAAACAGUGACAUAUAUUGUAAUUUGUUUUAAUGUACACAUGAAAAUUUUUAAACUUAAAUAUCUUAUUGUAUUUUUAUAAUUUGCAAUGAUUUUGUAAGAAAUGUUUAGUAUUUUGUUAAUGCAAAAAUAUAUUAUUCCAAUAAAUUUACAAAAACUAUAUCCAAUCAACUGGAAAUUUAUUUUCACAUCAUAUUGACGUAAAAUUUUUUAUUUUUGUUAUUUAUUACUAGGAAUGCUAGUUGGGUAUAGUUUUCAUCAAAUAAAAAAUCAUAUAAAAAUAUAUAUCUUGAUGAACACACCCUUUGACCGAACCCUAGAUUGUCCCAAAUGGAAAAGUCAUGAAUACAAAGUUUGCUACACUCAUCAAGUUCUACAUUUUGUCUAAUGGUCAACUUUUUUGGAAAAGUUUGAACCACUGAAUUUUGAAUUUUCAUAUAACUCAUAGCCACGCAGCGGUUUCGGAACCCUAGAUGGUCUCGAAUGGAAAAGUCAUGAAUACCAAUAUUGUUCCACUCAUCAAAAUCUACAUUUCAUACAUAGACCAUUUUUGCAUUUGACAAAGUUUUGGGAAGGUGUAGUUGAAAAUCCACAAUUGACACAUAUAGUUUCAUAUAGUUUGUGUGAGAUUCAAGAAUUGGUGGGUAUUGUUAACUUAGACUUUCUCAAAUGGAAAAGUUGUGUAUAAAAAAGUUUAGAUCUUAAAGAUAUCUAACAACUUGGUAUUCAAAAUGUUUUCAUUUGAAGUAAUUUAGUUUGUCAUUUGACCAAGUUUGACCAAAACCCGUCUUGUAUUUUAUAGAAAUGUAAUUAGGAUUGGCUCAAAAUUAUCCAAAUAGAAAAAUAGACAAUAUAUAAAAUAUAGAUCUUGAUGAUCUCUAACAACUUUGUAUUCAAACUUUUUUCAUUUGAAGUCAUCAAAUGGGCCAUUUGACCAAGUUUGACCAAAGUCAAAGUAUUGGUUUUUACAAACACACCCUUUGACCGAACCCUAGAUUGUCCCAAAUGGAAAAGUCAUAAAUACAAAGUUUGCUACACUCAUCAAGUUCUACAUUUUGUCUAAUGGUCAACUUUUCAUUUGGAAAAGUUUGAACCACUGAAUUUUGAAUUUUCAUAGAACUCAUAGCCACGCAGCGGUUUCAGAACCCUAGAUGGUCUCGAAUGGAAAAGUCAUGAAUACCAAUAUUGUUCCACUCAUUACAAUCUACAUUUCAUAUUUAGACCAUUUUUGCAUUUGACAAAGGUUUGGGAAGGUGUAGUUGAAAAUCCACAAUUGACACAUAUAGUUUCAUAUAGUUUGUGUGAGAUUCAAGAAUUGGUGGGUAUUGUUAACUUAGACUUUCUCAAAUGGAAAAGUUGUGUAUAUAAAAAGUUUAGAUCUUGAAGAUAUCUAACAACUUGGUAUUCAAAAUAUUUUCAUUUGAAGUAAUUUAGUUUGUCAUUUGACCAAGUUUGACCAAAACCCGUCUUGGAUUUUAUAGAAAUGUAAUUAGGAUUGGCUCAAAAUUAUCCAAAUGGAAAAAUAGACAAUAUAUAAAAUAUAGAUCUUGAUGAUCUCUAACAACUUUGUAUUCAAACUUUUUUCAUUUCAAGUCAUUAAAUGGGCCAUUUGACCAAUUUUGACCAAAGUCAAAGCAUUGGUUUUUACAAACACACCCUUUGACCGAACCCUAGAUUGUACCAAAUGGAAAAGUCAUGAAUACAAAGUUUGCUACACUCAUCAAGUUCUACAUUUUAUCUAAUGGUCAACUUUUCAUUUGGAAAAGUUUGAACCACUGAAUUUUGAAUUUUUAUAGAACUCAUAGCCACGCAGUGGUUUCGGAACCCUAGAUGGUCUCGAAUGGAAAAGUCAUGAAUACCAAUAUUGUUCCACUCAUCAAAAUCUACAUUUCAUAUAUAGACUAUUUUUGCAUUUGACAAAGUUUUGGGAAGGUGUAGUUGAAAAUCCACAAUUGACACAUAUAGUCAUGACAAUUUUUGCAUUUGAUGAUCUCUAACAAUUGGAAAAGUCAUGAAUACAAAGUCAUGAAUACAAAGUUUGUUACACACAUCAAAAUUCACAAUUCUCAAAUAUAGUUUCAUACAAAGUCAAGCCGACACAACAGUGAACUUCUUCUUGACGUAUGACCCUUGGUUAUGAUCCUGCCGUAACCAUGGAGUAUCCUCAUUGUUUAACAGAAUGCUUGGGUCUUUGUUGACUAUGAAGGGCGGAAUUCGAUCAUCCCUUUCGUAAUCGCCUGACAUGUCUGACUUGUCCUCAAUUCCGACAAUGUUUCUUUUCCCAGAAAGGACAAUGUGGCGCUUUAGCUCAUUGAUGAUUGAGUGGUCAUCAUUUUUUCCUCUCUUUGGUUUCGUAGAUAUAUCUUUGACAUAGAACACCUCACUCACGUCUGCAGCAAGGACGAAUGGUUCGUCUUUGAACCCACUAUUGUUAAGGUCCACGGUUGUCAUCCCAUACUCCUUGUCGACUGUUACCCCACCUCCGGUCAUCUUCACCCAUUGGCACCAGAACAAAGGAACUUUAAAAUUAGCUGCAUAGACUAGUUCCCAUAUGUCUUCUAUGCGUCCAUAAUAUGUUUGUCUGUUCCCAUUUGGAUCCGUGGCAUCCACGCGUACACCACUAUUUUGGUUGGUGCUCCUUUUAUCUUGGCCAACUGUGUAAAAUGUGUUACCAUUUAUCUCGUACCCUUUGUAUGUGAGGACAUGCCAUGAUGGUUGCCUGGCCAACAAAUAAAGCUGCUCAUCAAUGUUUUCAUCACCUUGACAUUUUUUGCGCAACCAAUCGCCAAAAGUUUCCAUGUGCUCACGCAUUAUCCAAGCUUCAUUCUUCCCGGGCCACUGGGACCGUAGGAAAUCUUUAUGUACCUCAACAUAUGGUUCCACCAAUGAGGAGUUCUGGAGAACUGUGUAGUGUGCUUUAUUGAAGUAAUCGUCUCCCGUACCAAUAUAUGUUUUCUUCCCAAGUGUUCCCUUUCCGCUGAGUCUGCCCUCGUGUCGAGAUUCAGGAAUGCCAAUUGGGUCAAGGUCUGGAAUAAAGUCGACACAGAACUCUAUGACCUCCUCUGUUCCGUAGCCCUUGGCAAUGCUUCCUUCUGGCCGGGAACGACUAUGGACAUAUUUCUUUAGGACACCCAUGAAUCUCUCGAAGGGGAACAUGUUGUGUAGGAACACAGGACCGAGAAUACAAAUCUCUUUGACCAGAUGAACUAGGAGGUGUGUCAUGAUAUCGAAGAAGGAUGGAGGGAACACCAACUCAAAGCUGACGAGACAUUGAACGACAUCAUUCUGCAGAGUAGCUAGUUGCUCUGGAUUGAUUGCCUUCUGAGAAAUUGCAUUGAGGAAUGCACAUAGCUUUACGGUGGCUAGACGUACGUGUGGAGGUAGAAUUCCUCUUAAAACGACUGGCAGCAAUUGCGUCAUUAGAACGUGACAGUCAUGGGACUUCAAGUUCAGGAAUUUCUUCUCUGGCACAUUAAUUAUUCCCUUGAUAUUGGAGGAGAAUCCAGAUGGGACCUUGAUGCUGCUAAGACAUUCAAACAUGCUUUCCUUCUCUUCUUUGCUCAGAGUGUAGCUAGCAGGGCUUAAGUAAUGACGUCCAUCAUCUGUCUUUUCUGGAUGCAGGUUGUCUCGUUCUUUCAUGCGCUGCAAGUCUUGUCGUGCUUCAAGUGAAUCCUUAGACUUCCCGUAGACACCCAUGAAUCCGAGCAAGUUCACACAAAGAUUCUUUGUCAGGUGCAUCCCGUCGAUCGCGUUGUGGACCUCUAGGACAUUCCAGUAAGGUAGCUCCCAAAAUAUGGAUUUCUUCUUCCACAUGGGUACAUGUCCCUUAGCAUCCUUGGGAAUAGGUUCGCUGCCUCGUCCCUUUCCAAAUACCACUUUUAUAUCCUUGAGCAUUUCGAGUACAUCAUCCCCGGUUCGAUUGAGAGGUUUGGUUCGGUGGUCUGCCUUGCCUUUAAAAUGCUUGCCUUUCUUUCGUACUGGGUGGUUCACAGGAAGAAACCGACGGUGGCCAAGGUACACGACCUUUCGACAUUUUUUCAAAAAUACACAGUCAAGGUCUUCAUAACAAUGUGUGCAUGCAUUAUAUCCCUUGUUUGACUGGCCUGAAAGAUUACUCAGAGCUGGCCAAUCAUUGAUUGUUACAAACAGCAAUGCUCGCAGGUCAAAGUGCUCUUGUUUGUACUCAUCCCACACGCGAACUCCUGGUUUGCUCCAUAAAAGUUGAAGUUCCUCAACUAAUGGCCUUAGGUAGACAUCUAUGUCAUUGCCAGGUUGCUUCGGUCCUUGGAUAAGCACCGGCAUCAUAAUAAACUUCCGCUUCAUGCAUAGCCAUGGAGGAAGGUUGUAGAUACAUAGAGUAACUGGCCAAGUGCUGUGACUACUGCUCUGCUCACCGAAAGGAUUCAUACCAUCUGUACUUAAGGCGAACCGCAAGUUUCUAGCAUCAUCUGCAAAAUCUGGAAAUUCUCUGUCUAUCGCUCUCCACUGGGAUCCAUCGGCAGGGUGUCUCAGCAUAUUGUCUAUCUUACGGUCUUCUUUAUGCCACCGCAACAACUUUGCAUUGUCCUUAUUUCUGAACAGACGUUUUAAUCGUGGUAUUAUAGGAGCAUACCACAUAACCUUGGCAGGAAUUUUCUUCCUAUGACGUUCUUCACCCUCAACAUCGCCAGGAUCAUCUCGUCUAAUCUUAUACCGUGAUGCCUUACAUACUAGACAUGCAUCCAAAUUCUCGUAUUCCUCCCCACGGUAGAGGAUGCAGUCAUUAGGACAUGCGUGUAUCUUCUGGAUUUCUAAUCCCAAAGGACAGACAACCUGUUUUGCUUCAUACGUAGUGGUGGGCAAUUCGUUGCCUUUCGGAAGCAUCUUUUUUAUGAUCUUCAAUAACUGCCCAAAUGCCUUGUCAGAUGUACCAUUCUUUGCCUUCCAUUGCAGCAAUUCUAGUGUGGUACCCAGCUUUUUUUGCCCCUCUUCAGCGGUGGGAUAUAGCGAUUUCCUGUGGUCCUCUAGCAUGCGCUCGAACUUGGCUUUCUCUUUAUCACUUUCACAUUCUCUUUGUGCAUCACGGAUGGCAUCACCAAAAGCAUCAUCGCCCCGAUCAUCUUCUGCCGCCACCUCUUCUUCAUUAACUCCCCCCAUUGCAACAUCAUUGAAGCCACUGUACUGAGCAAUAAUAUUGGCAUGGUCCAAUUCUUCUUCUUCUUCUUCACCUUCAUCCAUUAUAAUCCCGCUUUCUCCAUGUUUGGUCCAACAAAUAUAGGUUGGUACGAAACCAGACUUUAAUAAGUGUGAACGAAGAGUUCUUGAGUUAGAAUAUUCCGUCAAAUUCUUGCACACGGCACAUGGACAACACAUGAAACCGUCCCUCUUAUUUGACUCGGCCACACUUAAGAAAUAGUGCACGCCAUUAAUGAACUCUUCGGAGCGCCGAUCGGCAUUAUACAUCCAAUUACGUGUUACCAUCUGCAUUAAAUAUAACAUAUAUAUUAUGAAAACCAUGCACACAUAUAGUUUCUCAUCUUAUUGCACAACAUGUCUAAGAUACAUAGUUGAUUAAUUUAGGAAAGCUUGGCUACAACAAAUACAAUCGCAACUAGCACUAAAAAACCAAAACUAAAAUGCACUUAAGCAACAUAAUUAGUUCGCAUCCGAUCCCAACUAUAAUAGAUAGAUCAUUCGCUUGAUCAACAUCAUUGAACUCCUUUCGUCGGCUCACUGCCUCACCACCUUCAGCCUCAACCACCUGUGCAAAAGAUUUCUUAAUGUGUUCAAUGUAUUCUUCCUUCCAGUACCAACCUGUACAUCCGCCGGUACCGUCCCACUGAAAUUAAAAGAGAGAAUCAAAAGUUUAGUUAAUAUCAUUUAAAAAAUAUGCACAUAUAUAAGCAAAUGUCUGGAAAUAACUCACAUUACGAUCUGGACACUUGUAGAAUAUACGACUCUUGUUUACUCCCUCUUUCGACACUUUGUACUCCAUCAAAAUCUUCUGCCCACACUUGCCACAAGUAAGAGGGAGUUCCGGACGGUAUCGCUUUUGAACCCGUUGAGAGACCGAAGACCCGGUCACGGUUGCCAUCUACUAUCCAUACUCAAUUUUUAAACAAUUAUAAAUUCCACAUUUACUAGUAAACAUGUAUGAUACAAUGGACAUUAUAUGUAGUAAUAAAAAUAAAUCAAGUGAUAUUAACAAACCAAUUAAUUUGAACUAUCCUACUUUCUAAGAUCAUAAAAAUAUACUAUAAUUCAUUCUUGCAAACUACAUUAAUACUAGGUCAACCAUGAAAUAUGAUAUAUAUAUAUAUAUGUGGAUACUAAUUCAUGUGAAUGAUUCAAAAUAACAACGUGGAUUUGAGCUAAAAAUAAUGCGAACAUCACAAGCCAAAAACAACAUGAAAAAGACAAGAAAGACAAAAGUUAGUCACCUCCAAAUACGAAGAAACGAUGACGGAGUCGAAGAAGAUCAACAAUGGGCGUCGGAGACGAAGAACAAAUGAGGAAGAAGAAGCUCCAAGAACAACAAUGGUGAAUGGUGCUCUCGGUUUCAAAUGGGCAGAGAGGAGGAGUGAUCCGGCCUAUAAACCGGAGCUUUAGAACCGGUUCAUAAACAAAACCGGUGCUAAAGGGUCACCCUUUAGCACCGGUUUUUAACACAAACCGGUGCUAAAAGCUUUGCCUCGGCCCGUGGCGCUGGCCGGUGCUAAAGGAGACCCUUUAGCACCGGUUGGUAACACGAACCGGUUCUAAAGGGUCUCUGGCCCGACAGCACCUGUCAGUAGCCGUUGGGCAGGACCCUUUAGCACCAGUUCGUGUUACGAACCGGUGUUAAAGGAGUCUUUAACCCCGGGCCGCAAAAUGGCCGAGGUUUUUGGCCAUUUUGGGCAUCGACCAAUGCCUCGUUCCGUAGUAGUGAAGAAUACUCUUGCUCUGCUUGAAUUUUCGCAUGCCUAACCAACCUGUGCAUUUGCUUCAGGUUCGUACUUUUGAGGCGCAAUGUGGGUCGUUGGCGCAGUAUGGGAUGAAGCACAUGCGAUCCUUGGCAAACAUCUGCAGCGCAGGCAUCCUUCCUGAAGCAGUGUCGAAGGUCGCCGCACAGGCUUGCACCAGCAUUCCAUCUGUUAUCUACCGGAAUUGGAGAGGAAUUUGGGAAGGAAGGAAGCAAGAGCUGGGGAAGGCUCGCAAGAGGUUCAGGGACUACGAAGGAUUAAAUUCAUUCAUUCAGAAUUGUGUCAUACAAUGCUUAAGCGUUAAGCCUUGUGUGAUGUAAUGUAAAGGCUGGCAAGAGGUUUAGGGACUACGAAGGACUGAAUUCAUGCAUUCACGGGCCGUCCCGAACCUCAUCCCACCACCACUCGUACAUUUGGUCGUGUUUGGACAACUGUCUUGUAUCAUUUACCUGUUCCAUCUUAUUCAUCUCCAACCCUCUAUCCUGCAUGACUUCGUCUUCCCAAUUUCUGUGCAGCCAUAGUACAGAGGCCCAUAUGUCAUACACUCAAAACUCAUAUACAUACGUGCAACAAAACAAGAUUCUAGCUUAUACUGGACCAACAACAAAAACAACCAAACACAACUGGGUAUAUGGUUUUAGCAUGCAUCUCACCGUCCUGGACCAGCUCUUCAUCCCGGCUCCCCAUCACCAAAGCAACCAAUCACCCCCUAAGUAUAUACAAUGCUUAAGCCUUCUUUUUUUUGAAACUGCUUAAGCCUUCUUUGAUGUACUUCUCUCUCAUUUAUCCUCGCCGCCUCUCAACAUAGGCCGCCACGCUUACAUGGGCCGAAUCUAUUCGUGGCCCGAUACACUGUACACUGGCCGACCUGGGCCGAGUACUCCUGCUAGGCCCAUUUGCCCCUAUCGCGAAUUCCGUAUCUCCAGCAGCAACAGCAGCCUCCAGCUUUAGCCACAGUAAUAACAGAGACUGUAUUUAUCCAAAAAAAAAAAGAACAAGAGACUGGUAUUCACAGAAAUAGGUGCCGUUAGUUGUUGUUAUAUUAUCUUUGUGCACCUAGUCGUUAUACUAUCCUAUGAUUUUUUGCAAACAAGCAAAAGCUUUGCCGGCUAAUUCUAUACAAGAAAGACCACAGCGGCCAAACUACCACAUGUCUGAAGUUGUGAACCAACUCUGUAUACUGGUGCUGAUUGUUUGUACAUACUACUAGAUUCCUUCCAGGCAUUAAUAUAAAAAUGCAAUUGCCAGGCUGCCCCCAACAAUACAGAGUUGCUGAACCAACCAACCAGAAUGUUUGCAAGGGACACAGCCUCCACUCCACUGCAAGACUGUCCAGCCCACCCACGGAGGAUACUCGAUGUCAAAAUUGAAGGGAAACUGUAUAAGUACGAAUGGAUUUUGUCCGACUCCGAUCCACUACGAGUCCAUCGUGGAAAGAUUUAGUAAUAAUCCAGCAAUAACACAGCAGUAGUCAUGUUUUCAUUAAGCAACUUCAGUUAGAGGCUAUAUGUUUGCGUGGCAAGUACCAACGGCCACGCUAUCAAACAGAGGCAUAUCAGCAGCAGCCUAGCACACAGGUUUGCAUGGUCUGCCAGGGCAAACAAAGCACCAACCAUUAGCACACACAGGUCCAGCAAACAAUUAAAGGUCUGUUGUGUAGGCCACCAUAGUGGUAGUGGCGACACUACUAGCUUUUGAUCUUCUUCUCUUUGGCUCGCACAUGCAGUGCAAUCAUGCGAUCAAAGUGGUAGCUAGCCUCCCUCCCGUCCGCACUAUGUAAUUCCGCUGCUCUUUUGUUCAUCAACAAAGUAGAGCCUUGUUUACUUUCCAAAAAUUUUACAAAAUUUUUCGUUACAUCAAAUCUUGUGGCACAGAUAAUUUUUUUAGCCUAGUUAAUCCAUAAUUAGAUAAUAUUUAUUAAAUACAAACGAAAAUACUAUAAUGUUUAUUUGUAAAAAAAAAUAACUAAAUAAGGCCUAGGCAGCGAUGCAGCACAGUGGAUCUUGAUGGGUAGCAGCUAGGCUAGCAGACGAGUUUGUGCCGCUGCCAAUGAGACGAAAACAACUGAAAUUUAAUGUCGGGAUCUGUUGACGUAAUUUCAAUCAAAUCAAAUAUAACAAAGUUGCCUGGAAUUUAUAAGGUUUCUAAACUUAUCAUCAAAAGAUCAACAGUGGGUUCCUCAGCUCCUGAUUUUGAAUGAAAUCUGAAUAGCCAUUUGGAGGUAAAAUCAAACGGCUCCACUAAUCAAGUUUUUAAAAACAUGCUUUUACAAAGCUUCACGGUGGGAAGGAGCUUAAAAAUAGUAGUUUCUCUCGACUUCACAUCAUCCUAUAUGACAUUUUAUAAGAGUAUAUUUUAAGAAACUUUAUAUGUGUAAUUGUUUUGCCAAACGAUUUACCAAAACAGCUUCAGCUCCAACAAUAGAGUUGUUCAAAGAGCUCAAGUAAAAAAAUAUUUCACUGAUGAAGUGGAGCCGUGCCAAAUGGAGCCAUAGAGUUGAGUAUCUCUUGCUCAAACUAGUAGAAUAUACCUUAAAAUAAUUUUGUUUGAGAUGUUUUUUUUUCAAAGAAAAAAACGAGACGAAAAAAAGAAAAGAGUUUUAAGGUUCUUUAUUUGUUUUGUUUUGCUAAUAAGACGAACUACAAAUUCGAGUGGAGCGACCUGCCAAACAUGAAAAUACAGAUGUAUGUCUCAUAUAAAGUUUGAGAACGAAACAAGGCAACACAUUUUUAGGUGUUAUAUCCUCAAUGGGAGUUUCAUGUCACAGUUUCCAACACAUCAAUAUUUUAGAAACAGUGCAUAUGAGUUUCAUGGGGACGAAACUCUCUCUACUCCCAUGAAACUCUUAUCAUCUCUCUCUUCAUUAAUAUAGCGCCACAUCAGCAUAUUUCAUGUGCAUGAAACUCUAAUGAAACUCCCAUUAAGACUGGCCAAGCUGGUGUGGCAUCUUUGGGUACCUACCGACCGAGCUUUGUUCCUAGUAGACGUAAUUUAAGCACUGAUUUGGGCCGCCGCCGGUUAGGCGUAAGGAUUAAUUUUUAUGAGCAACAGCAUAAGGCCCAGCUUAAUCAUAUAGUACCAUACUAUACGACUAAACUUAAACUAUACUAAUAUAAGUCUAUAAUAACCUGCAGAAGCUUCUGUGGCCACGCCUUUCAGUUGGACACGCCCAUAUAUGAUUGUUGUCAAGAUCAUCUGAAAUAUUAGAUUUUUGGCUGGAAAGUCGCGUGCGUUUGGAAAGUAUAAUUGCCCGCGAUUCUAAAGUAGUAACUAAUAUAGAAACUAGUGGUGGCAGUGUUUAGUGUAUGUAUAUAAUGGUACUGUAACAUGUACUAGUAGGUCCACUAACGACGGCGUAACGUGCGCGGCAAUUUCCGGUGAAGACGACGAUCGACGACCGGGUAUCAAACCGACAAGCACGUCAAAACAUACUGUCAAUGCUUUGCUUUGCACACUAGGGGUAGGUUCACACCACAUAUAUCAUGCACAUCACCUUGAAUUCUUCCUGUGAGAUCGAAGCAACGAGAUAGGGCUUGAAACACAAGGGGGGUCAGAUAUAUGUCCAUGUCCCCAACAACAUAUAUACUUACUGAAAUAAAUAAUGAAAGCUUACUACGCAGGGGACGGUUCACCGGUGCAUGAUGAUUGGGAGGUGCGUAAUUAGCUUGACUUUGUUCUUCGGGUGUGUGGUGCAUGAUUGCGUGGUAUAAUUAAGUUGACCCUCUCUGGGGUGAUUAGGUGAGAGAAGUGAGAAACAGGACCGUUCCUUCUUUCCUUUCUUCCUUCCUUCCUUGCCGUCGUGUUGGCGUGUAUGUGAGUGGGUAGGUUUGACAGCUAUCCGUGACACCAAAGUUGCAACCACCCCUAGCUACAGCUGUUGCGAUACAUACAUACAUACAUACAUACAUACAUACAUACAUACAUACAUACAUACAUACAUACAUACAUACAUACAUACAUACAUUCAUACAUACAUACAUACAUACACGUCGCUGCAGAUGCAUGUAUGGUCAGGAAUCUGGAACAUACGUGUACAGUGAUGGAGCUGGAAAGGUGUGUGGUACCUAUAGUACCAAAACGAACUCCAUUCUUUAAUCGAAUCCUAGCUAAGCUAGCUAAGGAAUGCCAUUAUCUGGUAGAUGGCUGUGUCGUCUUGCAAGCUUAUAGCUGGUAGCUAGUAUCUGUCAGUUGGACGGUACCUAAAUAAGGAAGCUGCUGUGCUGCACUUGCUUGCUUGCUACUCGGCGUCUCUCGAUCUCCUCGCGAUCGAUAUUCCUGCACCUAUCUCUAUAUAUGCAGCCUUGAUCCGGCCGAUUUGUCCAACAGACUUUUGUGAGCCGUGAUGAUCUACUAUGAUUAUUCUGCGUCCAAACUAAGGCUAGAUGACGAAAGAAUCUGGUAAACGUCGCUGCCUUCCGCGCCGCCCUCCCCAAUCAGCGCAGGCAGCAGCAGCAGCAGGGCUCGCUUGAAGAGAGCAACAACGUAACCCAACGAAUAUAAUGAUACGGGGAUCGCAAACAGCUAGUGCACAAUACGCAUCGACGCGUCGUUUUCGGACACACACAAAGGGGCAGGCAACAACAAGAGAGAGAGAGAGAGAGAGAGAGAGAGAGAGGGUCGAGUUCGUGGCCACCCGGCCGCGGCCAGUUCGCAUUACGGUGUGCCAUCGUCUGAAUAAUAAUUGUUUGCCUGCCUUGCUGGUGGCGAUGGGGCUGCUUCUUUUUCCUGUCGUCGUUCGGCCGGCGCAAGCCGCAAACGGCAGCAGCGAGGGGGGCACAUAUUCUGGGGCCUCCGAAUGGAGCCAUGGGCGCCGCGCGCGUUUGUGUGGAUGGGCAUGCACGGUGGAUGCAUGCAUGCCAUCACGACACGAUCGAUCAAGGAGGAUAUAAAAAAAAUGAAAGGAGAUAUAGUAGCGCAAGUACCCUUUAAAUCGCCACUGGUGCAGGACGGGGCAUUAGCACCGGUCGGGAAGGGCCUGUUGCCCCGGUUCCCGAGCCGGUGCUGCCCUUCCGGGACUAAAGGCCCACCCUUUAGUCCCGGUUCGGCCAACCGGUGCUAAAGGCCCCCCUUUAACACCGGUUGGUAACACCAACCGGUGUUAAAGGGUCCUGCCAGGGCUGCCACGUUGCAGGACCCUUUAACACCGGUUGGUGUUACCAACCGGUGUUAAAGGGUUUCUUUUUCUUUUUUUUUUAGUUCACUUCUUCGGUUCUGUUUAUUGUUUAUAUAUAAUAUAUAAUAAUAGGUUUUUCAAUACAUGUUUUGCUGAUACAAUAAUAUAUUUAUAUUACACGCAUAUUAAGCAUAUAUAAAUGAAAAUUAUAGGCUAAGCUUAAUAGUUAAGCUUUGCCUAUAAUAAAAUGAAUAGACCACAUCAAAAAUUAAAUAGAUAUGUAAAAAGCUUUAUAUAUAUAUAGUUUUAUAUGUACAAAAUUCGUAACACAUAUAUACAUAGAGUUUGUUCUCCCAAUGUCUACAAACGAUACAAAUGAUCAUCGUUGUUUGGUAUAAGAGUUUCGUUGCCGUUGAAGUGAAACUCGCCGUUUGGAUUGAUCACUUGGUCGCGGAGAAAUCCUGCUAUCGUCUCUUGGAUAGCUUUGAUUCGGUCUUGUUGUAGGACCUUUUCCUCAGCCAUUCCGUCUUUAAUUUGAAAUAAAUAAAAAAGGUAUUAGUUAUCUAAGUUAUUCAAUAUAAUUCAGGAGAUAAUGAAAAGAGACAUGUAACGUACUCUGAGCGUCUCUGUGGGUGUUUGAUUGACUUGUGCCAUCAUGAAUUUGCACACGUAAUAUGCACAUAGAUUGUUCCCUCCUUCUUGUCUUAAACACCACUGUACGAUGUAUAUAUAUAUAAAAAUAUUCAUAACCACGACAAUAAGAAGGCUAAAAGUUAGCGAAAGUUUGUUAGCUAGUAGAACUUACUUGUGGAUGUAUUAUGUUAAGCGGCGCUUUACAUCCACUGAGAUGUUCACGGUCAAUGAAUCUUUCCCAAACCCUAUACACAGCCAUUGUGGAUCGUGAACUAAUAAUUACAGAGUCAUAUUAUGAUAUUUUUGUAGCUGAGAUCGACAUUACGUACCUUUGAAUAAUGUUUACCAUUUGUUGAUAAUUUUCUUGUGGUUUUCUCAUUGAGUCAAAGAUUAUCAAUCGGUUCUUGGGAAUUUCAAUGACCAUGAGUAUCCAGUGAAAGCUGUUUACACACACAUAUAUAGGGUCAGUCCUAUAAUGUAAAAUAAAAUAUGCAUGCACUUAAUAACUAUAUAACUCACUCGAAGUUGAAGGGGAAGAGUAUUUUUUGUUUUUCUUUUUGGUUUACAAAGAACCUCAUAAGAUUGGUGCAGAUUUCUGUCUCAUAAUCUGCUGUCCACACUGCCUGCGGAGCCUUGAAAACAAUAUAAGGGUCAACGAACCCAAUACUAUUGUCAUUUCUCAUUCUGAGCUCUCUCAUUUGGUGCCUGCAUAUAUACAUACAAAUCCUAAGUGUGUAAGGAUUAUAUACAUGUAAUUAAAGAAGUUAGAAGUAUAAUAAAAAGGAAAAAUACUUACAGACAAAAGCAGCUGACAAGAGAUUUGUCAAGAGCGUCGAGGUGGCAUAAUUGGUGCAAUUCUUCGAACUGCACGUAUAUGAGGUCAUCUCCACGGAAGUAGUGAUGUUGUCUAAUACGAACAGAAAUCCAAUUCUCUCCCCUUUUAGACGCCUCAAUGCACCAUUUGUUUAUUGCAAACAUUUGUGUGCCGAGCUCGUGUAAACGCUUAGGGUCGAAUAGACUCCUGCCCGGUUCAUAUCUUGCCCUCCAUUGAUCAACUACCUCGGCUUUUUCAAAUGUAUGACAUCCAAGAAUGGCGGUAAUUUCUUCUAUAUUUAAACCGCUCUGUCCAAAGUAACUCUCAAGCGAGUCUAGCUCUGUCCAAAGUAACUCUCUUCUUAGUAGGCUGUGAAGACUUGACCAGAGACCGCUCAUAGUCCGAAAGUGCUGGCUUUUUCUGAGCUUCGCGUUGCUUCUUUUGAUGGUCCGCCACCUUCUGCCUCAGUUCCGAUGGCUUCACAUAAAAGUACGGCUUUUCUGGGUUAAGCCGUUUUUUCCUUUCCUCCUUUAUUUUAUCAAAAAAUUGUUGGACCUCAGCUUUAGAUGUAGCAAUUACCUCCUCUUCACUCUUUUCGUAAGGUAAUUUUUCUGGCGUCUUAGCUCUCUUUGCUGAGGCAGCCUUCUUUGGAGGUGGGACCGAUGACUUCGGUCCUUCUUGGACGGACCGCUUCUUACUACCUCGCUUUGGAGGCGAGGGGACCGACCGUGCACUCUUUGGAGAGGGCGGUGCAGGCGGAGGAGUUGGAGAACGCGGUGGAGGAGUUGGUAUAACACUCCAAAUUUUUGAAUUUCAAAUUCAGUUCAAAUUUGAUUUAAUUUUGGCAUAGUUUGAAUUUUUAGAGAAUUAUUAAAUAAUUUACAAAAUUAAAUAAAAUUAAAUAUAAGGUAGAAAACUUGUUCGUGUGCAUUCAUGCCGCUGCAUUUAUUUUGUUUGAUUUGUUUGCUUGUGCUUGAAUUAUUUUGUUGGAAGAAAGAAAUAAAUAGGAGAAAUCGGUUUUAAAAAAAAAAAUAAAAGAAAAAAAAAAAAAGCUUUUCCCCUCUCCCUGGGCCGGCCUUCCCUCGGCCCAGCGCCCGCGCCUCUCUCCCGCAGCGCCCGAGUGGGCCGCGGCCCAGCCGCGCAGCGGCCGCGCCCCGCGCGCACCCGCGCUGCCCCCGCCCGCAGCCGCUGACGCGUGGGCCCCGCAGGUGGGACCCACCGUCGUCUUCAACCUCCGUCCGAUUCGGACGGGGUGCGCAACCGCCGCGCCGCCUCCUUCUCGGCUUCCGUGCCGCGCGUGGAUCGAGAACCCCGGGACCACCCUAGCCUAUUUAAGGCACCCCUCGGCCGCCCGCACGCGCCCCUAAACCCUAGCCUCGAAACCCGCGCCGCCGCCGUUCUUGCCGAAGCUCGCAGCGCCGCCGACAAGCUUCUCUUCGCCGUCGUCAACUCGCGAAGGUAUGCACGCCAUCGCGUUCGUCGCGUCGAGCCGCGCCCGCCCGUACCCUCGGCUCGGCUGGCCGUGCCCUGCAGCGCCGCCGCUGCAAGCUCGCCGCGGCCGGCCAUGGCGCCGCCGCCUGCGUCCGCUCCCGCUCCGGCGCGCGGUCCACCGUGGACCGCGGCCCAGCGCCCCCGUGCGGCCGGUCCACGUGGACUCGGUCCACGCAGCCAGCACCGCCCCGCGCCCCGGUCCCGGUCCACGGUGGACCGGUGGACCGCCACACCCCCCCCGGUCCACAGCGCCGCCAUGGACCGGGCCAGCCGCGAGCUGCCACGUGGCCAGGCCGGCCACGGUCCCGCGCGCCCCCUGCUGCUUUUGCAGAAAAGCCCUCGGGCUUGUUCAAAAUUAACCCGCAGUCCAGUUCUUUUAAAAAUAUUUAAGUUUAUGCCCUUAGUUUUCGCAGUUUAACCCCUGGUUCGGUUAGAAUUUAUAUAUUUAAUCCAAAAUGAGUUUUAAUUCAGUUUUAAUUAGUUUUAAUUACGAAAAAUAGUUCAGUUUAUCUACAGAAAUGCCAUUUAACUUGUUUUAGCCAUAACUUUUGCGUCGUAACUCCGAUUUAGGUGAUUCUGGUCGCUAUAGUUUCAUUUCGUCGAGUAGAAUGCAGUAGGGCAGUUGCUUUCUGUUUUCGCAUGCUUUGGUGUACUGUUUCUGAUUAAGUUUGUUUGCUUGCAUGUAUUGUUCCUAUGAUUGAUGAUUGUCGCGUAUAGCCAACGAGACGUUCGUGGAGGAAGAGGUUCAGGAUCCCGCGGAGUUCGAGCAACCCGACUUCGACCAAGGCAAGUGCAGACACCGUUUGAUCAUUUUGAACCUACUCAUUAAUGUCGUUUACUUUAUAUGCAUGUGUCCAAUGAAUGCAAACCCUAAGGACAUGACUAGCUUUACUUAUUAUUCCUUGCUCACCUGGGGUUAUGUAUUUGGGUUGACUAGGCUAUACUAGGUCUGCUUAGCUGCUCUACUCAUCUUAUACACAUGUCUAAACAAGAAUUACUCUCUACUUAACUUGAUGCUUAAACUGUGCUGAAUCUUUGGUCACUGCGGUGAUGGCGAUGUUGGAUGCUUGCGAGCAUCGUGAUGAUGGUGGUGACAGGGGGAGCGGGUACCGUUGAUGGUCCGGAUUGCCGGGCGUACCCGUCUCUGCUCUCCGUAAGGACUUAGUCAGGGAGCGGCCCCCUGGGACUUACAGUGCAGCUCCAAGCUAUAUGGCUCUGGCUUGACUAAUUAGCAGGACCUCCACUAGUAGGGUGUUACUUUCCGGGUAGGCGUGAGGAAGUAACUUGGGUAAUGAAUAUUAAGUUGUCGGUUGAUCGGUACGCCAUGGCUAUGGGUAUCGACUGCCGAGCGCCCCGGCAAAAACUUGCGAGUGGCAUCCUAUUAGUUGGACCCUGUGAAAGGUCUCGUAGUGAGACCCCGCCUGCUCACCUUGGAAGUGUUUUGGGGAGUCGCGACCCCGGGCAAAUGGGAAUCACGACUUGGAGUGAACGUGCACACCUCUGCAGAGUGUAAAACUGAUAUAUCAGCCGUGCUCACGGUCACGAGCGGCCCAGACCCUCACUUGAUGAGCAAAUUGGAUUCACUGGUUACUUGGAGAUGGACCUUGGCGAGAUUGCUACCUCGUGUUUUGGCGGAAUGGCUAUUCCGUGAUGGCAGGAUUGCUAUCCUGUGUUAAUAAUUGGGGUUAAUCCCUGGAUCACUAUAAUAAUUAGGAUAGUCUUUUGAAAAGAUGCUAAUUACUACCUACACUAAUUAAGGGUUGGGUUUAUGCUACUCAUAUUAGUAAUAGGUUGUUUUAGUAAUUGUUAUAAUUAAAAGUGAUCAACUAAAAUGCUACCGCAGUCAAACCAAGUCAGCUUUACCUUGUUUUAAGCCUUGCAUGUCAUUACUUUCCGUCUGUGCUUGCUGAGUUCGGCAUGAGCUCACCCUUGCUAUAAUCAUUAAAGGUUGCUCGGACGAUCAGGAGCACAAUUGCGAUUUCCCUGAGGACUACCCUGAGUCUCCUGGUUGUUAGGCUCGUGUGGUUCUACCGUCGACCUUCCUGUGGCAAGGUGGUCCUGCUACGUCGGCGUUUAGUUUUCCCUUUAUUUAUGGAACAGAUUAGUUUAUGUUUCCCCUCCGCACUUUGAUAAACAUUUGGCUUGUAAUAAUGGUACUUUUACUCUCAUUUAUGUAAUUCGUUUGAACACUGUGUUUUGUACCAUUGAUGAUGUCGGUCCAUGUGUGUGAAUUUGAGAUCCUGGCGCACAUGUGAUUUGGCACCCGAAUGCUCUUUUACAUCCGGGUGUGACAGAAGUGGUAUCGGAGCCGUGUUGACCGUAGGAUCACGCAGCCUAGUUAGAAACAGCCGUUUAGAUUGUCCCUUUUGGGUGGAAUACACCAUUGGAUCUAUUAACUACCUUACUAACCUGUCUCAUUAGACUUUAUCUAUUGGCCUUAUCUACUUACUUUUACUAACAGCUAGGUUUAUUCACUUAUUUCUUGUAUUUAUUACCUUGUUAUCAUUUGUUGCUUUCUAUUUCUCAUAUUGCAUUUAUAUUCUUGUUUCAACUUUUACUACUUGUUAUUUGAACCUUUCUUUUAUACCUUGUCAUUUAUUAUCAUUCUACUCAUACUACCUUCUUGUUCCUUGUUUUUCAUUUAUUACUUGAGUUAUGUUUUAUUUCUACCUUGACAAUAAAUUUCAUUACCUUGUUUUCACUUUAUACCUUCAUUACUUGCUUUUAUAUCUUACCAUAAAUACCACCAAAGUUCAUAUUGUCCAUCCAUUGUAUAAUCUUGGUUCAUCCUCAUUACACAUACACUUUUACCUUCAUUUAUGUUAUUCAUUUAUCCAUCAUUGUCAUGAUCUAUUAACCGUUUCCUGCAUGUCUAUGAUCUUAUGCAUAAGUAGAUGACUCGCCACCUGACCUGCCGCAAGAGCGUUAUCCGUUUCCGCCCCGUUCAAGCUGUGGAGUUCUCGUUGACUGGUCGCGUGGAUAACAUCGUGUUCCAGCCUAACCAGCAUCUUGAUGACGGUGCUAACCUCCAAGACGCGGAACCCUAUGAAGGACAGCAACCACCUCAAGCUCUGGUGGUGCAUGGAAGGGCGCCUUGCUGGGCACCUGGAGGAGAUGAUCCCUUCGGUGAUGAUGACAUGGAUGAUGAUGAUGAGGAUGAUGAUGAUGAGGAUGCACCUGGAGGACCCAGAGGACCCGGUGGACCUGGAGGACCUGGAGGUCAAGAUGGACUUUUUGCUGCUGAUGAUGGGUGGAUUGUGACAAUCUGCACCCGGGAUGGUGGAGAGUGUUUCUUCCACAGCGAGCUGAAGCGUCUCCUUGACCAGCAGCUGGGACAUGGCAUGUUCUCAGUGGAGUACCGCAGUGAGCACUGGAGUCACCCCGACUACCCGGCGUACUGGAAGGUAUGGGCACACGUCGGCAGGCCUAACCCGACGUUGAGGGCACUGAGGAUCAUGUCCAUACAUGAGGCUGUGGCUGAGAGGUCUACCCAGAUGGCGGGCAUUAAUGAUGCUGCUCGCCAGGCUUUCUACGCAUACCGUGAUCACUUCUUCGAGGAGAUCAGCCAGGAUGAGCGUCGCUACUACCCUCGCCGUCGCCGUGGAGAGUUGGCAAUGACUAUUGCUUCCACCACUGAUGAGCAAGACCCUCGCGUGCACAGGACUGUCAAGCUGGUGGCGGUCACUAACACCGAGCUCAACAAUUCACUAGUGGAGCUGAAGCAAGUCAGGAAGGAGCUGGACGACGCCAGGAAGAGGAUAGCACAGCUGGAGGCUCAGAUCACUGGAGUGCCACCGCCUUCACCUAAGUGGCCUGCUUUCUCUCCGCCUCGUGAAGAUCCAGCCUAUGGAGAUGCCAGCGCUCGUACUACUAUAGAAUAGGAGCUAUUCCCAGCUUAGUAAUAAAUAGUGCCACGCUUAGAACGUUAGCACGAUCUUAGCUAUGCGAGUUUAGUGCUUAGUCGUUUGCUUAGUGUGCUUUGCUUGGUCUGUGUGAGAACUUGAUUUAUUAUUGUGUUAAUGGUGUGAUUUGGUUCUUUGUAAUGAGUGCGAUGAGUUGUGGGUUAUGUCCACAACGCAUCAAGAACAAGAUUAAGUAUUAAGUUUAUUUGAGAUAGUUAGUUUGGGUUACCAUCGGUCUCCUUUAUUUGUGCUUUAUCAUAUUUCAUAAUCGUUUUAUCUUAUCAGUCUUACUUUAUCAUGAUCAGUUCAGUAUCUAUAUAUUACAUCUGUUGUGAGUACUGUGUUUAUCAACUGAGAUAGGAAAGUGAAUAUCAGCUGGUUCAUACUGUGAGGAAAGAUUUUCACAUCGCAGUUUACAUUACAACUCAGGGUUACACAUAUGAACUGCAUCUGAUUUUGUUAUAUUGUUUCUAUACAUCAGAUGCCUGUCCACACCAGGAGCAACACCAAUGGAGGAAACAAUGGGCAGUCCAACAACAACAACAACAACAACAACAACAAUGAUCAGAGCGGGACUAAUGCCAACCCUCCUCCUCCUGGGAAUCAGCCCAUGACCAUAGAGCAGUUGAUGACUAUGCAGACUCAACUGAUGCAAGGGAUGGCUCAUAUUAUGAACCACAUGCAGCAGAACCAAAACCAGAAUCAGAACCAACAUCAAGGAGGUAACAACGCGUUUGCCCCACCUAGGGACAAGCGUGGAGAGUUCAUGAAGGGACGUCCACCGUUCUUCUCCCACUCAGCUGACCCUAUGCAAGCUGAGGAUUGGCUUAAGGCAGUGGAGAAGCAGCUGGUCAUUGCUCAGUGCAAUGACAGGGAGAAGGUUCUGUAUGGCUCUGGGCAGCUUCAGGGAGCCGCACAGGACUGGUGGGAUUCAUAUUGCUUUGCACAUCAAGACCCGGAUACUAUCACUUGGGAUGAGUUCAAGGUCGCCUUCAAGACUCAUCAUGUGCCUGCUGGAUUGGUGAAGCUGAAGAAGAAGGAGUUUCUGUCUCUGAAGCAGGGCUCCAUGACAGUUUGUGAGUACCGUGACAAGUUCACUCAAUUGUCGCGGUAUUGCCCCAAUGAAGUGGAGAAUGAUGAAGACAAGCAAGACCACUUUCUGGAAGGUUUGAAUGAUGGUCUGUCCUACAUGAUGUCGAAUGUCAAGUAUGCCAGUUUCCAGGAGAUGGUGGACAGGGCAUUGGUGCUUGAGAGCAAGCGCCGCAAGAUGGAAGACAAGAAGAGGAAGUAUAAUUCCUCUCAGCAGCAGGCUGGUGCCAGUCGUCCCCGUUACAACAACCAGCAGGGCCCUCAGUCUCGCCCUGCAUAUCAGUCAGGCAACCAAGGACAGCAACAGAACGUCAGGUACAGCAACCAGGGUCAGCAGACGAGCCAGCGCUACAACAACAACCAAGUGCAGCGCCCCGCUAGUCAGGCGCCUCGCCAGAAUGCCCCAGCACCAUCAGGCUCUCGCCAGAACUCCAACACUGUCCCAAUGAAACCCAAUGUCAACCCCGCCCCCACUGGAAAUACCUGCUUCAAGUGUGGUCAGCUUGGACACUACGCGAAUGCUUGCCCCCAGAGGCAGAAGAAUAACAACAACAAUGGAAGGGUGAAUCAUGUGAAGCUGGAAACUGCUGAGGAGGCUCCAGAUGUGGUAGUUGGUAUGUUUCUUGUCAACUCUUGCCCAGCUACUGUUUUGUUUGAUACUGGAGCAUCGCAUACUUUUAUAAGUGCACAGUUUGUUGAGAAACAUAGUAUAGCCACCUGUACCAUGCAAAACACCAUGCUAGUUAAAUCACCUGGGGGAAAGAUGCAUACUAAUACUUUGUGUCCGGGAAUGAGCAUUAAAAUAAGGGGGGUAGAUUUUCCUGUCAAUCCUAUUGUGUUGGGUUCAGAAGGUUUAGAUAUGAUAUUGGGAAUGAGAUGGUUGUCCAAGUUUAAGGGUACUAUUCAGUGUGCUGAGAAGACAGUGGCUCUAACCGCACCUAGUGGGAACAGAAUUGAGGUCAGAGUUUCUAUGUCACCUAGUAGCGAAGGAACAGUUUACCAUCUGAGCAGUGGGUCAGUAGAAGAUAUUCGAGUGGUGAAAGAGUUCCCUGAUGUGUUCCCAGAGGAUUUGCCAGGUAUGCCACCUGAACGUGAGAUUGAAUUUGUUAUUGAUUUAUUACCUGGUACUGCACCCAUAUCUAAGAGACCUUAUAGAAUGGCUGUUAAUGAGUUAGAAGAACUUAAGAAACAACUAAGGGAGUUACAGUCUAAGGGGUAUAUCCGUCCUAGUUCCUCACCUUGGGGAGCUCCAGUUAUCUUUGUAGAGAAGAAGGAUGGGACACAGAGGAUGUGUGUAGACUAUAGAUCUUUGAAUGAGGUCACCAUUAAGAAUAAAUACCCUUUGCCUAGAAUAGAGGACUUGUUUGACCAGUUGAAAGGAGCUUGUGUGUUUUCCAAAAUAGAUCUGAGGUCAGGUUAUCACCAGUUGAGGAUUAAACCUAAUGAUAUUCCAAAGACUGCGUUCACCACCAGAUAUGGACUCUAUGAAUAUACAGUUAUGUCUUUUGGAUUGACGAAUGCUCCAGCGUACUUUAUGUAUCUGAUGAAUAAAGUUUUUAUGGAGUAUUUGGAUAAGUUUGUGGUAGUCUUUAUUGAUGAUAUCUUGAUCUACUCCAAGACUGAGGAAGAACAUGAGGAUCACCUGAGGCUUGUGUUGCAGAAAUUGAGGGAACAUCAGCUCUAUGCCAAGCUGAGUAAGUGUGACUUCUGGUUGAAGGAAGUGUCUUUUCUUGGUCAUGUCAUUUCAAAUGGUGGAGUUGCUGUCAGUCCGAAGAAUGUGGCAGAUGUUCUUAAGUGGAGUCCGCCUCAGACUGUUGGAGAGAUCAGAAGUUUUCUUGGAAUGGCCGGUUACUAUCGGAGAUUCAUUGAAGGGUUUUCCAGUAUUGCCAAGCCCAUGACUGCUUUGUUAGAGAAGGGUAAGCCAUUCAAGUGGAAUGAACAGUGUCAGGCUAGUUUUGAGGAGUUGAAGAAGAGGUUGACUACUGCACCAAUUUUGACUUUGCCAGAUGUGACUAAAAGCUUUUCUAUCUAUUGUGAUGCUUCCAAGCAAGGUUUGGGAUGUGUACUGAUGCAAGAGGGAAAGGUGAUUGCCUAUGCAUCUAGGCAGUUGAAGAAACAUGAGGUGAAUUAUCCAACUCAUGACCUUGAGUUAGCAGCUGUGGUACAUUCACUAAAGAUCUGGAGACACUAUAUUCUGGGUCAUAAGUGUGAUAUCUACACGGAUCACAAGAGUCUGAAAUACAUCUUCACUCAGAAUGAUUUGAACCUGAGACAGAGAAGAUGGUUAGAGUUGAUCAAGGACUAUGAACUGGAGAUUCAUUACCACCCUGGCAAGGCUAAUGUAGUUGCUGAUGCUCUGAGUAGAAAGAGUCAAGUGAAUAUGUUGGAGGCCACAGAGUUACCGAUAGAACUACUGGCAGAAUUUGAGUAUCUCAAUUUGGGAUUUGUUGCUAAUACCCAAGGUACUUCCAUGGACAUAGAACCAACUCUUGAGCAAGAGAUCAGAAAAGGUCAGAAAGAGGAUGAAGAAAUCAAAAAGAUACUUAGGCUGAUAGAGGAAGGAAGAGCACCUGGAUUCAAAGUUGAUCAAGAAGGGAUUGUUUGGCACAAGGACCGAUUGUGUGUGCCUGAUAUUCAGAGAAUCAAGGAUGUGAUACUGAAGGAAUGCCAUGAAUCUGCUUACUCUAUUCAUCCAGGAGGUACUAAGAUGUAUCAGGACUUGAAGCAAAACUAUUGGUGGCCUGGUAUGAAGAAAGAUAUUGGUGAAUAUGUGGCAUUGUGUGACACCUGUCAGAGAGUGAAAGCGGAACAUCAGAGGCCAGCAGGGUUGUUGCAACCGUUGAAGAUACCUGAGUGGAAGUGGGAUGAGAUCAGCAUGGACUUCAUAGUGGGAUUGCCGAAAACUCAACGAGGUUAUGACUCAAUAUGGGUUGUAGUAGAUCGAUUGACCAAGGUAGCUCAUUUCAUACCGGUCAGAACUAACUACCGUGGAGAUCAGUUAGCAGAAAAGUAUAUGGAACGGAUUGUGUGUCUGCAUGGAGUUCCUAAGAGGAUUGUGUCUGAUAGAGGUACACAGUUUACAUCAAAGUUUUGGGAGAAGCUACAUGAUGCUUUGGGAACCGAGCUCAGAUUCAGUACUGCUUAUCACCCUCAGUCCGAUGGUCAGACAGAGAGAGUCAACCAGAUAGUAGAGGAUAUGCUCAGGUCUUGUGCUUUGCAGUAUGGGGAUAGUUGGGAUGCUAGUUUGCCCUACGCUGAGUUCUCCUAUAACAACAGUUAUCAGACUAGUCUUAAGAUGACUCCUUUCGAAGCCUUGUAUGGAAGGAAGUGUAGGACUCCAUUGUUCUGGAACCAGACUGGUGAAAGGCAAGUGUUCGGCCCUGAUUCAUUGAGAAUAGCCGAAGAAAGAGUUCAGUUCAUCCGACAGACUCUGAAGGCAGCUCAGUCUAGACAGAAGAGUUAUGCCGAUGUGAGACGAAGGGAACUUGUAUUUCAGGCAGGUGAUUAUGUAUACCUGAAAGUGUCUCCGAUGAGAGGUCUAAAGAGGUUCAAUGUCAAGGGAAAGCUAGCUCCAAGAUACGUUGGUCCUUUCAAGAUCUUGGAAAGAAAAGGAGAAGUGGCUUAUGAGCUUGAAUUGCCUGCCAGCUUAUCCAAUGUGCACAAUGUUUUCCAUGUCUCCCAAUUCAAGAAAUGUUUGAGAGUGCCUGAGGAACAGUUGCCACUAGAGGAACUGGAUUUACAGGAUGAUCUAACUUAUGAAGAGAGUCCUAUCAAAGUCCUGGACACAGCAGAGAGAAUUACUAGGAGUAAAACUAUCAGGAUGUGUAAAGUACAAUGGAGACACCAUUCCGAGGAAGAAGCAACCUGGGAAAGAGAAGAAGAUCUAAUAUCCAAAUACCCUCAGUUAUUCCCUGGUUCAUCCUAAUCUCGAGGACGAGAUUCCUUUAAGGGGGGUAGGUUUAUAACACUCCAAAUUUUUGAAUUUCAAAUUCAGUUCAAAUUUGAUUUAAUUUUGGCAUAGUUUGAAUUUUUAGAGAAUUAUUAAAUAAUUUACAAAAUUAAAUAAAAUUAAAUAUAAGGUAGAAAACUUGUUCGUGUGCAUUCAUGCCGCUGCAUUUAUUUUGUUUGAUUUGUUUGCUUGUGCUUGAAUUAUUUUGUUGGAAGAAAGAAAUAAAUAGGAGAAAUCGGUUUUAAAAAAAAAAAAAAUAAAAGAAAAAAAAAAAAGCUUUUCCCCUCUCCCUGGGCCGGCCUUCCCUCGGCCCAGCGCCCGCGCCUCUCUCCCGCAGCGCCCGAGUGGGCCGCGGCCCAGCCGCGCAGCGGCCGCGCCCCGCGCGCACCCGCGCUGCCCCCGCCCGCAGCCGCUGACGCGUGGGCCCCGCAGGUGGGACCCACCGUCGUCUUCAACCUCCGUCCGAUUCGGACGGGGUGCGCAACCGCCGCGCCGCCUCCUUCUCGGCUUCCGUGCCGCGCGUGGAUCGAGAACCCCGGGACCACCCUAGCCUAUUUAAGGCACCCCUCGGCCGCCCGCACGCGCCCCUAAACCCUAGCCUCGAAACCCGCGCCGCCGCCGUUCUUGCCGAAGCUCGCAGCGCCGCCGACAAGCUUCUCUUCGCCGUCGUCAACUCGCGAAGGUAUGCACGCCAUCGCGUUCGUCGCGUCGAGCCGCGCCCGCCCGUACCCUCGGCUCGGCUGGCCGUGCCCUGCAGCGCCGCCGCUGCAAGCUCGCCGCGGCCGGCCAUGGCGCCGCCGCCUGCGUCCGCUCCCGCUCCGGCGCGCGGUCCACCGUGGACCGCGGCCCAGCGCCCCCGUGCGGCCGGUCCACGUGGACUCGGUCCACGCAGCCAGCACCGCCCCGCGCCCCGGUCCCGGUCCACGGUGGACCGGUGGACCGCCACACCCCCCCCGGUCCACAGCGCCGCCAUGGACCGGGCCAGCCGCGAGCUGCCACGUGGCCAGGCCGGCCACGGUCCCGCGCGCCCCCUGCUGCUUUUGCAGAAAAGCCCUCGGGCUUGUUCAAAAUUAACCCGCAGUCCAGUUCUUUUAAAAAUAUUUAAGUUUAUGCCCUUAGUUUUCGCAGUUUAACCCCUGGUUCGGUUAGAAUUUAUAUAUUUAAUCCAAAAUGAGUUUUAAUUCAGUUUUAAUUAGUUUUAAUUACGAAAAAUAGUUCAGUUUAUCUACAGAAAUGCCAUUUAACUUGUUUUAGCCAUAACUUUUGCGUCGUAACUCCGAUUUAGGUGAUUCUGGUCGCUAUAGUUUCAUUUCGUCGAGUAGAAUGCAGUAGGGCAGUUGCUUUCUGUUUUCGCAUGCUUUGGUGUACUGUUUCUGAUUAAGUUUGUUUGCUUGCAUGUAUUGUUCCUAUGAUUGAUGAUUGUCGCGUAUAGCCAACGAGACGUUCGUGGAGGAAGAGGUUCAGGAUCCCGCGGAGUUCGAGCAACCCGACUUCGACCAAGGCAAGUGCAGACACCGUUUGAUCAUUUUGAACCUACUCAUUAAUGUCGUUUACUUUAUAUGCAUGUGUCCAAUGAAUGCAAACCCUAAGGACAUGACUAGCUUUACUUAUUAUUCCUUGCUCACCUGGGGUUAUGUAUUUGGGUUGACUAGGCUAUACUAGGUCUGCUUAGCUGCUCUACUCAUCUUAUACACAUGUCUAAACAAGAAUUACUCUCUACUUAACUUGAUGCUUAAACUGUGCUGAAUCUUUGGUCACUGCGGUGAUGGCGAUGUUGGAUGCUUGCGAGCAUCGUGAUGAUGGUGGUGACAGGGGGAGCGGGUACCGUUGAUGGUCCGGAUUGCCGGGCGUACCCGUCUCUGCUCUCCGUAAGGACUUAGUCAGGGAGCGGCCCCCUGGGACUUACAGUGCAGCUCCAAGCUAUAUGGCUCUGGCUUGACUAAUUAGCAGGACCUCCACUAGUAGGGUGUUACUUUCCGGGUAGGCGUGAGGAAGUAACUUGGGUAAUGAAUAUUAAGUUGUCGGUUGAUCGGUACGCCAUGGCUAUGGGUAUCGACUGCCGAGCGCCCCGGCAAAAACUUGCGAGUGGCAUCCUAUUAGUUGGACCCUGUGAAAGGUCUCGUAGUGAGACCCCGCCUGCUCACCUUGGAAGUGUUUUGGGGAGUCGCGACCCCGGGCAAAUGGGAAUCACGACUUGGAGUGAACGUGCACACCUCUGCAGAGUGUAAAACUGAUAUAUCAGCCGUGCUCACGGUCACGAGCGGCCCAGACCCUCACUUGAUGAGCAAAUUGGAUUCACUGGUUACUUGGAGAUGGACCUUGGCGAGAUUGCUACCUCGUGUUUUGGCGGAAUGGCUAUUCCGUGAUGGCAGGAUUGCUAUCCUGUGUUAAUAAUUGGGGUUAAUCCCUGGAUCACUAUAAUAAUUAGGAUAGUCUUUUGAAAAGAUGCUAAUUACUACCUACACUAAUUAAGGGUUGGGUUUAUGCUACUCAUAUUAGUAAUAGGUUGUUUUAGUAAUUGUUAUAAUUAAAAGUGAUCAACUAAAAUGCUACCGCAGUCAAACCAAGUCAGCUUUACCUUGUUUUAAGCCUUGCAUGUCAUUACUUUCCGUCUGUGCUUGCUGAGUUCGGCAUGAGCUCACCCUUGCUAUAAUCAUUAAAGGUUGCUCGGACGAUCAGGAGCACAAUUGCGAUUUCCCUGAGGACUACCCUGAGUCUCCUGGUUGUUAGGCUCGUGUGGUUCUACCGUCGACCUUCCUGUGGCAAGGUGGUCCUGCUACGUCGGCGUUUAGUUUUCCCUUUAUUUAUGGAACAGAUUAGUUUAUGUUUCCCCUCCGCACUUUGAUAAACAUUUGGCUUGUAAUAAUGGUACUUUUACUCUCAUUUAUGUAAUUCGUUUGAACACUGUGUUUUGUACCAUUGAUGAUGUCGGUCCAUGUGUGUGAAUUUGAGAUCCUGGCGCACAUGUGAUUUGGCACCCGAAUGCUCUUUUACAUCCGGGUGUGACAGUUGGAGACCUCGGUGGAGGAGGUGGAGACCGUGGUGGAGGCGGUGGCGGGGUCGGUGUGGCCGCCGCAGGUGUUGGAGGAGAUCCAGCAUUGUCACCGCCCGCAGCACUAUGAUGCGCUGGGGAGAGAACUGGACUUAGGUUGGAGGAGUCCCUGCAAAGAAAACAAUUACAAGUUUUGUGAGUAAACUUUUUUUAAAUUUCAAUACAUAAUAAAUAAUAUAAGAAGUAAAAUCACACACAAACCUAUGCUGAGGAAUAAUUAUGAAGCGCUUGCGCCAACAAAUAAAUGUCUUCUCAGCUUCACUAGAAUAACAUACUAAAAAGUCUUUUAAGCCAAGUAAUAUACUAGAAUAAUAUACUAAAAUAUAAUACUAAAAAAUAAUACUAUAAUAAUAGUAUAAACUAAUAGUAUAUGUUUUAAGCCAAGUAAUACACUUGCACAUAGAAUAAUGUACUAAAAAAUUCAUACUACUACAAAUUGAUACAAGAAUAAUAUAAGUGCAUAUAUAUACAUAAUAAGAAAUACACUAGAAUAAUAGAAGUGCUAGAGUGCUCCAAACUAAAAAGUAAUACUAAAAAAAUAAUACAGACAAUAACACUAGAAUAAUAUACUAGCACACAAUAUAUUUCAUAAUAAUUCAAAACACUAGCACAAAAUAUAUUUCAUAACAAUUCAAAACACUACAAUUCAUAAUAUACUAGAAUAACAUACUACAAAGUCUUUUAAGCCAAGUAAUAUACUAGAAUAAUAUACUAAAAUAUAAUACUAAAAAAUAAUACUAAAAUAAUAGUAUAUAAACUAAUACACACUUGCACAUAGAAUAAUGUACUAAAAAAUUAAUAAUACUACAAAAUGAUACAAGAAUAAUAUAAGUGCAUAUAUAUACAUAAUAAUACAAAAUAAUAGUAUAUAAACUAUUCGGUAUGAAAUAUAAGUGCAUAUAUAAUGAUACAAAAUAAUAGUACAUAAUUAAGUGCAUAUAAAAUAAUAGUAUAUAUACAUAAUGAUACAAAAUAUAUUAAUAAUAUAAAAUAAUGAUACAAGAACAAAAUGAUACAAGAAUAAUAGUAUAUAUAUAUACAUACAUACACAUAUAUAUAUAUAUAUAUCUUAUAUAUAUAUAUAAGAGAUAUAUAUAUAUAUAUAAACUGUUGGUUGUUGGUAUUCAUAUAUAUAUAUAUAUAUAUAUAUAUAUAUAUAUAUAUAUAUAUAUAUAUAUGUAUAUGUAUAUAUAUAUAUAAACUGUUGGUGUUCAUAUAUAUCUAUACAAUUUAUAUAUACAAUUUUAGUCUAUACAUAUAAACUGUUUUGACAUCCAUCCAUAUAUAUAUAUAUAUAUACACACGAGCGAUCGAUACACAUGAAGAAAUAUACGUAGAUCUGUGGAGAGCCGCUGCAGCGACGCUGGAGACGAACGGCGGCGCUGUAGAUGGCGGCGGCGGCGCUGUAGAUGGCGGCGGCGGCGCUGGAGACGAACGGCGGCGCUGGGAGACGAAUGGGCGGCGCUGGACGACGGCGGCGCGGAGAUCUCUGCUCGACGAAGACGAAGACGAAGGGAACUGCCCAGAUCCAGGGCUCCUGCACACAUUUAUAGGUGCGGACCCUUUAGCACCGGUCCGUGGCUGGAACCGGUGCUAAAGGGUCUUUAACACCGGCUGGUAAAAAGAGCCGGUGUUAAAGGGUCACCCUUUAGCACCGGCUCGUGUUACCAGCCGGUGCUAAAGGGACCCUUUAGCACCGGUUCUAACCACGGACCGGUGCUAAAGUGUCCUAGGCGGGCUCGGGCGGGGUUCUGAAAUUUUCAGGACCCUUUAGCACCGGUUCCCACUAUGGGCCGGUGCUAAAGGCCCAUUUUUUUAGUUUAGGGUUUUUCAAUUGUUUUAUAUAUACAGUUUAUAUUAUAAAUUGUAUAGUAAAUUAAAUAUUUUGCAUAAUGUUUUUUAAAUAGUGACAUAUAUUGUAAUUUGUUUUAAUGUACACAUGAAAAUUUUUAAACUUAAAUAUCUUAUUGUAUUUUUAUAAUUUACAACGAUUUUGUAAGAAAUGUUUAGUAUUUUGUUAAUGCAAAAAUAUAUUAUUCCAAUAAAUUUACAAAAACUAUAUCCAAUGAACUGGAAAUUUAUUUUCACAUCAUAUUGACGUAAAACUUUUUAUUUUUGUUAUUUAUUACUAGGAAUGCUACUUGGGUAUAAUUUUCAUCAAAUAAAAAAUCAUAUAAAAAUAUAUAUCUUGAUGAACACACCCUUUGACCGAACCCUAGAUUGUCCCAAAUGGAAUAGUCAUGAAUACAAAGUUUGCUACACUCAUCAAGUUCUACAUUUUGUCUAAUGGUCAACUUUUCAUUUGGAAAAGUUUGAACCACUGAAUUUUGAAUUUUCAUGGAACUCAUAGCCACGCAGCGGUUUCGGAACCCUACAUGGUCUCGAAUGGAAAAGUCAUGAAUACCAAUAUUGUUCCACUCAUCAAAAUCUACAUUUCAUAUAUAGACCAUUUUUGCAUUUGACAAAGUUUUGGGAAGGUGUAGUUGAAAAUCCACAAUUGACACAUAUAGUUUCAUAUAGUUUGUGUGAGAACUUAGAAUUGGUGGGUAUUGUUAACUUAGAUUUUCUCAAAUGGAAAAGUUGUGUAUAUAAAAAGUUUAGAUCUUGAAGAUAUCUAACAACUUGGUAUUCAAAAUAUUUUCAUUUGAAGUAAUUUAGUUUGUCAUUUGACCAAGUUUGACCGAAACCCGUCUUGGAUUUUAUAGAAAUGUAACUAGAAUUGGCUCAAAAUUAUCCAAAUGGAAAAAUGGACAAUAUAUAAAAUAUAGAUUUUGAUGAUCUCUAACAACUUUGUAUUCAAACUUUUUUCAUUUCAAGUCAUCAAAUGGGCUAUUUGACCAAAGUCAAAGCAUUGGUUUUUACAAACACACCCUUUGACCGAACCCUAGAUUGUCCCAAAUGGAACAGUCAUGAAUACAAAGUUUGCUACACUCAUCAAGUUCUACAUUUUGUCUAAUGGUCAACUUUUCAUUUGGAAAAGUUUGAACCACUGAAUUUUGAAUUUUCAUGGAACUCAUAGCCACGCAGCGGUUUCGGAACCCUACAUGGUCUCGAAUGGAAAAGUCAUGAAUACCAAUAUUGUUCCACUCAUCAAAAUCUACAUUUCAUAUAUAGACCAUUUUUGCAUUUGACAAAGUUUUGGGAAGGUGUAGUUGAAAAUCCACAAUUGACACAUAUAGUUUCAUAUAGUUUGUGUGAGAACUUAGAAUUGGUGGGUAUUGUUAACUUAGAUUUUCUCAAAUGGAAAAGUUGUGUAUAUAAAAAGUUUAGAUCUUGAAGAUAUCUAACAACUUGGUAUUCAAAAUAUUUUCAUUUGAAGUAAUUUAGUUUGUCAUUUGACCAAGUUUGACUGAAACCCGUCUUGGAUUUUAUAGAAAUGUAACUAGAAUUGGCUCAAAAUUAUCCAAAUGGAAAAAUGGACAAUAUAUAAAAUAUAGAUUUUGAUGAUCUCUAACAACUUUGUAUUCAAACUUUUUUCAUUUCAAGUCAUCAAAUGGGCUAUUUGACCAAGUUUGACCAAAGUCAAAGCAUUGGUUUUUACAAACACACCCUUUGACCGAACCCUAGAUUGUCCCAAAUGGAACAGUCAAGCCGACACAACAGUGAACUUCUUCUUGACGUAUGACCCUUGGUUAUGAUCCUGCCGUAACCAUGGAGUAUCCUCAUUGUUUAACAGAAUGCUUGGGUCUUUGUUGACUAUGAAGGGCGGAAUUCGAUCAUCCCUUUCGUAAUCGCCUGACAUGUCUGACUUGUCCUCAAUUCCGACAAUGUUUCUUUUCCCAGAAAGGACAAUGUGGCGCUUUGGCUCAUUGAUGAUUGAGUGGUCAUCAUUUUUUCCUCUCUUUGGUUUCGUAGACAUAUCUUUGACAUAGAACACCUGACUCACGUCUGCAGCAAGGACGAAUGGUUCGUCUUUGAACCCACUAUUGUUAAGGUCCACGGUUGUCAUCCCAUACUCCUUGUCGACUGUUACCCCACCUCCGGUCAUCUUCACCCAUUGGCACCGGAACAAAGGAACUUUAAAAUUAGCUGCAUAGACUAGUUCCCAUAUGUCUUCUAUGCGUCCAUAAUAUGUUUGCCUGUUCCCAUUUGGAUCCGUGGCAUCCACGCGUACACCACUAUUUUGGUUGGUGCUCCUUUUAUCUUGGCCAACUGUGUAAAAUGUGUUACCAUUUAUCUCGUACCCUUUGUAUGUGAGGACAUGCCAUGAUGGUUGCCUGGCCAACAAAUAAAGCUGCUCAUCAAUGUUUUCAUCACCUUGACAUUUUUUGCGCAACCAAUCGCCAAAAGUUUCCAUGUGCUGACGCAUUAUCCAAGCUUCAUUCUUCCCGGGCCACUGGGACCGUAGGUAAUCUUUGUGUACCUCAACAUAUGGUUCCACCAAUGAGGAGUUCUGGAGAACUGUGUAGUGUGCUUUAUUGAAGUAAUCGUUUCCCGUACCAAUAUAUGUUUUCUUCCCAAGUGUUCCCUUUCCGCUGAGUCUGCCCUCGUGUCGAGAUUCAGGAAUGCCAAUUGGGUCAAGGUCUGGAAUAAAGUCAACACAGAACUCUAUGACCUCCUCUGUUCCGUAGCCCUUGGCAAUGCUUCCUUCUGGCCGGGAACGACUAUGGACAUAUUUCUUUAGGACACCCAUGAAUCUCUCGAAGGGGAACAUGUUGUGUAGGAACACAGGACCGAGAAUACGAAUCUCUUUGACCAGAUGAACUAGGAGGUGUGUCAUGAUAUCGAAGAAGGAUGGAGGGAACACCAACUCAAAGCUGACGAGACAUUGAACGACAUCAUUCUGCAGAGUAGCUAGUUGCUCUGGAUUGAUUGCCUUCUGAGAAAUUGCAUUAAGGAAUGCACAUAGCUUUACGGUGGCUAGACGUACGUGUGGAGGUAGAAUUCCUCUUAAAACGACCGGCAGCAAUUGCGUCAUUAGAACGUGACAGUCAUGGGACUUCAAGUUCAGGAAUUUCUUCUCUGGCACAUUAAUUAUUUCCUUGAUAUUGGAGAAGAAUCCAGAUGGGACCUUGAUGCUGCUAAGACAUUCAAACAUGCUUUCCUUCUCUUCUUUGCUCAGAGUGUAGCUAGCAGGGCUUAAGUAAUGACGUCCAUCAUCUGUCUUUUCUGGAUGCAGGUUGUCUCGUUCUUUCAUGCGCUGCAAGUCUUGUCGUGCUUCAAGUGAAUCCUUAGACUUCCCGUAGACACCCAUGAAUCCGAGCAAGUUCACACAAAGAUUCUUUGUCAGGUGCAUCACGUCGAUCGUGUUGCGGACCUCUAGGACAUUCCAGUAAGGUAGCUCCCAAAAUAUGCAUUUCUUCUUCCACAUGGGUACGUGUCCCUUAGCAUCCUUGGGAAUAGGUUCGCUGCCUCGUCCCUUUCCAAAUACCACUUUUAUAUCCUUGACCAUUUCGAGUACAUCAUCCCCGGUUCGAUUGAGAGGUUUGGUCCGGUGGUCUGCCUUGCCUUUAAAAUGCUUGCCUUUCUUUCGUACUGGGUGGUUCACAGGAAGAAACCGACGGUGGCCAAGGUACACGACCUUUCGACAUUUUUUCAAAAAUACACAGUCAAGGUCUUCAUAACAAUGUGUGCAUGCAUUAUAUCCCUUGUUUGACUGGCCUGAAAGAUUACUCAGAGCUGGCCAAUCAUUGAUUGUUACAAACAGCAAUGCUCGUAGGUCAAAGUGCUCUUGUUUGUACUCAUCCCACACGCGAACUCCUGGUUUGCUCCAUAAAAGUUGUAGUUCCUCAACUAAUGGCCUAAGGUAGACAUCUAUGUCAUUGCCAGGUUGCUUCGGUCCUUGGAUAAGCACCGGCAUCAUAAUAAACUUCCGCUUCAUGCAUAGCCAUGGAGGAAGGUUGUAGAUACAUAGAGUAACUGGCCAAGUGCUGUGACUACUGCUCUGCUCACCGAAAGGAUUCAUACCAUCUGUACUUAAGGCGAACCGCAAGUUUCUAGCAUCAUUUGCAAAAUCUGAGAAUUCUCUGUCUAUCGCUCUCCACUGGGAUCCAUCGGCAGGGUGUCUCAGCAUAUUGUCUAUCUUACGGUCUUCUUUAUGCCACCGCAACAACUUUGCAUUGUCCUUAUUUCUGAACAGACGUUUUAAUCGUGGUAUUAUAGGAGCAUACCACAUAACCUUGGCUGGAAUUUUCUUCCUAUGUCGUUCUUCACCCUCAACAUCGCCAGGAUCAUCUCGUCUAAUCUUAUACCGUGAUGCCUUACAUACUGGACAUGCAUCCAAAUUCUCGUAUUCCUCCCCACGGUAGAGGAUGCAGUCAUUAGGACAUGCGUGUAUCUUCUGGAUUUCUAAUCCCAAAGGGCAGACAACCUGUUUUGCUUCAUACGUAGUGGUGGGCAAUUCGUUGCCUUUCGGAAGCAUCUUUUUUAUGAUCUUCAAUAACUGCCCAAAUGCCUUGUCAGAUGUACCAUUCUUUGCCUUCCAUUGCAGCAAUUCUAGUGUGGUACCCAGCUUUUUUUGCCCCUCUUCAGCGGUGGGAUAUAGCGAUUUCCUGUGGUCCUCUAGCAUGCGCUCGAACUUGGCUUUCUCUUUAUCACUUUCACAUUCUCUUUGUGCAUCACGGAUGGCAUCACCAAAAGCAUCAUCGCCCCGAUCAUCUUCUGCCGCCACCUCUUCUUCAUUAUCUCCCCCCAUUGCAACAUCAUUGAAGCCACCGUACUGAGCAAUAAUAUUGGCAUGGUCCAAUUCUUCUUCUUCUUCUUCUUCUUCUUCACCUUCAUCCAUUAUAAUCCCGCUUUCUCCAUGUUUGGUCCAACAAAUAUAGUUUGGUACGAAACCAGACUUUAAUAAGUGUGAAUGAAGAGUUCUUGAGUUAGAAUAUUCCGUCAAAUUCUUGCACACGGCACAUGGACAGCACAUGAAACCGUCCCUCUUAUUUGACUCGGCCACACUUAAGAAAUAGUGCACGCCAUUAAUGAACUCUUCGGAGCGCCGAUCGGCAUUAUACAUCCAAUUACGUGUUACCAUCUGCAUUAAAGAUAACAUAUAUAUUAUGAAAACCAUGCACACAUAUAGUUUCUCAUCUUAUUGCACAACAUGUCUAAGAUACAUAGUUGAUUAAUUUAGAAAAACUUGGCUACAACAAAUACAAUCGCAACUAGCAUUAAAAAAAAUAAAACUAAAAUGCACUUAAGCAACAUAAUUAGUUCGCGUCCGAUCCCAACUAUAAUAGAUAGAUCAUUCGCUUGAUCAACUUCAUUGAACUUCUUUCGUCGGCUCACUGCCUCACCACCUUCAGCCUCAACCACCUGUGCAAAAGAUUUCUUAAUGUGUUCAAUGUAUUCUUCCUCCCAGUACCAACCUGUACAUCCGCCGGUACCGUCCCACUGAAAUUAAAAGAGAGAAUCAAAAGUUUAAUUAAUAUCAUUUAAAAAAAUAUGCACAUAUAUAAGCAAAUGUCUGGAAAUAACUCACAUUACGAUCUGGACACUUGUAGAAUAUACGACCCUUGUUUACUCCCUCUUUCGACACUUUGUACUCCAUCAAAAUCUUCUGCCCACACUUGCCACAAGUAAUGAGAGGGAGUUCCGGACGGUAUCGCUUUUGAACCCGUUGAGAGACGGAAGACCCGGUCACGGUUGCCAUCUACUAUCCAUACUCAAUUUUAAAACAAUUAUAAAUUCCACAUUUACUAGUAAACAUGUAUGAUACAAUGGACAUUAUAUGUAGUAAUAAAAAUAAAUCAAGUGAUAUUAACAAACCAAUUAAUUUGAACUAUCCUACUUUCUAUGAUCAUAAAAAUAUACUAUAAUUCAUUCUUGCAAAAUAUAUUAAAACUAGGUCAACCAUGAAAUAUGAUAUAUAUAUAUGGAUACUAAUUCAUGUGAAUGAUUCAAAAUAACAAAGUGGAUUUGAGCUAAAAAUGAUGGGAACAUCACAAGCCAAAAACAACAUGAAAAAGACAAGAAAGGCUGAAGUUAGUCACCUCUAAGCGCGAAGAGACGAUGACGGAGUCGAAGAAGAUCAACGAUGGGCGUUGGAGAUGAAGAACAAAUGAAGAACAAGCAAGAAGAAGCUCCAAGAACAACAAUGGUGCUCUCGGUUUCAAAUGGGCAGAGGGGAGGAGGGAGCCGGCCUAUAAACCGGACCUUUAGCACCGGUUCAGAGCAAAAACCGGUGCUAAAGGGUUACCUUUUAGCACCGGUUUGUAACACAAACCGGUGCUAAAGGGUUUGCCUCGGCCCGUGGCUCUGGCCGGUGCUAAAGGGACCCCUUUAGCACCGGUUCUUGUUACAAACCGGUGCUAAAGGGUCCCUGCCCCGACAGCACAUGUCAGUAGCCGUUGGGCAGGACCCUUUAGCACCGGUUUGUCACACGAACCGGUGCUAAAGGGGUCUUUAACCCCGGGCCGCAAAAAGGCCGAGGUUUUUGGCCAUUUUGGGCAUCGACCAAUGCCUCAUUCUGUAGUAGUGCGCGCCAACAAACAAAGCCAAAUGUACGAGGAGGAGCACGCAUAGUAGUCCUCUUUUGUGACAGGGACUGCAGCGCGCCAAGUGUCGGGCCGAAAAUUUUUUGCGUGCGCGUACGUCCCGAUCCGUCGUUUCCGUUGGUGGUAGCUCCAUCAUCGCCGCGGCGGAACACUUGUGGUGGCGCGCGCGCAGCCACCACGCACACCUUUGCCCUGCCUGCCUGCUUUUAAUUUCCCGAGUGGCAGCCAAAGUGCGCUCGAUGCCCUUCCCUUGGCAACGAAGCAAACGGAGGACUGCGGCUGCGGGCGCAGCAAAAUCACGUACGGAUCCAAACCCCAAGCAAAAGCGUGGGCGGCGCCACCGGACCCCCGGACCGGACCCGACGCGCGCGUCGCUUUUUCGGCAGCUGCGAGCGCCGGCCGCGCGCGCCGCCGAUCGUGCAUGUGGGAAUGCGUGGGAUGCGCCCGGCGCGUUUCGCAGCCAUCUGAUGGCUGAUGAUCGUGUCGACCGUUCGUUCACACGUACGUGCAUGCUUGUACACGGAUCAUGUGGGCGCACACGGUAGGCACGCAGGCACACGAACGUUCCUCGCGCGCGACCUCCUGCGUGCUAUGUAUCGUCCGGUCUCGUAUGAAAGUGCAUAUACACUCGCGCUAGUUAUAGUACACGCACGCUAUAAUUGCAAGUGGCAACUUGCAAGGCCCGCACCGAAUCCGUCUGUCGUCUAUAGUGCGUCCCAUUCGAUCGUCAGCUAAAAAAAAUGGUGGUGAAACAGAGCAGAGGAACCAAUGUGCAACGAAAGGCACAAAAAAAAAAGGUUGCCUUGAAAAUUUUUUGAAUUUCGGCAUUGUAUCAUUUUCGUUUUUAUUUCACAAAUAUUAUCUAAUUAUAAGCAUCUCCAACAGUUCCCUACUUCUCACUUGCCAAAUUGCGAGUUUUAGCAAGUUGCUAUAAUGAUUUACCAAGUUGAAAAAAGCUCAUCUCCAACAGUUCUCUAUUUCUCCUUGCCAAAUAAAAAAAAAAGAGGAGGCCCAUCUCGUUUAGUUUGUUGACCGGUACUUUGCCUGGCCGAUCGAUACCGCUUCAUCCAUCGCGCGAUCUCCUCUAUCGCGCACGAACACGGCGCCUUCCUCACGCCGCCGCUGGAACACGUCGCCGUGGUGGUGAAACAGGACAACGGCGCCCCAGCCCCCCCUGCCGCAGGUCAGCAUCUCUCCCUUGUAGCGCUAGGGUUUUUUUUGAUCUGUAUGCCCGUUUAUGUGAUCUAGGUAUUGAUGUUGAUCCUCUCUACUCGCGAUUAGAAAUCAUGCCUAGGAAAAGAUCCCGUGCUAGAAGAGUACUAGAGGAGUCAUCAUCCGAUGACGAUGAAUUGCUAAUAUUAUCGACUGCUCAACUUGUGCAAGCCGCCUUCUCCAAUGAAAAAGGAAAACACGGUGGCUCUGUGAAAGGUCAUAGAGUUCUUCACCGUGAUAGACAAGGCGGACACAACAGGAUGUUUCAAGAUUACUUAGCGGACAAUCCAACAUACACCGAUGAGAUGUUCCGUCGGAGGUUCUUGGUAUUACAACUUUUCAUUAAUUUGUUUUACAAGCUGAAAUCUUAUUGUAGUUAUGAACAUUUUUGUUUUGUUCUUCAGGUACAGGAUGUCUAGGGACCUUUUCAAGCGCAUAAUGAAAGCUGUGGAAGAGCAUGAUGAUUACUUUGUCCAGAAAAGAAAUGCGGCCAAUGUUCUUGGACUGAGUUCCUUCCAAAAAAAUCACUGCAGCAAUGCGUAUGCUUGCAUAUGGGGUUCCUGCUGAUGCGACAGACGAGUAUGUUCGCAUUGGCGAGAGUACUGCACUUGAGAGCCUGCGCAGAUUUGUUCGGGCAGUUAUUGAAGUUUUUGGUGAUGAAUACCUCAGGAGCCCUAAUGAAAAGGACAUAGCACGCUUACUUGCAUUGGGUGAGAAAAAGGGAUUUCCAGGCAUGAUAGGGUCCAUUGAUUGUAUGCAUUGGGCAUAGAAGAACUGCCCAUAUGACAAACAAGGUCAGUUCAAGGGGCAUUGCGACAAGCCCACUAUCAUUUUGGAGGCUGUUGCUUCAGAAGACCUUUGGAUAUGGCAUGCCUUCUUUGGAAUGCCCGGGUCUCACAAUGACAUCAACGUUCUUGAUAGAUCUCCCUUGUUUGAUAACUUGGCGGAAGGUAUUGCUCCAGAAGUGAAGUUUACCGUUAACGGCCAUGACUACACAAUGGGUUAUUACCUUGCAGAUGGUAUAUACCCCUCAUGGGCUACUCUCAUCAAGUCCAUCACUCUGCCUAUGGGGAACAAGAAGCAAUAUUUUGCCAAAGCACAAGAAGCCGCGAGAAAGAUGGUCGAGAGAUCUUUCGGUGUUCUUCAAUCAAGGUGGGCAAUUAUUCGAGGACCCGGACGCCCUUGGGACAGUGAGACUUUGGCACUGAUCAUGAGGGCUUGUAUCAUCAUGCACAACAUGAUCAUAGAAGAUGAAGGAUACGUGGUUGAUCCUCAGAAGCGUUUUGAUUAUGGUGGUGACAAUGUGGAGCCUGAACAUGGUAGAGCUCAUCGCACACUUGAAGAAUAUAUUGAAGCGCAUAGAAAGAUCAGAGACAAGGACACCCAUGUGCAGUUGAAGGAAGACCUCAUCGAACACCUGUGGAACAAUCAUCCAGAUUUAUAUUUGUACAAUAUAUGAUUUCCUAUUUUAUAUUGUUUAAGCACUUUAGUCUUAGCAAAUUUAUAUUGUUUCAAGCGCAAUGAACCCUCUAUAUUUUAUAGUCAAUUUUGUAUGAAAUAUUCAAGUGAAAACAUUUGUAUUAUUUCUAUUUUUAUAGUGCUUCUUGUCUGUGUGAAGGAUAUUAUGAAAACAUUGGCAGGUGAUGGCGACAAAGUGCUCACGUAUAUGAAAUACUAGAGCAUGGCCAAUUAACACAAAAGCAAAUAUUCGCCAAACAUAAUAAUUUGGUAGCUGGUACAAUAUGUAAACUGAAAUAGACUAAUUGUUCAUUGCAUAAAAAACUAAAUUGAUAGCAACUUGAUUUGGAAAAAAAGCAACUAAAUUUCAGCUUGAGUUCCAUAGCGCUUGGCAACAAUGUCCUCCUGCAUCAUCUUAAGCCAUUGAAGCUGCGCCGGGUUUAGGCCAUUGAAGCUCGCCAACAUAAUAUCUUUCUCUUGCUUUAGCAACUCGGCUUCAGCUCUCUUCUGCUCAGCUUCAGCUCUCUUUUGGUCAGCAUCAGCUCUCUUGAGUUCAGCUUCAGCCCUUGUCUUCUCCAGCGCUAGAUUUUCCUUGUCAACCUCAAGGGCAGCCACAAACCUCUCUUGUUUUGACUUUUCUUUUUCCUUAUCGGUCUCCUCCUUCUUUGCCCACAUCUUGUCGAUCGCCUCCGCGCAUACUUCCGCACCACCUCCCCGAAGAUUAGCUUUCACCUUCUUAAUUCCAUCUGACCUUUUCCUGGGCUGUGUUUCUGGCACAUCAGCAGCUGCGGCUGAUUUUUCAGAGCUGGUUUCUUCUUCAUCCCUUGGCCUGGACUCCUUUGAGGCCUUCUGAGUCUUUUUGUUUUUUUCCAGUUUCUCAAGCUCUGCGAUCUCUACCAUCUUGGCUGCCCACUUGUCUUCAUCCUUCAGUACGUUCCAACAAGGGAUAAGAGUGAAUUUCUUUUUGUCCUUGUCUUCCUCCAUGUACAACUUGCAUGCUGCAGACACCUGCACAACAAUGUACCAAUUUAUAUAUGAGUCACAAACAGAUUAAAAACAGAUUAAAAGCAGAUUAAAUUUUUUUUGGUAAAACAGAUUAAAAGCACGACAUAACCCUACCAUGUCUGUGACAGUGUGUCCACUUUGAUGCUUGCGUUUAAUCGCCUCAUAGCAUCCGCAAAAUUUGUUCACUUGAUGCUGAAUUGUGAACCACCGAUGCAUAAUGGAACUCUCUGUCCGCACAGUUUCAGUUUUUUUGUUUUGCUCAAAAUAAGCAUGAACUCGAUCCCAAAAAGUGUUACGAGUUUGGUUGGCCCCAUUGAGAGAAUCCUUGCUAGCGUUCAACCAGACGGAGCAAACAACUUCAUCUUCCUUGAAAUGAAAAUUCUUGGAACGCUUGGUAUGGUUCUUACUCUUGUUAGCACGACUUGUAGGCACGAUUUCAACAUCGGCAUCUGGACUAGACUGUGUACCUGUAGCUGGGGAGACUGGAAUGGCGAGGUCGUCCAAACCAACAACAUGUUCGGCUUGUCCAUUCAGGAGAAUGCCCCCUAAGAAAUUUUCUUCUUCCGUAUCCAUCAUUCUAAACAAGUGCAAUUUAUCAUCAGCAACAUACUAUGUGUACAAUCAUCAAAAACUUUGCAACCCCGACUACGUACCCCGACCAACAAUUUAUCAUCAUCAACGUACAAUAAUAGAGUAUCAUCAAGGAACAGCUAGUAACAUACUAUAUGUCCGAUCAUCAGCAAGGAAUAAACAACAAAGUACCCAUGAAUGUAUGCCGUAAAAUUCAGAGAAGUAUCCUAAAAUAUUUGCAUCAGAAUUAGACAACUAUCAUCAAUCUAUGCAACAAACAUACAGUACCAUCAAUCUAGACUAUCAUCUAUCACUACAUGCAGGAGGUUCACGCGAACAGAUCGAAUAAACACACGGCCAUGAACUGAUUCUAUCGCGAGAUCAAUUAAUCUACCAGCUGAACCCUAGCCUAUCGAUGAGAAAGGCAUGAACCUGAUCGCAAACCUGGAUGGCGGCGCAAAACUGAACCCUAGCCUAUCGCGAGAUCGAAGACAACGGGGAGAACCACGUACCUGAUCGCAAAACUAAAUGCCGGCGCAAGGAGGACGGGCGCGAUCCGCGAUCACUCGUCCGGUUCCCUAGUGGCGGCGCAAGGAGGACGAUCGAGAGGGAGGACGUGCGGGAGGGAAGAGUUUCAUGCGGGAAGGAAAAGUCCGACGCGCGCCAUCCACCCUCCGAGAACCGCGACGCUCGAUGGCAAGGAGAUGCGUGUGCGCAUUUUUACGCACCGGGAGGCUCUCGAUGGCAACUUGGCAAAAAUUGGCAAACUAAAUGGAGAACUGUUGGAGAUUGAAAUUUUGAUGUUUUGCCAAAUUUUAGAGGAUGGCAACCCAUAUAGGGAACUGUUAGAGAUGCUCUAACUAGGCUCAAAAGAUUCAUCUUAUGAUUUACAGGCAAACUGUGCAAUUAGUUUUUAUUUUCGUUUAUAUCUAAUGCUUCAUGCAUGUGCUCUAAGAUUUAAUGUGACGGAGAAUCUUGAAAAGUUUUGGGUUUCGGGGUGAACUAAACAAGGCAUAUAUUAGUAUCUUCUACAGUAGAUACCACUCCGUAAACAGUGGUCGAAUCAAAACCACUGUUGAGAUGCUUCAUGCAUGCUUCGGUUUCACAUAUAUAGACAUAUAUAGCCUGUUACGAAUUAGUAAUAUAAAUGUACUUUUACCGUUCCCAUAUAAAGCUCCUCCAUCCGUAAGAAAAUAAGGAAAAACAAAACAGAAUACCUUGCAGAAAAGAAAUAAACAGACAAGAAAAUAAAAAUCUACGAAUAACAUAUAUACCCUAUCUUCAAGGAAUUUGGCUCCAUCGAACCUGAUACCUCAGACAUUUCUCGAAACCACAACUUCACUCAUGAGCACACAAAUGGAAACAUUAUUUUUUUUUAUUAUUUCUCAUUUUUUUUUUCCAAAAUCACCUCACCGGGAAAUUGAUUCUUCUCAACAGAAGCAGAAGAGACCCAAAAAAUUUGCAACCCAUAUCACAUACCCGUGCCAGCUGUCACCAGUCACCACCAAGCCAGACCCGUUAGCCCGCGACUCCACCCGCGUUGCCCCUCUAUAAAUACCCGCGCCCUCCGCACCUUUCCCCACCACCAGCAGAGAUCUCGUGCUCGCCGCUAUCAAUUCGUUCCUUCUCCACAGCAACACAUCCGCCUUCUAGAACCUUCUCGCCGCCGCCGCCGCCGCCACCACCCGUCGAAGCGAAGCAAAGCAAUGGCCGGAGUCGGAUCGAAGGCCCUCGCCGUGGUCGCCGUCCUGGCGGCCGUCGCCCUGUCGGUGGCCAACGCGGCUGAUGCGCCCGCGCCCAGCCCCGUCUCCGCCGCCGGCGCCGCGUCGGCGCCCUUCGCCGCGGCACUCGUCGCCUCCGCCGCCUCCUUCCUCUUCGCCGCCGUCCGCCACUGAGCCGAUGGGGGCCUGAUGCCUCGUGCCUGCCCUGCCUACCUACCUAGCAGUACUUCCACCACCGCCGCCUUCGCCGCCUAGAUCUAUUUAUUAUUAUUGGAGUGUUAUUCAGUAGUAGUAGUAGUAGGGAGAGAUUUCUUCGUAGCUCUCGUGUCGUCGUCGCAUUUUGGUCGGAUCUGGUGUGUCCUUGGUGGAGGUUGGGUUUCUACCGUAUCGUGGUGUGUGUGUGUGUGUGUGUCGGUUGUGUGAUCUGAUGAUCCCCCCUUGUAGAUACUCUGCUUUCAUCUCGCCGUGAUCGUGAGUGGUGAUUCUGUCUGGUUGCUACUGAUAUAUUAUUAUUUCUUCUUAUUAUUAUUGGUCCCAUUUGAGACAUGUGUUGUUGCUGAUUUGUGUAUUAUUUCUUUCUCUGCGCUUGAUUUAUCGUUUACUCUGCUGCGUUCUGUGUAUUGUUCGCUCCGUCGCUGCGAAAUUUUGCGUCGCGGUUGGGAUCCGUGACGCGUUAGAUUUGUUUCUACUUCCGAUCCGCGUCGCGUUGCAUCGACGCAGGUUCUUUUUUGUUGUUGCCAGGAAGUAAAUUAAUUAAUUAUUACGAUCUGAAAGACUGACUGACUGGGCUUUAACGUGUCUUGGUCUGUGGUGUGUUUCGAUCUGGGUAGUUUUUUAUUUCUGAUGAGGAUUCUCAGUCAGGCAGGAGAAUGAACCUUGGGGCGUGUGUAGUUUAAUGCCCUUCCUCUGCUGACAAAAGAUUGAUUCGGCGUCUUGUUUAUGAAGGUCAGAAACUCAUGAAUAGUGGUGCCCAACCUUCAUCAGUUCCUUAAUAUUUUGCUCUGAAUGCAACAACGGCAGAAGUGGCAAAUCUCAGUGCGGAUUCAAAAUUCCUAGCAAACAAUGCCGGCAAAGUAAACAUGGACUGGCGAGCGACCAGGAGCAGCACAUGAUCGCUGUUGUUGAGGCAUGGAGCCAUAUGACCGCUCCUUUGGACGGUCCGGUCAGAGGUUCAGCUUGACCCAGACCUUUGCUGCCCUCCUCUUUUCAUUUUCAUUUCUCAAUGGCCAAUAACAUUCAGCAUCAACAGUGCUAGGCACUGCUACAAAUCCUACAAACAGUCAGAACACCACACUCUUUCUUGUACUCUACAGGUAGACAAGAAAACGGUGAUGCGUUGGCAGACGAGGAGGAGUUGAAGCGUGUAACAAACGGUUUACUACCCCUGUAGUACCUGUAGUGAGCGACGAGCGUGUAUUAUUCUGGCAUGUUUGGUUGCUAGCCAUAGUUUGCCACACUUUACCUUAGGCAAGUUUGAUCAAGUUAGCAAGUAUUUGGUUGACAACUAAGUUUAGGUAUGAUUCUUUUGGGCUCCACAUGUCAUAGGGUUAAAAAGUGUGGCAAGAUUCCUUUAGGCAUGGCAAAGUGUGGCAACCAAUUUGCUAGCCAUACUUUUUGUGGCUUGCCACAUUUGUCUAAAGUUAGUUGUGGUAAAGUAUGACUAGAAACCAAACAUGUUGGGGUUGGGUCCAUGCGAUGUGACACCAGACAGGAAAGGGCGAAAGGCUAGAGAGAGCCGUGAAACCAUGAUGCGGUCGAGCGCGCGCCUCUGGACCCUGUGGCCCUGCAGCAUCCAUGUGCUGUCGUCCCUUCUGCCCCGCGUAGGGAGGCGUUCCGCCUUUUGCAGUCGUUUUCGCGGUCGGACCCGGUUUCGCCACCCCCCUCCUGGCCUCCUCCACCGUCCGCCCUCCAGAUGAGCAUCAUCAGCCAUCUGGUGUUCUUACCAGCUUGUGCAUUUGAGAUUACCACCUCAAGCACACAUGUACCAACACCACCAAGGCGCUGCACUCUGCAGAAACAGUCAAAGGCGAUAAAACCUUCUUUUUUUUUGCUACAUCAAAUUCCCCCUUACGUACGCAUGCUUGAUAGUUUUUUUUGAAUGGACGCAUGCUUGAUAGUGAAACCAGCAGGUGAGGUGGCAAUAAAACUGAUCGUCACGAUGCCAUCGAUGGGGGCAACAGGUGUCACAAAUGUUGGUAACUAAGGCAGUUUUCUUACCAAAAUUUGUCGACACUGUUGCCGUGUGACGACUGAUGAGGGUAAAAAAGAAGCAUAUCCUCUCUCUCUCUCUCUCUCUCUCUCUCUUUUCUCAGCUAAAGUAUGGGCCGGCCAUCAGGGAGUUAACCCUGUCAAUUCGCUUCUCCAUCUCCAUUAUGCGAAGACACCAACGGGCAAACGUGACAGCCUGGUGAGAAGGACAGGAUGUGCGUGAGCAUGACCCGGAUGCUGCACCAGCACUAGCAAGGAGUAUCGUUCAAGUGUCCUGUCGUCUUCUCUCUUAAUUUUUACCCCAAGAUUUAUGAUUCUAUCAACGUGUCGCUCCCUGAAUCCCUCUCAUUUAACGGAUUCAUCGACAGUUACCAUGGCAGGGAGACGUCGACUUACAAAUCACGGAUCGGGUGUGCCAAGAUCACAAAUCACGGAUGUAUAAAAUGGUAGAUAAUAGGCGCUAUUUCAUUCGGCGCGCUGGACCGUCAGGUAGAGAUACAAUGAUCUAGGCGGCAUCUUAGAAUGAUGACUUGACCAAAGAUAAUAGCUUUGUGUUUUGACAUAAAGAUUGGUCACACACUAGGGGCUGGAUCGUCUGGAUUGCCACAGACCGAAGAACCAAACGAGGAUCACACUUAUGUGGUGAAGAACAGAGAGGUUUAUUAAACUGACAAAAAAAAAAUCCAUUAAAGCUCACACACGGGAGGGACCCCGUCGGGGCAAGGACAUCAGCGAGUUGCUCUAGGUAAGCCGGUAAACCUAGGGCGCUAUCCUUGGUCGUCGGAUCAAGAGAUGAACAGCGACAUAAGGUUGGAAAAAGGAUUAGUGGAAAAAGAGUAGGUGCAAAAAAGGUUAGAUGUUGGGUCCUUAAUCGACCAUGCACUCCCUAUUUAUAAAAGAGUAGGAGUGAUCUUAUCUUGUUUGUAAAAUAAAUGUGAUACUAUUAUUAUAUCGUUUUAUAGUUUUUAAAUUAGACCUUAGCAUGGAUCUUAAAAUUGGCAUGACCCCAAUUUAAGUGUCAAUAACAAGAUAUGAUAAAUCAACUCAAGAUGUAUAAGCAAGAUAUAGAGGAUAUAAGCAAGAUAAAGCAUAACAAGAAUGCAAGAUAUAAAAUACAAGAUAUAACCUGAACUUUGUGGGCAUCAAGCCGUAAUACACCACACCAAGACAUUGCAAAGAACCAAAUCAACCAUAAGCAUAAUAAUAAGCACACAAGCAUGCCCAAACAAUUUUACUAAACACACAAAUGGACUAGACUUUGCACCAUUUGUCAUAUUCGUUAUUCUACUUUUGGGGGACAACAUUGCUGAUAUUUGCACUUGUAGCCUCUCAAAACAUUAUAUGAGAAACAUUUCAAAUGUGAAAAAAUCGUUAUUCUACUUUUGGGGGACAACACUGCUGAUAUUUGCACUUGUAGCCUCUCAAAACAUUAUAUGAGAAACAUUUCAAAUGUGAAAAAAAAAGUGAAACAGAUAUACAAAGAUAGACAAAAGUCUUAAGGUGUAUUGUGCCCGCAUGUUUUCUCAUGUAAAGGAGUCCUUUGUCGUACAAACACAUAGUUCCCUCAAUCCGAAAACAAAAUUAACUUCUAGAGUUGUCUUAAGUUAAACUAUUUAAAAUUUAACAAACUUUAUAGAGUAUCAACAUCUAUGAAACUAGAUAAGAAAAUAUUUCAUUAUGUAUCUAAUGAAACUUAUUUGGUGUCACAAAUAUAAGUGCUCUUUUCUAUAAUUUGAGUUAAACUUAGGAUAGUUUGACUUCGAACAACUCGAAAAGCUGAUUUAUUUCAAGAUGAAUGGAGUAUAAUAUUUAUUUUGAGAUGAAUAGAGCAUAAUCUUUGUUUUACAGCUGUUCUCUCGAUUUCAGACAGGUCAAAGUUAUGCGCUCAUUUUAAGAAAUAAUGUGUACAGUUUUUUGGAGACCUCGCAAGAGUGCAGAAAUUAUUCAAAAUUCUCAUGUCAACUUAUAUGAGUUGAAACUUCACAAGAAAAAUAGAAUCAACAGGCCAAGGAUCUCGCAUUUCAACUCUCAAGACAUUUGAACAUUCCCCUGCUCCAAUAAAAACUUCUCCAACCACAUUUUUGAAUGGCAAAAAAUAGCUUGCUGACAUUUUCAUUUUAUAUUUCACAUAGACAUGAUUUUCGUCCAGUAAAAAAGAAGAAUAAGAAUAUGCAGAUUUGCAACAGGCUCUAUAUAUUAUUCCUUUUUUUUCACAAUAUUGGUCCAGAAACAACAUGCACGGCAUUCAAGGAAGCAGUUAAUUGAAUAAAAGGAUAGACGAACACAUGAAGACCAGUGAUUUACAGUAAGGAGAAUGUGCUACAGAACUGAAUCAAAAUGAGACUAUUGGAUUCCAUCUAUCGACAAGCGUGUUACGGUGUUAGCCUUGUCAUCCAGUUGCUGAACAAACACGAACCCCUAGCCAAACCAGAACACCUUCAAGCUUGGGUUUGUCUACAAUUGUAAUUACGAAAACACAUGCAAGCAAAAGAACAAAAUCACAUCAUCCCCUCUUUGCUAUUAGCUAUAAUUGGUCUGAGUAUUGUGUUUCCAUUGACGACCUUUGUUGUUGCAACGAGGAAGUCAUAGCCCAUUCCUUCCUGCAAUACACAAGGCAAGAGGUAUUAAGUGAAGAAAACUAACUAAAGUGUGGUCCAACUUCCUCAUGCGUGUUCGAGAAAAAAAAAAGUGUGGCCCAACUAAAGAGAGGAAAUUAUUUCAUAGUCAAAAUUCAGGUAUUAUAUGCAGUAAAAAAGUUCAGAGAAAGACUUUUUGUUCAGGUAAACAGAAGUAUAGUGGUCAGGUUUUUUUGGUAGUGGUGUGGGGGAGGAGGGCUGAUCUAAUCAACUCUCAUAACAAAGGGGACAACAAAAGUCACGAAAAAGACUUUACUCUGUGCUAACCAAUAUAAAAUGGUUGCACCAAAUUAUUCUUAUUGAUUUAGUAAUUGAGAAAACAAAAUCAGGAAAAAAAGAUACUCCUAUGUACCAUGAAUACUGAAGUGAUUUUUCAUAUCUAAGAAAAUACCUUGGAAUCCAUUUGCUCUAAACAUCUGAGAACUGAGAAACAAGUAGGACAAGGCAUACCUGUGCACUAAGGAAUCGAAGGGCAGCAAUCUCAGCAAAUGUGACACCGCCAAUAAAUACAACCAAAACCAGAGAGCGAUGACCAACCCUAGAAUAAACAGAAAUAUUAGAAAGCAGAUUUAUAACUGUGAAUGCUAGGGGAUGGUCCACAAUGUUUUCCAUAUCAAGACUAUAUAAGUUUUAGCACUCUUCUCUAUUAAAUAUAUGGUUUUGAUUGAAGCAUGAGAUCAUUCUCCCAGAUCUGCUACAUACUAUCCAGAAAUUAUCUGCUAUGCAUUUUGGUACCACAUAUUUCAGGGAAAACUGGUUGAGUAACACCAAAAACUUGACCAUCUAUGUCUGACGUCAACAUGACUAAUUACUUCUGUUGCGACCAUUACUAGCCAAGCAUAUCUAUUUUAGAUGGCCUUGAACCCAAUCAGCACGACUGUGCUGGAAAACAGUGGCCUCUAGGCAAGGACAAGGAUAGCUGAUGCACUAGGAGUUAUGAUAUAUUGUUUUUCUUUCCUAGAGAAGAUGCAUGCCAUCCUUAUAAUGAUAGAUGGCUUAUCCUAGAGAAACAAUACAACCUAAUCUUAUCUCUAAACAAUAACACAAUCGAAAGGCCCUAGGAAGGCAUGGUGCUCCUCCUCUCAGAUACCAAGUGUGUUGUGCUUGUGCUUGUGCUUGUGCAUGACAUCUUCGAUCCCCAAUUUCCUUGAAUUUGCAUACAGAGUCAACAUGGUGUCCAUAUCCCUCCCAUCUCUCUCCAGUCUCCACUUCAAUCAUUUCUGUCAUGUUUGAAUUGUUAUACAGCAGUGAAUUUACCUGUCAAUACUCUGUUGAGCCCCUAAACCUGGAUGCACCUCUGGUGACGAAUUAAUUGUCAAACCACCCUACAUGAGUGAGAAAAUCUUUAAGGAAAAGAUUUUUUUUGCUUCCCUAAAACGAGAAGUCAAUUCAACGAGUUCCACUCACUCUUUUCAAAUCUAGAUGUGGGCCUGGCAAUAGUUUCAACAGUUCUUCAAUAGACCGCCUGCAAAGUGAGAAAUAAAUUUCAGUGUGAGAAAGUAUAUGUCGCAAACGUUCUAUCCAUUAAUUAAGGUUAUUAAGGACAUGCAUGCAAACCACUUGUACAACAUAACAGCUGAAGCUUUCCCACCCGAAAAGGAUGGGUGAAGCAUUUGUUGCCAAAUAAACAGCACUUUUUUAUCUGAUAAUUGGUAAAAGGCAGGAUCUAUUUUGGCUAAGAGAGCAGAAAUGUAGAUAUAAGAAAAUUGGGCGACACUCCUAUUAUACUGGAUACUCAAUCUAAUAGAAGAGACUUUUUGUAAUUUAUAUCAACAAAAUGGCUCACAAGUUUCCACAACUGAAGUCUGCACAAUUUAUAAAUAAAUAUAUAAAAAGGAAUUGGAAGGCUACAUUCCUAAGGAAUACAUGGGACAAUUUUCUUUCUUUAAUGCAUGUAAGUUUUACCCAAGAAAGGAAAUGAAUAAAGAUCAUGUGUAAUAAGAACUUUCCGUUACUCAAAGACCUAGAUAUUUUAUUCUGAGACUUCUUUUGGCAUAGAAACAUUUCUUCCAUAGGAAGUUAAACAAUCCUUUCUCCGCAGAUUACAUUCAAAGAAACACGUCAUCAUCAUAAAAAAAAGUAAAGGGACACAAAGAAACUAGCAUGAGAAACAUACCAUCCAGAUCUCACUGCAUGCUGAACAAGGCGGAUACUAAGAGGUGCGUAUCCAGAAAAGAUGUAGGAUAUAUCAGUAGGGCUGAGAUUGACAAUAAGAAUAGAUUAGUAGAAGUUGAAGGUGUAACUAGAUAUCGAAUGGCUAGUUAUAACGAGCUGAAGAAUGGCCACAAUUAUGCCUUGAAUAAUCAUUACAAUGAAGCAGUGCAUUGCAGGAAAACAAAUAACUUCUAAACAAAAUUAGAACUAAACAGAAAAAAUAUUGACUCUAAAACAUUUUGGUAAAAAUUAGGAUGAAGUUUGAAAGGAUGUAGCGAAACAGUUUAUAUAUAUAAUAACUUAUAUGAAGAAGACAGAAACAGUUUACUUUUCUUGAACAUGCAGGAGACCUGUGUAUCAGUGCAUGCAUUGGGGAAUACAACUCCCUCUGUUUCAAAAUGCAAAAUGCUUUAGUUUUGCCUUAAACUUCUCUAACUUUGACCAAUACAAAAUUGUACCAACAUCUACAACACCAUAUUAGUUUAUUAACUACACCACUAAAUGUCUUGGUAGUGCAUUUAUAUGCUACUGUAGAUGUUGUCAAAAGUUAUAGAAGUUUGACUUAGAACAAAACUUAAACACUUUACAUUUUGGAUUAGAGGCAGUAUUUAUGUAACCAAGCAUAUAUGAACCCAAAUGCUUGUAGCAUGAGCAAAUAGAACAUAAUGCAAAGUAUAUAUAAAGCCUCAAGAGUUAAUACUUUGCCGUAUCAUUCACGUCAACUAUAAGCUGCAGUGCUCUUGUAAUACCAACCCAAUUGCUUCUUGAUUCCUGGGUAGUACAACAAUGUCAUUGAAGAUUAGGAAGGCAAAAGAAAACAACAUUGAAGGAACCACAGAUGACUCUGAAGAAAAAGUUUGGUGACACUCAAAUCUGACUAACCUGCCUCUUAAGAAGGCCAGCCUUCUCCAGAUUGUAUAAUAAGUGCAUGUGUUCAAAGCCAUAACUAUGAAGUAUCUCCCGCCUAGCCAGUAAAAAAGGCAGAGUAAAGAAGGAUUAAGUGUACACUCAACAGCAUGCUGGAAUCUAAACAAUAAAUUCUAAUAAACAUAGGAUGUAUAACAAAUGCACAAUAGCAUCCUAAAGCACGUACUUUUAAACAGCAUCUACUCCACAAAUCCGUGUAUUCCAUCUUAAGUCUAUAUUCAAUUCAUGCAUGCAAACGAUAGAUGUUAAAGGAUGGAUAUUUCUUAUUAAGGGUUUGUGUAGGGAGCAGCACACUUGUUUUGCAUUGGAGUAUGAAGCAUGCCAUACAUUUGUUGAUAAGACCCAAAAAAUUAUCUUAUGUUUGUGGAACAAUUAUUAUAGCAAAAAUGUGCCUUAAAUGCGGCCGUGACACAUAAUACUAAGAAUGGUAGCACCUCCGCUAGUAACAAUUUUUUUGCAUUGGGUUACAGGGAUCAAAGACGAAUUGACGAUGUCUAGUUUAUGGUCAGAAGCCCAGUCUCAGUUCGCUAGUCAAGGUGUCUCUGGCUAGACAUGAGGACACUUUCAGUUUAUAAAAAUGUAGGGCUUUAAGAUCAUUGGCUUGAUCAUGCUGUUAUGUGACGUAAAGCCUUUAUGAAUAUCUAAUAUUACACAGUAUUUAAAUUUAUCAACUUUUUUAAUUUAUGCACUAGCUUGAUAUGGGAGAGGAGGAAAAUUACACAGAUGCUUUAUAUUCAGUAUUUCUGGGUACCAACACAUCUAUCUAUUAGUUCAUAAAAAGUUGGGAGAGAAGGCGCAUCUCUGAUGUGAUAGCUAGAAAGAAAAUUGUGCUCCAAGACAGACGACACUAUCAACCCAUACCUUAAUGCCGCAAUACAUUUAAUAAGUUGUAAAACAAUUAACCAAUAAUGAACAUAAAGCUUUGAGCCAGCUCCUUCUACUACUUCCUGCUGUUGCUGCGGCUGCAGCUGCAGGUGCACAAGUACUUAAGUAGUAGCAACAUUGCAGCAUGCUGUACAGCUGCAGCUGCAGCUGCAGCCGCAAUGACGGCAGGAAAUAGCAGAAGUGUGCAUAAGCAAAAAAUGAAAAAGAGAAAGUUUCAUAAACCAACAUAAGCAUACCUCAAGUAAUCAAAAUUCUUCUUUGGAAGCCCAGCAUUUGUAAGAGAAAGUAACACCAAAAGGCGAAGGACAUUUUCAAUAGCUUCCUGCUUAUGUAUCAUCUCCUCAAUGUACUCAAAGCAUCUGGGGAUGAAGUUAGCUUAGCUCAUAUAUACCGGGAAGAACUAAAACAGGACCUCGUAGAAAACAUGUGGCCCAACUUAACAUAAAAUUUAGGCAGCUUUCAUAGAAGUGUGAGAGUAAAAAAUGUCAAGACAAAUGCAAUUCAAAACGCAAGUUCAACUUGGUGAAAGCUCAAGGAGAAAACUUUGCUUUACUCAUUCACCAAGUUUCCUGCACGUCGAUAAAAACAAGCAUACAAAAAGGGAUAUUUUAAGCAAAUGAGUAAACUUAAGGAUAACAAGUGAUGAAUGAACUAUAAGAAAAAGAAACAGAAGAAAAUUACAGGGUGUUUGGUUUGAGGAAUGAACCAUCCAUCAUCUUGUUUGAUUUGUGGAAUAGAAUAAGUUGAUCCAUCACCACCUCAUUCCUCACAAUCUAAUAAUCAGUAUAAGCAUGAGGAAUGAGGUAAUUCCACCAAAUUUGGGGGAUGGGUUCCUCCUUAAACCAAACAACCUCUUAAUGAAAUGCAGCUCCUCGGUGUUCAAAAGCAGAAAAAAAAAGGGCAGUGCAAAGAUAAACUCACAUUUCAAAGUUCUGAACCUCCAAUAUUGUUUGUUCUAUGUCUAGUCGAGCAUGAAAGGAGGGUUUUCCCGUGAAUGAUUGCAAGUGUUGUGCCAAAUGAACAUGCCUCUAAACAACAUGCAAUAAGUUAGUAAAAUAAUAUCAGAGAAAAAUGAAGGCAUGCAAUCAACUCACAGCUAUCUCCGGUAACGAGUGCAACCUCCUCACAAAAUCCUUGAGCUCCGAAACGGACUGAGUCUGUUAAAAACCACAAUAUCAAUUAAUUAAUUCCCUUCCCUUUUGUACAUUGUACUAGCCAAAGGUAAUUUACUGUAGAAAUAAAGAGGCAUAACAUUUAAACACUGGACGCAAGAAACACACUAAAAAGUAGUAAGUUAUUCAUACUAAGAGUUCCAUAAAAGCAUGUCCUGAUUCAAUCCUCUGGUAUGGUUGAAGAAUAGAGGCAGAUUAGACACUUUUGUUUAUCAAUUGUCCUGAUUGAAACAAUUACAAUCCAUUAUAGAGGCUUUCUCCAAAGAACUCAAAUCUUAUCUCUAAAAGAAACUAUAACUUGAUUAACAUACAAAAUACUUGAUUUGUUGGGGAACAAUAAUUCAAUCUUAAUAUAACAUGGGGACUCAUUCUAGUUCCAACAGUAAAUAGUCUAAAAAUAAAUUUAUAUCAGUAAAUCAUCUGAAAGAGGUGGCCCAUAUUUAAAUAAAACACACAUGAACUUGGCAUUUGCAUCCUUCCUCUUGAACAAUGCUAGACAUAGAGGACACACGGAAAACACAACACACUUAAUUCUUACGUUUGUGGAUUUCACUUCCGCAUAAUCUUGCUGAAUAGAUGUUGCUUUUUGACGUAAAACCUGCAGUCAAUACAAUUUAAAUUAUUUAAUAUGGGUAGAAAUGAUGGUAGCUAUAACUAAACAAACUGGAAUUAGAAAUGAUGGCUAUGACAAUAGCAGGUACAACCAAAACCAAGGUUCAGCUAGGCGCUAGGCGCUCUCUAGGCGAUGACCCCUAGCCUAGCGCCUAGGCGGGAUUAAUCGCGCCUAGGCGCUUCUAGGUGUUUUGCUAGGCGUUUAUAUAUAUAUAUAUAUAUAUAUAUAUAUAUAUAUAUAUAUAUAUAUACUGAUAAUACAUAUAUUACCUUCUAAAGAGAAAAAAAACAGCUGAAUAGUGAGUCCAAAUAGAUAGAAAGGCUAGCCUAAAUAGGUAAAAAGGCCCAACAGGCAAGGGCCCAGCCCAUCUUCCAUAGACUACAAACCCUAAACCCUAUCCCCCUCACCUCACGCGCCGCACCCGCUCCCUCACGCCGCACCCGACCCCCGCGCCUCCGCCUGCAUCAGCCGCCGCCUCUGUGCGCCCUCCUCUGUGCGCCUCCUCUGUGCGCCCGCCGCCAGCCGCGCUCGCCCGCCUCUUCCCAGCCACGCCUGCCACCUCCUCCUCCGCCACCGCAUCCUCUUCCUCCUCCUCUGCCGCCCGAUUCCCUGCCUCCUCCGCCGCUGCCGGUGCUCUCUGCUGCGUCUCGUUCUCCGCUGCCGGCUCUCUCUGCUGCGCCUCGUCCCCAGAUCACUGGAUCUGCACGUGGGGACACCGCGGCGCCGCAGUACCCCCUCCACCUCCCCCACCGCCGCCGCCGACGAGCCACCGCCGCCUAGGGGUCCGCCUACCCCCAUAGGCGAGGCGAGCACCCUCCGACUACCGCCUAGUCGCGCUGAAUCGCGCCUAGGCGAGCGCCUAGCGGAACUAUGACCAAAACCACAAAAGUUAGCACAAAGUUCCUUCACAUGAAUAAACGAAAGUUGUAGUCAGUGGAGUGAACCUGAACUACAACUUCAAAAUUGAGGUCUCGGAUCUCCUUGUACAACUUAUCGCUGAAAAAAAAACACCAAUAUAAAUGCAUAGCUCCAAAUACAGCAAAAUAUCCUGUUGAAAUGAAAGCCUAUGUACAAUAAGACAAUUGCAAACAUAUAUUUGCACUAUCUACAGUCACAAAUAAGUACCAGCCUCUAUGCAAUAAAUUUGUACAAAAGUAGUUUUCAUCAAAAGCCAAUCUAGGUACUCAUGAAGGUAAGUUGAUCAGACAUCAGAAGUUUGAUUGCAGACAUUUUGCACCAUCACUUUUGAUAGGAAGGAGUAACAGAUAUUAACUUCAAAAACUAAGAAAUCCAUUAAUAACAAUUAUCUCAACUUUCUAGAUCCAAAAGUUUCAAAACUGUGCAAAACAAACCAUAAGUAUCUUGAUAAUGACAACGAUGCCAAUAGAGUAGCUAAGAAUAAAAAACUAAAUAAAAAAAGUACGCUACAAAGUAUUCGUUGGCACAAAGAAAAUUUACAAUUUAGUAACAUGUACUCUCUCAGUAACAGAUACUAGAAUAUACCCCGCGCAUUGCUGCGGGGAUUGCGGAGAAUUUGAAGUAAAAUUAAAUGGAGAGGAUGUGGAUACCUUUCAAUUGAGAGGUUGAAAGUUAGUGGGAUGACAUGUCUAUUAGCGGGAGAUGAUGUGGAUAGUUAGUGGGGAUGAUGUGGAUGGCUUGCAUGAUGAGAUAGACAUAUAGUGGUGAUUAGCUUUAUCUAGAUAUAGAUCAGUCAUUUAGGACAACUAAAAAGGUUUGACUUAUGGCAGAUCUAAAACGAUUCAUAUUUGUGACCAGGAGUAUUUCAAAAUUUAAAGAGCAGAUUAAUAGUCACUAACUGAGGCAGGGAAAUUUACCUUGAAUUCAGUGGAACCUUAACCUUCAUAUUUGUGACCAGGAGUAUUUCAAAAUUUAAAGAGCAGAUUAAUAGUCACUAACUGAGGCAGGGAAAUUUACCUUGAAUUCAGUGGAACCUUAACCUUUUUCCCAUCUUGUUGAGCUCCAAUAAUGCUUGCAUCAACUUCCACUGAACCGUUAUUAAUUUGUAGCAUCUGUAGAAUAUUACAUGAUCCUAGAUAUUUAAAUUCAAACAAUUUGAGAUUCUAUAUCACUGUAGCAAUGCAGCAGGUUUAGGGUUUACAAAAUGGAUGGAUAGAUCAUCUGCAUGCAUCGAUUGCAUUUAUUUAGGCCAAAAAGAAUGUUUCAGGACCUAUCAUGCAGUGAUAUCGGGCAUGUUUGGAUUGAGGCACUAGGAGCACUGCCUGGGCCAGGCAGCACUGCUCAGGAGUCAGGAGCCAACCAAAGAGCCCCUAGCCAAUGCCACCAUAUUUUUAGAGUUACUUUCAGAGUCAUAAACACAAAGCAAAUUAGCCAUUAUAUAAUGGCUAGAUGCUUUCAUAGAUAGUUCUGGAGUGCCAAAUAGGCCACCUCCAAUAUGCAUCUGAGCACAACAAUUGCAGAUCAUGAAAUCGUUCAUUUGACCACAUAAAAAUCGUGUGUUAAAAAAAGGAUGUUUCAGACAUAUUUUCUUUCUCGAACAUACAGGAGCACUGCAUAUAUUUGUAUUAAUAUAAAGAAAGGGAAUUAUACAAUGUUGCUUGUUGGUUCCAUCUUUAGAUAAAGUGAUAUUAGAACGUCAUACAGAUGCAAGUUCAUAGUUCUAUGAUGACUUUACCAUGGUUAACAAGAAAACAGAAACAAAUCACAUGCUCAUGAAUUUAAGCCAGGAUGGAAAGUUUCUAUAGCCUACCUCAUCCAACAAGCCUUCAUACGUCAACUGAGAGCACAUUGGUGUCACCAUGUCCACCUGAAUGGAAAUAAAAUUAGAACAGAUAAGAAAAACUACAAUACAUCAAAACAGUAUCACACCUGAUAUCACUGUAAAAUGUAUCAGUUAAUGACUUCAAGAGAAAUACAUGGUCAAAACAGAUGACAAGAAACACUAAAUGAUUGUUUUCGGAAAUGAAAAUCACAGUGCAAAUAGAAUAUAAUAGAAUGCGUACCUCUCUGUCUAGCAGAAUAACAGUGUUUAUCUCCGGAAUCCCCAUCUAAGACAUCACAAAGAAAAAAAAGAUGGAACUAGUCAGGUUCAAAUAAAUUUAGAAACUUGGGUCACAGAAGCAAAACAUCAGUUGGUCUUACAUCAUCCAUGUUGACUGGAUCCUCUAGUUGCAUAUUAUUCAACAACUCUGCAGCUUUGGUUGACGCCACACCCUUAGCCCUAACAUUCGGGAUAACUCCAAAUGCAAACUGGCAAAAGAUGCAGCAAUAAGCACAAAUGAAUAGUUUCAAGAAUCUUAUAAGUCAGUACAACAAAGUACAACAGGGUGUUAUGUCUUCUACUUAAUUAAUAGUGAACUUGAGAUUUUCAAUAUUUCUAAAAUUGUACAUACUCUGUACUCAUGUCCAUUUAAUACCUCAGGCACAAAUGCAUGCAUUAGGGCCUUUUUGGUUGGUGGCCUGGGCCAGCCAACACCAUCCAGCCCAGACCACCAAAAAUGCAAGCCUGGAAUUGCUGCCUGGUAGGCAGCUUUCCUAGGGUCCAAUCCAAACAGGCCACUAGUACAAGGAAGACAUAGAUACCUCUAAUUUAUGGAUCGCUUUAGCAACAUGCCAGAUAGAACUUGUAUCUCCUUCAAUAAGGCAUUCCUAUAAAAUCACAAGGGCUAAAAUGAGAUUCAGAAUAUCAGAAAGACAAAUGCUAGAUAUAUGCAAUAGUACCUGCAAAGAAUGGUCAAGUUCAAGAGACAGGACAUCGUCAUCCAAUGGAACUAGAUAUAAGGGAUAUUCUCCGAAUGUCAGUCUCUGAUGAACUUUCUCUUCCUCCAGGAUCUGCAGAUGCCAAGUAAAACAGUUCUUAGAAGUCAUUUUCCAAUCAGAGACAUGUUCUAUUUCCAUUCAUCUUCAUGGCAGCAGAAAAAGAAAGACACAGAUCAUCUUCAAGGUAUGUUAUUUAUUCUUAAAACAUUAACAUACAUAUAUGCAAAAUAAUAAUGUAAAGUCAUGGUCAAAGUAAAUAAUAUUUCAGGCCUGAUACGCAUCAUGUAUGAGAAUUGUAUAUAUAGUACAAACAGGACACAGCCAAUGCUUAGCAUGACAAAUACAAUACACAAGGUGCUGUCAUUAAACUCAUGUCUAAGCAUAGCCUAAGGGCAAAGGCAUAAACUAAUGAGCUAGCUCCAGCCUGCCAAGUGUAAUUGAUUGAAUGCAUGAACAUACAAGAAUCAGAAGGUUCAAGGAUACAUGUCCAUCUAACUGGGAAACGGUUAUUACUUUGAGUUUCAUUGUUAUUAAUAAAUUUGAAUUUAAAUUUAUAACAAAUCAAUAGAUCUGAGCAUUGCAAACUAUUCUACAGCACCCAUACACAAUAUAGAACCCACUAGUGGAUUAGUUCAAACAUGAAAAGAACUAGGAGGAUUCCCCGCGCGUUGCCGCUGGUAUGAAGAAGUAAUAUAAAUAUGUUAGAAUAUUAAUCACUAAGAAUAUAUAUGUAUAGUGUUGGUAAUGCAGCAAUAUAUGUUAAUAAAUGAUGUGGUUUGCUAAUGUGAAUAGCUUGAAUGAAGAUAUAAUGGCAUGUGUUAGUUGGAUGUAUUAGUCAAUGCUGAUGUGGACACUUUGCAUGGCGAGAUAGUUGAAUGUACUAGUGGAAUGUUCUAGUGGAUGCUGAUGUGGACACUUUGCAUGGCAAGAGAAAUAGCUAGUGGGGUUUAUCUUUAUAAGAGAUAUAGAUAUAGAUAACAGAUACCUUCUCACAAGCAACGGUGCGGCGAGGUACAAAGUAAAGGAAGUAUUCCCUCUGGAGCCCUUUAGGUUCAUCGUUCUUGAUUUGACUUGCAAUGAACUUCAUGAAGCUUAGCUGAGAGCGCACAAGAUAUAUGAUCUUUGGGCAUUCCGUCUGCAAGGGGUCGGGCGAGAGAAUCCGCAAUUCCGCACCAUACUCCUGAUAAGCAGAAUAAAGGGCGUAAUGAGCUAAGAAACUCCAGAUGAACUGGGGAAUACGCUAUGGCAUAGCCUAGACCUUGACAUAUGAUAUAUAUAAAAUAUAAAAUGUACUAGCAAAGAAUAUUACUGCAACACAGAGUUAUUAAAGAUAACCAGACAAGACUAGCAUACACAUAAGUGUCAUCACACCUUUAGCAGCGAUGUCUGCACAAUCAGUGACAGAGUCCCAGCGAGCUUGGGAUCAAUGACCAAGCACUUCUUCCCCCUUAUCUGGUACGCAUCACAAAGGAAAUCAAACUUCUCAGUUCAGUAUCAACAACAAGACCACCGGUGAUCAUGUUAUAACAAGCAGCUUGAGACAGGAAACACACAUUUUUUAGGAUGCCAAGCAGGUCCUUCUGCGACUGCUCCCUACAAACAGAUCGAAUAAGCCUGUCACAAUCCAAAUGCUUAACAGAUAUAGGAGGAGGCGAGCGAAUCAGACGGUUCACGAUGGUGGGGGCACCUGAGAGCCGCAAGGUUGAGCGGCGCGUUGUCGAGAUUGGGGAUCUGCGCCAUCUGCCCAGCUUUGAAUUGAAAUGAAUCUAUCCAAGUCCCGGUAGAUCCCCAGCCUAAACAGAGGUGGGCAACGGGGGGCAGGAAAGAACGAUUAAUCAAGCAGUACAGGAAUUUUCAGUAUACACUACAUCCAAGAUCACAGAAUUAAGCAAUUUGAGCACGCACGAAUCAAUUGGCGAUAAAUGAUGACUGGAUGAGGCAGAAAUCGUACAAUACCUCAGGCUGAUCGAGCGGGUUUGCGGCGGAGGCACGUCACGGGACGGACCAGAGGGUGUCUACGGAGCAAUGACGCAGUCCACCGCCCAAGGGAGGGAGAUCGGGCGGCGGCGGCGCUCCGCGGCACCCGUCGUCUCCUCCUGCCGCCCAGCGGGAUCACCGGCGUUGGGGCGCUGCGAGUUCGAUAGACCGAAGGUCGCCGGCGGCGGCCGGUAUCGCUGAGACGAGAUGGGCUGGGCUGGGCAGCACGCAGACGCAGCCGAAGGAGGUAAAAAAAUGAAAAUCGAUAUUUGUUUUGUUUUUAUGUUUUUUAAUUCGUUUUUCAAAAAAAACACCGGAGUUUAAAGAAAUAGAGGUAUAGAUAAUUAGCGGGUGUUUAGUUCCGUUUCAUCCAAAAAAAUUCUGGAUUUUAGACCAUCAUUUUGCAUAAUAAUAAAACUAAACAUGAUGCAAAAAUUUAGCAAAAAGGUGGUCAUUCUUUAUUUUAGACUAGUAAAUAUGCACGUGCGUUGCAACGGGAUAUAUAAGUUUUAGUAUUGGAGAGAACAAAUGACCAUAAAAUUUUUUCAUUAUUUAAUAAAUAGUAUAGUAGGCUACCAUAGUUAAAAUUUAUGGCACUAAAUCCACAAUACUAAUAUAAGUUGUUCGGGCGCCCUUCCUAAAAAUUAUGAUGUUUCUAGUUUCAAAUUUUAUUACCUUGAAUGAAGGUAAUCAGUUUUCUAUUUUUUUUUAGUAGCAUCUCUAUUUGCUUUCAUACCAAAAUUGUGAUCUUGUGGGUCUCCACAUCAAUUUUUUUCUUUGGGAAAAACUGCCAGCUCAAGCGAUUCUCGCUGCACGUGGCACAUGCGACCUGAUGCUGCUUGGUCUGGCAUGGGAUAGCUCGCUUGAGCUCGCUGUGCGCAAGCUGCGUGAAGCGGUUUGAAGCUCAGGUGGAUUCGAUUUUUGGAACGUGGUGCUUCUUCAAUUCAGGGCUCCAAGCCUCGUCUCCGGUUAAAUAGCAGAAGUAUGCUCGUUGUCUCUGUCUCGUCUCGCCACUAUCCUGUUCCGCACCUAAAGUGAUGGCACCCUCGUCCUCUGUCCGUCCGUGUGCUGAGAAUCUCGGAACCCGUGGUCAUGUGAUGUGGGGACGAAGAACCCAGCCAAUAGCUUGGUCAACUUGGGCAACCACGCACAGCGCAAAAUCGUCCGUGUCAGCCCGGCUCAGCCCAACUACAGCCCACUAUCCCACCAGUAUAUAAUGCUUCAUCCAAAAUAACCCUAGGUCUAAUAUUUACUCACCAGCCGCCGCCACACCUGUGCACGCACCUGCUCCUCUUCUCCUCCACCCAUGGGCGUCCUCUCCAUCCCUGCUCUAGUGAGGUUGUGUGGAGAUUGCCCCAAAACUUUGCUGGCUUGGAUCUCUAUGUCUCUCCACCCUUGCCUUGCUCUCUGACUUGUAGCUCCACUCAUGGAUGAUUGGGGCUUAUCGAGCUAUUGGGCAACACGCCCAUCACCGUGCUCUUGUGCCACGCCGGCGGAUCCCCACGUCGACAGCCAGCGGCGUCCUCGAAUUCUCCCUAGCGCCACCUAGAAGAUCUCCCACGCCAUCAUCCUCAUCAAGGGCGUCGACAGCUUGCUACUAUUUGUUUCGAUUUUUUGCGCUGUUAGAUUUUAUUUCUACUUGAUUCGAGGGCUGAUUCCAGGAGUGCUAAGCAGAGAGGAUUUGUUAUUAUAUAGAAAACAUAUGUAGAUCCAAAUGAAAAUCUUGGGCUUCUUUUUCGAUUUGUAAUUCUUUUUGUUAUUUGACUUGUUGGAUUCUCCUUCCUUUACUUGUUUGCCCUAUUACUUUGUACAUGUAUAGGUUCUACAUGAACUUUGUUUUCAAGCUCUACUGAAAACGUAUAAGAUUAGGUAAAAGGAGGCUUGGCCGUGAGUCGAAGCCGGUACAGGCAAGAUGCCAGACGAAGGCGGACAGGGCGAGCGGACAGAAAAAAGGGCAGAAAAAAAAGGCAGACUGAAAUUUUGGCUCUUUAUAGAUAGGUAUAGAUUUUAGCCAAAGAGACAAAAAAAAACUCCAAAAGCGUCCACCCCCACUAGCGCCAAGAAAAAAUUGACAUUUUGGAUGAAAUUAAACACAUAUAUGAUAAGUUUGCUAUUUUAUAUUUCAUCAUUUUAAAAUACUUGGCAUUUUGUAUUUUGCAUUCCAUGAUAAACUAAACACACCCUUAGAUAUAGAUAAGUAGCAACCUUAAUUUAUUUCCUUUCUCUCCAAUAGUUUCCUAGCUAUGACAUAGGAGGGGUCUUUUUUGUUUUUUUAGUCUAUCUGUAUUAGUAUUCAAAUAAAAAUGUGGUAUUUAUAUUGAUUUGAUUCCAUGUGAAUUUGAUCUGUUUCCAUCCUUGCCAUGUUCGUAGACAAAAGCCAAAAACAAAACAGCGCACAAAAAGAUUUUGUAGAGACACCUAAUUCUCACUACCAACAAAUGUCUAGCACAAGGCGGCGCGACAACAAAGCCUACCUCGUUUCCUAUACAAGUUUGGGUAGUAAAACUAAGUCAGGCUAGUCUAAGUCUGUCCUUAAUAAACCAAAACUUGUUUGUUUGAUUGUGUACGUUGUUGGGCCUGACUAGGAUGAGUUCGUGUGUUGGUUGGUUGGCUUGGUUUGCAUAUAGUCACCUCUUUUUUCGACUUGGUGAGUUCAGCCCCUUUGAGUCAUUUUCUCAGACACGACUGGCACACCCUCUCCAUCUUCUCAUCGCCGCCCAAGAAAAGAACCUGACGAGUUCCCCCAAUCCACCAGAACCUCCCUACAUCCGCAAUGGGGCCCAGUGCCCACCUUGCUGCUUGCCACCGUCCCAUCGAAUCCACAACACUAUUGUUGAUGUGCUGGGGCCAUCGAGUUGCCGAGAUUCUAGCGUGAGGCAAGGUUAUUGACCGUCCCUUGCGCGCAUAGGAGGGAUCGGAGGAGCGUUCACCAAGGCUUCUUUGAGUGCAUCCUCAAGUUGAUGUGGUUGCAGUUCACGCCGCCUUCGCCUGCGCCGACGCUGGUGGCUGUGCUGCUUAGCGUCGAGCUCGUGUUGCUCCUUGUUGAUGCGUCCCUAUCGGAUGCGAAUGGGAUCUCCAGUGAGACAGGGAGGACCGCUGACUGGCGAGGGGCGAGGAAGGCGUGGUGCGAGCAGAGUGAGCAAGGCAGCACGACAAGCACCAUUGCAGGUAGGGCGCAUCAUCUAGGGUCCACCAAUCUCGGCACUGAUGAAGGAGGAGGGGGUCAUCACCACGGUGGUGAAAAAAGAGAGGAUUUCUAUCGUAGUGGUUGUCGCUGCCGAGUCGGAUGCAAGGAGGAAAGGGCUACUGCAGUCACGACAUCAACCUGGAGAAGGACGAACACAGGAAGAGCGUGUGGUGAGGUGCGGGGAGGUGACGAGAAUGACUCGACUGAGCUGGCUUAGGCCUGGUCAGGAUUGAAUCGCCGAUUCGACGAUCCCACUUGGUUCAGGCUAUAGGGGUACGACUAGCUACAUGUAGCCAUGCUCCAGGAACUUACCAAUGAACCAAACAACUAGAAACUGGCAUAAGGAAGCCAGGAGCAAGGUUGGGCUGACAACCAAACACACCCAUAAAAAAUACCCCGCACAUAUAUACCAACAAAUGUCCAGCACCAGCCGCCGCUACCAACAAAUGCUCAACAGAAGAUGACGCAGUGGAGCGUGCCCUAUACUAGCAUAUUACAAGAGGGGACAAAUAAUAAAAUGGUGUACUAUAUGAUGGCUGGUCUUGCAGGAUCUAUAAAUAUCUCUCCCAUAUGCUUGAAAAUCAACAGAAGUGUGUCCACUGUCCAGUGUGCUAGUAUAUCAAUAAAGUGGUAUACUAUAUGAUGGCCGGUCUUGUAGAGCUGCCUAUAAAUAUCUCUCACUUCUGCUUGACAACUAACAACGAAACAAAGCGACGACGGCUCUAAACAGUAAACACUGAGCACGCAGUGUGCACUACCACACGAGAGGGGAGCAAUAAGCGAGGUUUAUUUGUGAGAGAAGCAAAAAUGUCUUUCCUACUGUUUGUGUUGCUAAGAUGCGUCCCUCCGGUCCUACAAUUUUGAGGACCCUCUGGCGAUUACAUCACGACGACUCCUAAACUAUAAAAUUUUAUAAUAAUAUAAGCUAAUUUUUUCAUAAAGGGAAAGCAAAUCCAAUCAUAUAUAGACAAAUUGCUCUUAUUGUUUUUUCAUUUUCUUUUCAUGGUCCCUGACAAAUGUUUCUUAGGUAACAUUCUAAAAUUCUAACACCUGACCUAAAUUAUAAGAAAAAUAUAACUAUAUGAGUAUAAAGUACUAGACAAAAAUUGAACAAGAAAAAAAACCAGUGCCUAGACAAUUGGGACAUGAACAGAACCAAGAUUCACAAAUCACAAAAAAUAAAAGGCUAGAAGGAAAUAACCAACAUCUCAUGUCGUAGUCCUCGUCGAGCCCUACCAACUGGUCGCCGCUAUCAUUUGGAUUUUGGAAGGCAAGAACUCGAGCGCAGAGGUUUUGGUAUUAUCCAUUGCAGCUCGUGAUCGCGUGGUGAACUGGUGAAUGUGUCGCUGAUGUCGCUGCGUCUCUCUUCGCGGUCUCACCAUCUCACAAAAAUUCUAGAAAUCGCGACUCAUGAUCGCGAUGUGUGACAACUCGUGUAUAGGCGUUGGUGGCUUGACUCCUUUUGGCUCACGAUUUUUUUGGUAAUAAGACAUUGCAUCAUAUAUAUACAUAUGCUAAUAAACAAAAAUUAUAGCUAAAAGAUAUGUUGUAUUAUAUACUUAGGUUUGGGCCCCAUCCCGCGAGGGCCCUCGGCCGUCGCACCUCUUGCCCUCCCCUUAGGGCCGGCACUCCCUCUUCGCUUAAAGCAUGACAACAGCUACCUACGCUUCGUACAUGAUGAGAUCCACGACGACCUUGAUCGAGCUCGGCAGCUCCGACGACAGCGUGAUGAGCCCAUGCUGCAAGUUCUACCUGGAAUCGUGUAAGGAGCAUGAGGGGCUUAUGCAUGCAUGUUAGGUGUUGCUUCAACAACAAGUACUGGGUGCCCCAGCAAGUGCGUGCUUCAUGGCGGCAGCGCUUGCUGAGUCAUUCGCACCACGAUGAGCUGGAGGAAGAGCUGUCCAAGCCGUCGUGCACCCUACACAAGCUCAUCCCCAUCGCCAACGAGCAAAGUAGAAGACGGCUCCACCUGUAGCUUUACAUACUAUGUCUCGUAUAUACAUUACUCCUGCGCUAAUUAGUUUCUUAUUUUGUUUUGAAAACAAGUUAAACAUGGCACAUGGCACGUCGGUACGCUUUCUGAGUCAUGCUGACCCAAGCCGGUUCUCAAAUUAUCUUUGCUAGCUAGUUUUCUUUUGUUCGUUUGUGAUAUAAAAAUUAUAUUUUGUAUCAACUAUAUUUUUAUGAAGGUUUUAAUGAUUUUUAUAGUCCAUUCAAGAAUUGGAUGAGAGGUAGUAUAGUAAAUAUUAGAAAAAUUCUAUAAUAGCAUUAUAGAUAUGCUUAUUAGGUGCCAUUUUCGUGUUGUAAUUGUUCAAAAUGCGGACCGGGCUAGAUGCUCCUGUGUCUGAGGAUCAAGUUAUUUCUUUCUGUCUUUUAGAAAGUACAACCGAACCUAACGAUGCUCCCAUUCAAUUCAAUGACUUGAAAAUACUUGAGUUUGUUUGCCGAAACAUAUAUAGAAAUUCAGUUCAGGCCUUGUUUAGUUCACCCCAAAAAUUAAAAUUUUUUCAAGAUUUUUCAUCACAUCGAAUCUAAGGGCAUAUGCAUGAAGCAUUAGAUAUAGACAAAAACAAAAACUAAUUGCACAGUUUGCCUAUAAAUUACGAGAUGAAUCUUUUAAGCUUAAUUUGUCCAUGAUUGAAUAAUAUUUAUCAAAUAAAAACGAAAAUACUACCGUACCAAAAUCUGAAAUCUUUUCAGAACUAAACAAGGUCUCAAUAAGGUUUCCAUCAAAGGAAUCUCUGAAUUCUGAAAUUGCUUUCAAUUAAAUAUAUAUUAAAUUGCACACCUGUCGAUCGGUCCUAGAUUCAUAGCAAAUGGGUGUGCUGGUCCGCUGACCUAGAUUCAUUAGUAGGCUAGAGUGCUAGACUCCAAACCAAGAAAACUCCCCGUUCCCAACGGCAUUGUUUGUCGUGAAUUGUUAGGCCUUGACUUCAAAUGAGGCCAUGUUUAGUUUUUAAAAAAAUACAAAUUUUUCAAAUUUUUCCGUCAUAUCGAAUCUUACGGCACAUACAUAGAGUAUUAAAUAUAGAUAAAAAAUAACCAAUUACACAGUUUAUCUAUAAUUUGCGAGACAAUUUUUUUAGUCUAGUUAAUCCAUAAUUAGACAAUAUUUGUCAAAUACAAACGAAAAUAUUACAGUGUCCAUUUUACCAAAAAAUUUGAAACUAAACAAGGCCUGAAAAGAGAAAAAACACGUCAAUCUUCAUGAACUUUCCGUUAAUAUUUUUUGUACAAAUGUUUUCUUUGUUUGAUAAGAAGUUGGGUUUCAGAUAACCACUAGAAUAAUAAUCAUUUGACACGUGCACCCUUCAUCCCAAAAGGAAAGAUUAUUAUGCUUUUACACAUAGUGCAUAUGGAGAUACAUAACAAAAUUCAUGUAUAUAGGUAAGUCAUGACGACUUAUUUGAAAAGGAGAAAGAAUGUCAUUCAAUUUAUCAUGCAAUAUAUAGUUUCAUAUAUAUCUCUCUUUUAUAUCAUAAAUGUUGAUAUUUUUCUCCUUUAACUUGGUUACAUUUAGGCCUUGUUUAGUUCUAAUUUUCUUUUAUAAAAUGUAUUAACACGGUAGUACUUUCGUUUGUAUUUAACAAAUAUUGUUUAAUUAUGGACCAACUAGGCUCAAAAGAUUCUUCUCACAAACUACAGGUAAACUGUGCAAUUAGUUAUUAUUUUUAUCUAUAUUUAAUGAUAUAUGUAUGCGCCGCAAGAUUCGAUGUGACGGAAAAUGUGAAAUACUGUAGCACUCUUGUUUGUAUUUGACAAUUAUUGUCGAAUCAAGACCUCCCCCUGGUGCGACAUUCUCCCCUUCGUUCCGUCGGUCCGCUUCUACCUGCGAUCCACGCUUCGUCGCAAGUACGAUAGGAAGGCGCCGGCAAGUGGGACCAAUUCACCGUCUCGCUCCCUCACUCCGCCCUCCUCCUCGUGCGAUGCCCACCAGAUCGCGACACCAUGGCCUCCCGCGAUGGCUCCUCCUCCUCGUGUGACACCCUCGCCAGAUCGCGACUCCACGACUCGCGACAUUGCCGCCUCAGCCUUGUGCGACGCCCUCGCGACUUGCGAGACCUUGCGACACCGCGACAUCGCCUCCUCGCGACCUCGGCUCCAUCCUCCUCAAUCCCGAUCCGUCACCACCGAGCCGACGCCACCGGAUGCUGCCGCCUCCAUGAUCACCGUCGCUGCGCCCACACAACGCAGCAGGAUCGCCAGGUGUGCCAAUCCCUUCUCAUCCCUUCCUGUUGUGUGAACGUGCGAAAAUCGGGCACCAAACCCUAAUCCUUCGAUGCCGCUGGACAAGACUGCCUCUAGGAUUGCUCGUCGGCGCGUUCCUGUUGUGCACAAGUGCGAAACCGAGCACCAAACCCUAACUUAUUGGAUUUGUGCCAGCAGAUCUGUGUGCUUUUGCACUGAAUGUUUCUUAGCACUUUUGCUCUUCAUCCGUUGUGCAAAUGAGAUCUGGCUAUGAAAAACAAUAAUUUUGAUGUACAGUUUGAUUAGGGAUUAGCCGAAAUUGCAUAUUGUUUUUCAUGAUCCAGUGCGUAAUUGUCGAUUUUUUCCUAUACGUUUGUUAGAUCUAAAUGCUCUAAAAUUGUUUAAAUGCACUUUCACUUUGGAUAUGUAAGCCUUAAUGUACAUAUACAGAGUAUAGCAUGUUUAGUUUUAAUUUGAUGUGCUUACAUCUAUUCAUAAUUUUAUUAGAUCUGCAGGAAAAAUAAUAGCAUACUUAUUGCUUUUGUCUGCUUAAAUCUGUUAGAACUGGGAUACAAACUGACAUAUUGUUAUAGAAUUAGGUUGGGCGUGGUAGUAAUAGCAUAGCAGUAGCAAUUUGAUUUGAAGGUGUCAAAUUUGACCGAACAAUUUGCUAGCGCGAUGAAAUUUAAUGUUUGUGACACAAACCACUUGGCGUAAGCUGUUGCCUGUUUGAUAAUUGCAAAUUGGAAUUUGACCUUACCCAUGUAGCAUCUCUAUUUAGUAUAUUGCUUAGCACAAGACUGUCAACUCUCUUCUGCAUCUCUGUAUAUUUAUUUAAUAUCAUUUAAUUCAAAUUUACUGCAGUGCUUUCAUCAUUGUUGCUUAUCUCAUGACAUCUGAACGGAUUGAAUAAUUGAUAGUACUUAGUUAAGUAUAAAAGUCCACCUCAUGUACAUAAUCAGGGUGAGGGUGGUGGUUAAGAAAGUCAUAUAGUUCAGCAAGAGGAUUCAUAAAGAAAAGGUGGUUACUCAUGUAAAGAAUCUCAUUGCUUAUCUUUUUUCAGAGGAGGCUCUGUAAAAUUAUGCUUGCUGAUAGAUUCCUUUCUGAAUUUGAUAUCUUAUAUCUAAUACAAUAUAAGGUGGACGUAGGAAUAAGCCGAACCACACAGUCUUUGAAGAGAACAUUACUUACGCCUCCAAAGUGUAAGGUCCUUUAUACUUUGACACCUAUUUUCUAAAACAUGCUAUAGAUAAGCUGACAGCAUCAAGAGCUGCUAAAGUGUUCUAGGUUCAGGUGAACUAUUAUGAUUUUUAUAGGAAGUAUGCUCUAAGGAAUAAAAUGUGCGUUGCUAGCUAAAUUUUAUUUUAUAUGAUAGGUAAUCAAGCCUUUACUGUAUGGAUCAUCAUUCAAAUUGGUCAUGUGGUCAAAUUAUUUUUAUGCUCACAGGUUAUAGCUAUUUUGCUUGUUCUUGAAUCAGGGAUAGAAAGUGUUUUGAAUAGCAAGAGUUCUGAAUUUUGAUGUGUGCAAACUGACAAGUUUUUGGUUAUAUUCAGUUAAUGUAUUCUUCAAUUUAUUCUGUGCAGACCACUCAAAAGAAAUACAUAUCUCUGUCUAGCUUGUGCAGGUGUGUACUAUUUUUUGUGCACUCAAGUUUUUGUGCUUUCAUUAAAAAUAGUUUUUGUUUAAUCUCUAUGGUUUAUAUACACCUUUUCUUCUUUACAUAGACUUUGAUGUAGGCCUAAAUCUGUAAUCAAGAAUUAUGUAACAAUUCUCAUGCAUUGCUGCGAUUUAAAGAAUAUAUUAGAAAGAUGUGCUCUAUUCCCAUGUUUUAGUAAUCAUGAGUAACUCCACAUAAAAAAGGUCUUGGUUGGCAUUUGAAUUAAUGAAUCUGCUAGACUUAACAUUACUCCCCCCCAGUUGGAGCUGGCUAAUAGUAUUACCUAUUUUUGUAGAGGUUACCUACUUUGUUUAGUAGAUGAUAUCAGUAGUUACAAUGUUUCACAACUGGAGCUGGAUUUAGAGUAGUCUGGAGUUGUGUUUCCUAAUUUCCAUUGUGGUCUCAUUUGGCGGUGUGUGCUUCCUUUGGUUAAGCAAGAUUUUUUGUUAAUUCAGAUUUUUUAAGGCCCACAUGUCUUGGAACAGGUGACAAAUCGGUCAUCAUGUGGUUACAGCCUUCUGCAAUAUAGGUUGUGUGCGGUGACUCUUUCUGAUUAGGCCAAAUUUGUGGACUACAUGGAUAGCAAUGUCAGAUUAUUGCGGUCAGAUCCUAAUCAUUUUUCACAAAAGCAUCACCGUGUUGUUAGAGAAACACUACAAAUAAGAAGGAAAUGGAAAUAGAGGAGUGGCAUCUCAGUGAAUAACUUUAACAAAUGAAGUUAAUGUCUCAUUGGAAGAACUAUUUCUUGAUGUAGGCAACAGAUGAAGUUAAUGUGGCCUAUGCCUGCUUCCUGGACCGUACCGUGGGCAGCCUUGAAUCAUGGUCUUACUGAAUAUGUAUGUAUAUUGUUAGUGAAUAGCUUCUCUAAUUGAAUCAUUGUUUUCCUGAGUUUGUAAAAAUAUGUAUCUGUGCUGUUAGUGCCAUCUCAUAAUUUCUCUCCUUCCAAGAGUCUGGCUAAGUGAUCCAUCUGUCUCUGAAAUUGCUAUGUUGGCUACCAACUGAAUACUGUAUGUACAGAUAUUGUUCCUUGCAAUCUUUGGAAGAGGAUGAAAUUCUGACUAUAUAUGCACCCAUAGGUCUGUCCAUAGAAGGUUGUGCAGUACACUCUUAAUGUUUCCUCAUGUGUAAUGACCAUAUCUUUUUUUGUGGAAUUUUUUGAGCUAGAAUAACACAAGAAAAGGUACUCUGUCAAGUAGUUAGCAUCCAAGAUGCACAGAGCAUGAGGAUAUCAUGUGGGAUGUAUUUCAGAGUUCAGGUGACCUUAGAACCAACCUUGAUUUCUCAAACAUAUAAAUUAUUGAAUAAUAAUGUUUUAAGAGCUUGCUAGACCUUGAUUUAGUCAUUUUUCAGUGUGGUACUUUAGCUUUUCACUUGCUGUAAUUGAUCCUUUCAAGAGUUGUACAUUUAUUGUUAGGUGAGCAAAACAUACUUUGACAAGGAUUCCUUUUUUUUCCUUUGAAAAAGGUCAGGAUCUGAAAGAAAUUCAGACCUUUGUAGUUUUGGUUCAAGAAUUUCCAUCUUCAAUAUAGCUGAAUAAUAUUAUAUUGUCGUGUUUGAUAUUUUCACACUACAACUAUUGUUACAUGAAAAAAACACAGGCUAAACUCGUUGAUAAGUAAGGUCUGAGAAGAGGUUUACGCUAUUUCUGUCUAGCUAUCAAUGUAGGGAUUAGCACUACCCGCUAAAAUCACUCUAUUCUUAAAUACGAGUAGUAGCUUGUUAGUUUGAGUCUCUAUUUGCAGAUGAUAUUAUUACUACAUUAGUGGCAUAUGUAUUUGUUUCUAAUCAGUUCUGCAGUACGCGACCUCCAUCACCACCAUGCAUGGUCGUCCUGGCGUUGUGAAUGCAAGUAGGAAACCUAGGGAUCUUCUUCAGGCACGGCUAUGUGCAACGCAUGUCCUUCGGCGAGACAGAGCUUGUUGUGGGGUUUUAGGGUCUCUAUAGGCUUGUGAUGGCUGGAAUGGAGCUUGUCGUGGUGGUGCUCCGGCCAUGGCGAGCCUUUGGGGCGAUUCACUAGCAUAAGUGUUCCGGAGCGUUGUGGGCUCGGCAAGGCCAUGCUUGUGCUUGUGCGAGUGUGUGUAUGUACUGUGACAUAAAAAUAUGGGGCCUUAGGUCUCUUAUGUGGAGAGACCAUGAUGGUGGCCAUGGUAUACCGGUGAGCGAGGUAGGCGUGGGGGCGGCUCACUCAUGGUAUACCGGUGAGCGAGGCAGGCGUGGGGGUGGCUCACCGCGGGCGAUGGCUAGAAUGGCGGUGCAGUGGCGAGUUGGUGUAAUGCAGGUGUAGGCUAUGCAGCAGCGCCAGUGUGAUCGUUGUCUCUGUUCCCAGUGAUGUCAAGCGGCUCUAUAUUAUCUUAUCAUGCGAUCUAUAUGUUUUUAAUAUAAAAGUUUUGCUAUCCCGUAGCAACGCACGGGCAUGCUACCUAGUAAACUCAAAAGAUUCGUCUCGUAAAUUACAAGUAAACUAUGCAAUUAUUUAUUUUUUUUAUCUAUAUCUAAUGCUUUAUGCAUGUGUCAUAAAAUUUAAUGUGAUAAGAAAUUUUGAAAAGUUUUUGGAUUUUGAAUAGAACUAAACGAGGCCUAAGGAAAUAAUUGUGUCCUUGUGGGUCAUCUCAUCAGUGACCGGCCGGCGGGUCACCUCCAUCCUUUUGCCGCACCAAACACUGCCGACCUUGCCCCAGCUCUUGUGAACAAGAACAACACGCUGUCAACGUGGGCCCCCUCUAUGAUGACUAGUACUAUUCAACCCUAAUUACCCUGGAAUAUCCCACCACCACCACCACCACCAGUCCACCACAAAACCGGGAUCAGUAAUCGUAACCGCCCUGCACGACAGUUGAGGCCAGGCUGUUAACUACCAAACCUCACCUCCCCCCUAUAAAUCCGACCCCAUGGCCUCCGCCAGCCCCCAUUCCACCUCACGCCGCCUCCACGCCUCCAGCAGAACCCUAGCAGCCCCCUUCCCGGCGCCGCCACCACCUCGUCGUCCGUUCCCGUCCGCAUCGAUUCGAUGGCCCGCGUCUCCGCCGCCGUGAUCGCCGCCUUCGUGGCGGUGGCCGCGCUGGCCACCGCUGCCUCCGCCGCCGAGGCGCCGGCUCCGGCCCCGGCCUCCGGCGCGGGCGCCCUCUCGGCGCCGAUCUUCGUGUGCUUCCUCCAGGCGCUCCUCGCCGCCUUCCUCUGCCACCACUGAGCCACUGAGGAGAUGUGGUGGUGGUGGGCUCGCCGCCCCGUCUGCGUGCGCGCGCGUCUUCAGAUCUAGUGGUACAGUGGUAGUGGGAGUCUGCAGUCUAGUAGUAGUGGUAGUGUCGUUAGCGGUGGUGAUAGUUUUAUGAAGAGGAGGCAUUUGUUUUGGUCCGCGUGGCGGAUGGAUGGAUGGAUGGAUCUGAGGGUUUGGAGAGGUUUUUUGAUGGUGGAUUUGAUCUAGUGUGAUUGGUGUGAGUUUAUUAUUACUAUUAUAUUAUUUAUUAUUAUUGUGUGCGUUCCUGUACCUACUGCGCACCGGCUCUGAGAGGAUUAUUAUUAUUAUUAUUAUGGAUUUGUGGUGUUUUAUGUUACUGCGUCUUCUCUAUGCAGUGCUCAUAUGAAGUAGUAGAUUGUUGUUUUGUUUUGGGCCUUGUUUAGUUCCGAAAAAAUUUCGGAUUUUGGUACUCUAGCGCUCUCGUUUGUUUUGUGGUAAAUAUUAUCCAAUCAUAGACUGACUAGCCUCAAAAGAUUCAUCUCGCGAUUUACAGACAAACUGUAUAAUUAGUUUUUGUUUUCAUCUAUAUCUAAUGCUUUAUGCAUGUGUUCUGAGAUUCGAUGUGAUUGAGAAUCUUGAAAAGUUUUUGGAUUUCGGGGUGAACUAAACAAGGCCAUUUGCAGUGCACCAAUUCUACUAAAAUUUCAUACUCUCCUCCGUCCUCUAAAGAGUGUAAUCUUAAAAUUUAAAUUUUGUCAAAAAAAAAUAUAACUGUGGAGUUGAGAUCAACUUUUCUAAAAGGAUCCACCUAUUAAAAAAAAUGAUUGCAUGUCUUGAACACUACCGUACCCUAACUAUCCAUGUGCAUAAAAUUUUUUAAACUUCUGAAGAACAUUCUAGAACAUCGAAUAAAGAAAGAAGACAAAUAUGUAAUUUUACAUGUACACUAAUCUUACCUUAAAAAAA
rnacentral:lncRNA from 1 species